rnacentral:lncRNA from 1 species
UUUUUUUUUCGUGUGUCCAAUAAGCCGGACCAAAGGGUAAUGAUAACUUCACUUUAUAAAGCGGAAAACCCAAGAACUCAUUGAAGAGAAAAUGACAGAGGCCCUGCUUUAGCGGGCAUGCCGGUUUAUUAUAUUGAUCAUAAUAUAUACAUUGUCAAAAUAUGUACAUCAGAAGAGCCUAUGGCUCAAGUGUAGUAAGGCCGAAGAUGAGCAAUAUUCCACGGCCGACGGGUCUCCUCCUCCAAUUUGCGUGAGUCUUUGUGCUCUCGAACAUCGAUAAGAUAGUAUGACCCGUUGUUCAGAUUCUUGCUGACCACAAAGGGCCCUUCCCAAGGUGGGGAUAACUUGUGCAUAUCAGUCUGAUCCUGGAUAAGCCGGAGCACUAAGUCACCUUCUUGAAAAGCUCUGGUUUUAACCCGGCGGAUGUGAUAAUGCCGUAGAUCUUGCUGAUAAAUCGCCGAACGAGCCGCUGCUAUGUCCCGUUUUUCAUCUAACAGGUCCAAUGCAUCUUGGCAUGCUUGCUCGUUGUCCACUUCAACAUAAGCUGCUACUCGAGGCGAGUCAUGGCGAAUAUCACUGGGGAGAACUGCUUCUGCCCCGUACACCAUGAAGAAAGGUGUAUAACCCAUAGAUCUAUUGGGGGUAGUAUUAAUGAUCCACAAUACGGAAGGCAACUCUUCCAUCCAACAACCCGGCGUUCUAUGCAAAGGAACCAUAAGCCGGGGCUUGAUGCCUAUUUCUUGAUUAGCUCUCUCAGCUUGACCAUUAGACUGGGGGUGAGCCACUGAUGACACAUCAAGCCGGAUGUGCUCACGUUGACAAAAGUCCUCCAUAGAACCCUUGGAUAGGUUCAUGCCAUUAUUUUUUAUGAUGCUAUGUGGAUAACCAAAGCGGAAAAUCACCUUCUUCAUGAAUUGAACCAUCGUAGCUGCAUCACACUUGCUGACUGGCUUCGCCUCUAUCCAUUUAGUGAACUUAUCAACUGCCACCAAAAGGUGGGUCUUCUUAACCUUGGACCUCCUAAAAGGCCCUACCAUAUCAAGCCCCCAAGUUGCAAACGUCCAAAUGAUUGGAAUCAUCCUCAACUCCUGAGCCGGAACAUCGGCUCGUCGUGAAAACUUUUGACAACCGUCACAUUUCCUGACCAAGUCCUCAGCAUCAGCAUGAGCCGUUAGCCAAUAGAAACUGUGUCGGAAAGCCUUAGCCACAAGGGAUUUUGAACCGACGUGAUGACCACAAUCCCCUUCAUGGAUUUCACGCAGAAUAUCACAGCCUUCUUCAGGAGAAACGCAGCACUGAAACGCCCCCAAGACACUGCAGUGAUGUAACUCGCCGUUGACAAUAGUCAUGGACUUGGACCGUCGGAUUAUCUGCCUGGCCAAAAUUUCAUCCUCUGGUAACUCUCCCCUGGUCAUAUACGCCAAAUAUGGCACCGUACAAUCAGGGGUAACAUGAAGAAUCGCCACCAAUUGAGCCUCCGGAUCAGGAACAGCCAGAUCCUCCUCUGUAGGCAACUUGGCCGACAGGUUAUGCAAAAUGUCAAGGAAGACAUUGGGCGGCACCGGUUUACGCUGAGACCCCAGCCAGCUUAAAGCGUCUGUCGCUUCAUUUUUGUGUCGAUCAAUGUGCUGAACCUGAUAACCCUUGAGGUGACCAGCAAUAACAUCCACCUCACAUCGAUAAGUUGCCAUGAGUGGAUCCUAAGAAUCCCAAGUACCAGAGACUUGCUGUGGCACUAAAUCAGAGUCGGCAAAGCAUCGUACCCGGCUUAAGUUCAUUUUCUUAGCCACCUGAAGACCGUGGAGCAAGGCCCCAUACUCAGCUGCAUUGUUAGUACAAGGAAACAUCAAGUGAAGAACAUAACAAAAUUUGUCACCUCGAGGGGAAGUAAGAACAACUCCAGCGCCCGAGCCCUCCAAUUGUCUGGACCCAUUGAAGUGAAUAGUCCAGUAUGUAUUAUCCAGCUUAUCCUCGGGCGCCUGCAACUCUGUCCAGUCAUUGAUGAAGUCCACGAGCGCUUGGGACUUGAUGCCCGUACGAGGCAUAUAUUUUGACCCGUGAGGUCCAAGCUCGAUAGCCCACUUAGCAACUCGGCCAGUCGCCUCCCUGUUCUGGAUGAUAUCCCCCAAAGGAGCAGAACUGACCACAAUGAUGGGAUGGCCCUGAAAGUAUUGCUUAAGCUUCUGGCUCGCCAUAAAAACUCCAUACACAAGCUUCUGCCAAUGUGGAUAUCUCUGCUUCGACUCAAUAAGCACCUCAUUGAUGUAAUAAACCGGCCGUUGAACUGGAUACUCCUUACUUGCAUCCUUGCGCUCCACCACAAUAGCCACGCUGACAGCCCGGGCGUUAGCAGCCACAUAUAACAGCAAAGGCUCCUUAUCAAUGGGGGCUGCGAGAACAGGUGGCUCGGCUAACUGCUUCUUCAAGUCCUCCAACGCUGCAUUAGCAGCAUCACUCCAACAAAGUUGUUUGUCGUUUUCAUCAUCUGGUAUAAAGGGAUAGCUUUUUCUCCCAACCGGCUGAUAAACCGGCUCAGCGCCACAAUACGACCCGCCAGACGUUGUACAUUGUUGAUACACGCCGGUUUAGCCAGAGAAAUGAUGGCCUUGAUCUUCUCCGGAUUAGCUUCAAUGCCCCUGUUAGGCACCAAGAAACCCAAGAGUUUGCCUGCCGGUACACCGAAGACGCACUUGGCCGGAUUAAGCAUCAUUUUAUAAACUCGGAGGUUAUCAAAGGUCUCCUUCAAGUCAUCUAUCAAUGUCUCCUUCUUCCUGGAUUUCACCACAAUAUCAUCCACAUAACCAUGAACAUUGCGCCCAAUCUGCUUGUGAAGGCAAUUCUGCACACAUCGCUGAUAAGUCGCCUGGGCACUCUUGAGCCCGAAGGGCAUAGACACAUAACAGAAGGCUCCAAAGGGAGUUAUAAAAGUUGUUUUCUCCUGAUCCUUAAUUGCCAUCUUGAUCUGAUGAUAACCGAAUAAGCAUCCAAAAAACUCAAGUGCUCACAACCUGCCAUAGCAUCAAUAAUCUGAUCAAUACGAGGGAGAGGAAAAGGAUCAGCUGGACAAGCCUUUUUUAGAUCCGUGUAAUCCACACACAUGCGCCAAGUGCCAUUCUUCUUAAGCACCAGCACCGGGUUAGCCAGCCACUCAGGAUGAAAAACCUCAACGAUAAACCCAGCCGCCAAAAGCCAGGCUACCUCCUCACCAAUAGCCUUGCGCCUUUCUUCAUUGAAGCGGCGUAGAAACUACUUGACCGGUUUAAACUUGGGAUCAAUAUUGAGAGUGUGCUCAGCGAGUUCCCUUGGUACACCUGACAUGUCAGAAGGUUUCCACGCAAAGAUGUCCCGAUUUUCACGGAUGAACUCGAUGAGCGCGCUUUCCUAUUUUGGAUCCAGGUUAGUACUGACACUGAACUGCUUGGAUGAAUCGCCAGGAACAAAAUCAACCAGUUUAGUCUCAUCAGCCGAUUUAAACUUCAAGGCCGGAUCAUGCUCUGUAGUUGGCUUUUUCAAAGAUGUCAUAUCUGUCGGAUCAACAUUGUCCUUACAAAAUUUUAACUCCUCAGUUGCACAAACGGACUCGGCGUAAGCUGCAUCGCCCUCUUCACACUCCAAAGCUAUCUUCCGACUCCCAUGUACUUUGAUGGUCCCAUGGUGACCCGGCAUCUUGAGCUGCAGAUAAACAUAACAAGGUCGGACCAUGAACUUAGCAUAAGCCGGCCGUCCAAACAGAGCAUGAUAAGGGCUCUUAAUUUUCACCACUUCAAAGGUUAAGGUUUCUGAUCUGGAAUCAUGAUCAUCUCCGAAUGCAACCUCCAGAGCUAUCUUACCAACUGGUUAUGCCGAUUUACCAGGUACCACACCAUGGAAAACAGUGUGUUUGUGUACCGACCAGACCUCAAACAGUCUGAUCUCUGUGCAUCAGUGUCAUCCCUGGAUCAGUAAUGCUGACACACACAGUACUUGAGGAUUUAUAACAGAGUAGCAAUCACACACUUAUUACAUCGAAUGUCUCAAAAGAGAACUUAUUACAAUAAUAUGGCUUAAGUCCAUCUAAAAACACUAACAGCGGAAGGCUUGGAAGAUAAAGUGAGUCCAUCAACUCCAACGGCAUCACUGAGUGAAAGACAACGACCUAUGGCACCUUACUCGUCGUCUGAAAAGUAUGCAACAUGAAUGUUGUAGCCCAAAACGGGUCAGAAUAAUUGCUAUCACUACAUGCAUAUAUGGUUGGUGGAAAGCUCUAUGGUUACAGUUUUGCAUAAAGCUAAUUUGUCCCUACAACAAAGGAAUGAAUUUUAUUUAACUAUCAUGGUGGUUGUUAAACAUUGAGAAGGUUCCUCCAACUCAAUCCCAAUUAAACAUCAUCAUUAACCCAAUCAGAUUAUAUUAAGAGUGAUGAGAUCAACAUGAUAAUCGAAGAACCAGAUACUAAAGAUGUCCAUAACCGGUGACAUGUCUAACCAUGAUUAGUUUGUACACUCUGCAAAGGUUUGCGCACUUUUCCUCACAAGACUCGAAUACAUCCAUGGUCGGAGAUUCGAGACACAGUCUUUCUGAAGCAUUAACUCUCUACUCUGGAUAGACAGUACCACCUACAACCCACUACAUCUGCUAGUCUACCUCUUCAAGAGCUUCACGCAACUUACUCAACUAUGCUAGAGCCCAUAAUGGCUUGUGGCUGCACACGGAAGUUUCUAGCAUGAAUAAUCUUAUGAUCCCUUUGAGCCUGGGUGGCAAACCGUAGGAUGAGCACACGGGUACUUCAGGAUAUCCUAGGACAACACUGGAUUCUCUAGGUGCCUUGACAACCACUGGGUACUCUAGGGUGCCUCAAGCAAUCCACCCAGAUGUGUAUUUAAGUAGCCACCUUAAGUUAACCAUUAAUAACAAUUCUCACAUCUGUCAUGGAUACACUCACCCAAACCACAUACAAUAAGCACUUAACUAGAAGCAUGGGUAAAACUCAAAUAAGAGAUCUAACCAGAAAGUUCAACUUAAGAACUCCGGUUUGCAAAAAGAAUCAAGUCAAACGAAGCAACGAAACUCAAACUGCAAAAGAAACACGAUCCGUUUACUAAUCUGGACUUAAGUCAAAUUUUGCAGUAGCAAAAUCUUGUUCAAGUUAUUUGAAUAGAAAUAGGGCUUCGAGACGAAUAUCUAGGCGCUUGAAUCGCCUGAUUCUGACAAACGAGCGAAAAGAUAAACUAAAACGAAAAACAGGGCAGAAAUCACGAUCGAAAAUAAUCGCGGAAAAACCCUGGAAAAAGAAAAACUGGUGAACAGGCUAACGAACAAACGUUCGCUGUCUGCGGCUAACGGGUGAAAACCGUUCGUUAAAAUGAACGUAUGAAUGAAUGUUCGCUAAAUAACUAAACCGGGAAAAAAAUAAAAACCGAUCUAAAAUAAAAUAACCAAGGGUUUCUAAAAAAACAAACGGUUUUCCGGCGAAAACCGGCGGCUACCUCAGGUUGCGUGACGGCGGUGGCGGCGGUCAACUCCGGUGACGGCGGUGGGUCGGCGGCGUCCAGCGGCGGGCGGCGGGGCGGUGGCUGCGCGGGUGGCGCGGUCGGCGGCGAUGUCCGGCAGCGGCGGUGGCGGGUUAGGGUUAGGGUUUCGGCGGGGUGGGCUGGUGGCUGUGGCGGCUCGGGCCUCGUUGGUUAUAAAGGUCGGCCGGGUCGAGUCCUAGUCGGGCACGGCCCGACUAGGUUGGUUAACUCUUUUUUAAAUAAUUCCACGCAGAAAAACAAAGAAAAGAAAUACUAAACGGCUCCAAAAAUCCUGAAAUAAAUUUUCCCCGUCCUCUAAAAAUAUAGUGGACAAAGUGAACAUUUAUUUGGGCCUAUAAUGCAAUUUUGGAAAACGUAUUUUUCCCCUAAUUCAAAUAAAAUGGCGAUAAAACUCCGAAUAAAAUUCUUAUUUGAUUUUAAUAAUUAACCUCCAAUAUUUCUUUAUUUUGGAAAAUUCAUUUUAUCCCCUCUCUUUUAUUUUCAUAUAAGAAAUAUUCGAAGAGAAAAUAAUUAAAAUCAAACGCUCCUCUUUUCAAAAUUUGAGAAAACUCAAAUAUGAAAAUAAUGAAAUCGCCAACUCUCUCCGUGGGUCCUUGAGUUGCGUAGAAUUUCUAGGAUCAAGCCAAAAUGCAAUAAAAUAUGAUAUGCAAUGAUGAUCUAAUGUAUAACAUUCCAAAUUGAAAAUUUGGGAUGUUACAAACCUACCCCCCCUUAAGAUGAAUCUCGCCCUCGAGAUUCGGGUUGGCUAGAAAAUAGGUGAUGGUGGUCCUUCCGUAGGUCUUCCUCUCGUUCCCAGGUGGCUUCAUCCUCGGUAUGGUGGCUCCACUGAACUUUGCAGAACUUGAUAACCUUGCUGCGUGUGACUCGGCUGGCAAACUUGAGAAUCUUGACUGGUUUCUCCUCGUAGGUCAAAUCGCUAUCCAACUGGAUCGCUUCCAAUGGCACUGUAUCUCUCAGAGGGAUAUCGUCCAUCUCUGCAUGGCACUUCUUCAACUGGGAAACGUGGAAUACAUCGUAAACUCCUGACAAUCCAUCGGGCGAUUCCAACUUGUAAGCAACUUCUCCCAUAUGUUCCAAAACUUUGUAUGGUCCCACAAAACAUGGUGCUAACUUUCCCUUAACUCCAAAUCGCUUAACUCCUUGAAGUGGGGACACACGAAGAUACACUCUGUCUCCGACUUCGUAAAUUGUCUCCUUGCAUUUAGAAUCCGCAUAGCUCUUCUGCCUGGACUCGGCUACCUUGAGUCUAUCAUGAAUCAGCUUAACCUUCUCUUCAGACUCUUUAAUCAAAUCGUGUCCAAACAACUGACGGUCUCCAACUUCAUCCCAUAACAACGGUGUCCUACACCUCCUUACGUACAAAGCUUCGAAAGGGGCCAUCUUCAAACUAGCUUAAUAGUUGUUGUCGUAAGAAAACUCUGCAUAUGGCAAAUUGUCGUCCUAGCUAGACCCAUAGUCUAGCGCACAAGCUCUCAACAUGUCCUCCAGAAUCUGAUUGACUCUCUCGGUUUGUCCAUCUGUCUGUGGCUGAAAGGCUAUACUGAACUCUAGCCUGGUACCCAAAGUCUCAUGCAACUGAUUCCAGAACUUUGGGGUAAACUGGGUUCUUCUAUCUAAUACAAUGGUCCUAGGAACUCCAUGUAGACAUACGAUCCUGGUCAUGUAUAUCUUUGCCAACUUAGCACUGGUGUAAGUGGUCUUCACUAGGAUGAAAUGAGCUACCUUCGUCAACCGAUCGACUACAACCCAUAUCGAGUCAUAGCCUGAAUGAGUCCUGGGCAAUCCCGUGAUAAAAUCCAUGCCUAGCUUAUCCCACUUCCAUUCAGGUAUCGGCAAUGGCUGUAGCAAACCUGCUGGCUUCUGAUGUUCUGCCUUCACUCUCUAACAUACAUCACAAACUGCUACCUACUCCGCAAUAUCCUUCUUCAUUCCGGUCCACCAGAAAUUGUCCUUCAAAUCUAGAUACAUCUUGGUAUUUCCUGCAUGAAUCGAAUAUGGUGAAUCAUGGGCCUCCUGCAGAAUCAACUUCCUGAUCUCGGGGUCAUUAGGCACAUAUACGCGAUCCUCAAACCAUAAGGUAUCGUGCUCAUCCUCAUGAAAUCCUUUAGCCCUUUCCAUUGCUCAUCCUUUCCUUUAUAUCGGCAAUCUCCUUGCCAGUCUUCUGAGCUUCUCUGAUCUUAUCCAUCAAGGUAGACUGAAUUUCCAAUGCUGCUACAUAGCCUCUCGGAACUAUUUCCAAACAUAGCUCACGAAGAUCCUCUGCUAACUCCUUGGGUAACUCUCCGGUCAUGAGUGUAUUGACAUGACUCUUGUGACUCAACGCAUCCGCUACUACGUUAGCCUUUUCGGGAUGAUAGUGCAACCUCAUAUCAUAAUCCUUAAUGAGCUCCAACCAUCUCCUAUGCAUGAGAUUCAACUCCUUCUGCGUGAAGAUAUACUUCAAACUCUUGUGAUCCCUGUACACCUCACAAUGGUUUCCGAUGAGAAAAUGUCUCCAUGUCUUCAACGCAUGCACUACGGCUGCUAACUCCAAAUCGUGUGUAGCAUAAUUCAACUCAUGGGGUUUAAGCUGUUGUGAGGCAUAUGAAACAACUCUUUCCUCCUGCAUAAGCACUGCUCCAAGUCCUCGACGAGAAGCGUCGCAAUACACUUGAUAAUCCUUGCGUUGAUCUGGAAAAAUUAACACUGGUACUGUAACCAAAUGUUUCUUCAACUCCUGAAAACUGGCCUCACAUUCCUCAGUCCAUUUGAACUUGGUGUCCUUCUUCAACAACUCCAUCAUGGGUUUCGUAAUCUCAGAGAAAUUCUUAAUGAACCUCCUGUAAUAUCCUGCGAGUCCAAGAAAACUACGGAUCUCUCUAACAGACGUGGGUGCUUCCCAAUUUGUCACAGUGACAACCUUGGUGGGGUCUACUGCUAUCCCUUCUCCGGAUAUAACAUGUCCGAGGAAUCCAACUUCCUUCAACCAAAACUCACACUUGCUGAACUUGGUGAAAGGAUCGAUAUAGUUGACUAGAGAGGGGUGAGGGAGUCCUGGAUUAGGGGGUGUCCGGAUAGCCGGACUACCAUCAUCAGCCGAACUAUCAUCGGCCGGACUAUCAUCAUCGACCGGACUCCAAGACUAUGAAGAUACAAGAUUGAAGACUUCGUCCCGUGUCCGGAUGGGACUUUCCUUGGCGUGGAAGGCAAGCUUGGCGAUACGGAUACGUAGAUCUCCUACCAUUGUAACCGACUCUAUGUAACCCUAGCCCUCUCCGGUGUCUAUAUAAACCGGAUGGCUCUAGUCCGUAGGACAACAACAACAACAACAACAACAACAACAACAACCCUUACAAUCAUACCAUAGGCUAGCUUCUAGGGUUUAGCCUCCUUGAUCUCGUGGUAGAUCCACUCUUGUAAACAUCCACAAUAUCAAUAUCAAUCAAGCAGGACAUAGGGUUUUACCUCCAUCAAGAGGGCCCGAACCUGGGUAAAACAUCGUGUCCCUUGUCUCAUGUUACCAUCCGCCUAGACGCACAGUUCGGGACCCCCUACCCGAGAUCCGCCGGUUUUGACACCGACAUUGGUGCUUUCAUUGAGAGUUCCUCUGUGUCGUCACCGAUAGGCUUGAUGGCCUCUUCAAUCGACAACGACGCAGUCCUGGGUGAGACUUUUCUCCCCGGACAGAUCUUCGUAUUCGGCGGCUUCGCACUGCGGACCAACUCACUUGGACAUCUGGAGCAGAUCGAAAGCUACGCCCCUAGCCGUCAGGUCAGGUUUAGAAGCCUAAACUUCACGGCCGAUGUCCGCGGGGACUUGAUCUUCGAUGGAUCUGAGCCACAGCCGAGCAUGCUGCGCUGUCACGAUGGGCACGACCUAACUCUGCCGUCGGACAGCACCUUGGAGGCCGCACACGAAUCCGCUCCGACCCAUAGUCCGGAGCCGAUCGCUCAGAUCGAGGACAGAUGGCUGGACACCGCCUCGGGAGCUGCAACUUCUACGGCGAUGGAGCUGAACACUUACCUUGUCCCGCGUAAAGCCCAUGACUCCGAGGUGCCGGACUCUCUGCCGGACUCUGAACCUCCUGCGCUCCUGCCAGUCGAAUCCGAUUGGGCGCCGAUCAUGGAAUUCACCGCUGCGGACAUCCUUCAGCACUCACCCUUCGGCGAUAUCUUAAAUUCGCUGAAGCAUCUCUCGCUAUCCGGAGAGCCCUGGCUGAACUACGGCCAGGAUGGUUGGGACGCGGACGACAAAGAAAUUCAGAGCCCACCCACCACCCACUUCGUAGCCACCGUCGACGAUCUAACCGACGUACUCGACUACGACUCCAAAGACAUCGACGGUAUGGACGACGAUGCCGGAGACUAUCAAGAACCAGUGCCUACAGGACACUGGAAGACCACCUCGUCAUAUGACAUAUGCAUGGUGGACACCCCAAAAGAUGGGGACGGCGAAGAAGCAAUGGAGGCCGGUUCCUUAAAGAAACAGCCCAAGCGCCGACGUCAGCGGCGCCGCUCUAAAUCCUGCCACAGCAAGAAUGGACAUUCCGGCACAGGAGAUAAUAACACCCCAAAAAGUGCCGAAGACAACCCCCUCCAGCACGAUCCAGCGCAGGAGGAGGCAGAAGCAAGCCCUCACGAGAGGGCGGCAGACGAAGAGGUCGAGGAUGGUAAUUACUUACCUCCCUCCGGAGACGAGGCAAGCCUCGACGACGACGAAUUCGUCGUGCCUGAGGAUCCCGCCGAACAAGAGCGUUUCAGACGCAGGCUAAUGGCCACGGCAAACAGCCUAAAGAAAAAGCAGCAACAGCUUCAAGCUGAUCAAGACCUACUGGCCGACAGAUGGACCGAGGUCCUCGUGACCGGAGAGUAUGAACUCAAAUGCCCCUCCAAAAAUUACCCAAAACGCAAGUUGCUCCCCCGACUAGAGGAGGAAGCGUACAAACCUGCAUCACCAGCGCACAAUACGGCAGACCGACCACCUCGUGGCCGCGACAGAGAGGCGUGCAAGCCCUCCACCAAAACCGUACCCCGGCAUCGCUCAAAAAGCAUGAAGCCACAGGGGAAUAGGCCGGACUUGCGGGAUAUAUUGGAGGACAAGGCAAGACAAUCCAGAUCUAUCUAUGGAUCACGUGGGCGCCCCAAGACCCACGACGAAUAUCGUCGCGCCGGAUACAACUACUCCGGCCGGGCCGAACACAGCAGACAAUGCUCUCUCGAGCUACGUCGCGAUAUUGCUCAAUACAGAGGCGCCGCGCACCCACUAUGCUUCACUGACGAAGUAAUGGAUCAUCAAAUCCUUGAAGGGUUUAAACCCGUUAAUAUCGAAUCCUACGAUGGCACAACAGACCCCACGGUUUGGAUUGAGGAUUAUCUCCUCCAUAUACAUAUGGCCUGCGGCGACGAUCUUCACGCCAUCAAAUAUCUCCCGCUCAAGCUUAAAGGACCAGCUCGGCAUUAGCUUAACAGCCUGCCCGCAGAGUCAAUUGGAUGCUGGGAAGACCUGGAAGCCGCAUUCCUCGACAACUUCCAGGGCACGUAUGUGCGACCACCGGAUGCAGACGACCUAAGCCACAUAAUCCAGCAGCCAGAUGAACCGGCCAGGCAAUUCUGGACACGAUUCUUAACAAAGAAAAAUCAAAUCGUCGACUGUCCGGAUGCAGAGGCCCUCACUGCCUUCUAACAUAACAUCCGCGAUGAGUGGCUGGCCCGGCACCUAGGACAGGAAAAGCCGAAAUCCAUGGCAGCCCUCACAUCACUCAUGACCCGCUUCUGUGCGGGAGAGGAUAGCUGGCUAGCUCGCAGCAACAACCUCAGCAGAAACGCUGGCAGUCCAGAUACCAAGGACCGCAAUGGCAGGGCGUGUCAAAACAAAAACAAACGCCGCAUUAACGGCGACAGCAAUGAGGAUAGGGCAGUCAAUGCUGGAUUCCGAGGCUCCGAGCCCGGUCAACGGAAGAAGCCAUUCAAAAGAACCACUCCGGGCCCGUCCAAUUUGGACCGAAUACUCGACCGCUCCUGUCAAAUACAUGGAACCCCCGAAAAGCCAGCUAACCACAUCAACAGAGAUUGUUGGGUAUUCAAGCAGGCAGGCAAAUUAAUCACCGAAAACAAUGACAAGGGGCUACACAGCGAUGACGAGGAAGAGACUCGGCCGCCGAACAACAGAGGACAAAAGGGAUUCCCCCCUCAAGUUCGGACGGUAAACAUGAUAUACGCAACGCAUAUACCCAAGAGGGAGCGGAAGCGUGCACUAAGGGACGUAUACGCGAUGGAGCCAGUCGCCCCAAAAUUCAACCCAUGUUCCUCUUGCCCGAUCACUUUUAAUCGAAGAGACCAUCCGACCAGUAUCCGCCAUGGCGGAUUCGCCGCAUUGCAUUUAGACCCAAUCGUCGAUGGAUUUCACCUCACGAGAGUCCUGAUAGAUGGCGGCAGUAGCCUGAACCUGCUUUAUCAGGAUACAAGUGCGCAAGAUGGGCAUAGACCCUUCAAGGAUUAAACCUACGAAGACAACCUUCAAAGGCGUCAUACCAGGUGUCGAGGCCAGUUGUACAGGCUCAGUUACACUGGAAGUGGUCUUCGGAUCCCCGGAUAAUUUCCGAAGUGAGGAGUUAAUCUUCGACAUAGUCCCGUUCCGUAGCGGCUAUCACGCUCUACUCGGAGGAACCGCGUUCGCAAAAUUCAACGCGGUGUCGCAUUAUGCAUACCUUAAGCUCAAGAUGCCAGGCCCUCGUGGAGUCAUCACGGUCAACGGAAACACGGAACGCUCCCUCCGAACGGAGGAACAUACAGCGGCUCUCGCGGCAGAAGUACAGAGCAGCCUUUUAAGGCAAUUUCCAAGUCCGGCCGUUAAAUGACCGGACAUGGCCAAACGCGCCCGGAGCAACAUCAACCAAGACCACCUGGCACGUUCCGAGCACGCGUAGCAAUGCGGCCUCAACCCCAGCCCUCGCACAAUUGUAAGACAAACUCUCCGUGUACAUAAUUACGCCCUGGAGAUACCAUGGGCAUAGGGGGAGAGGCACAACCACAAUAGACCCAGAGUGCGGUUCGACCACACCAAGGGCUCCCAGGCGUGUCGCUCUUUUUAUCUUUUAUUUCUCUCUUUUUUAUACAGAACUCUGUCCGGCGGCGAACCUGCCGAACUCAUGAUGCAACAGCCAGGGAGGGACAAAGGCUGCGACGAACACUCGGGUGGUCUCCAUUACGAGCAUUAAAUUUGUUAAAUACACCAUUCCGCGGCCUACCCCUGGAGGGAGACGCCUUUAAUUCGUCCAAUCCCUUGCUUUCCGCACUAUUUGUAUCAUUCCGCACUCAUAGCAGAUCUUCUCGAAUAAAAUGCAGCACUUUUUGCCCAUAAUUGCAUUACCUUAUAUAUAUAUAUGUUCAUUUACGACAUGUUGCAUCCGUACAUUUUGGUACGGCCAAAUACACCAGGGGCUUAUGCUCCCCGCAUUAUGGUGUGAUAAAGUCUGAACACUUUCACAAGUGCGGCACCCCGAACUUAUAGCAUUAUAUGAAUUGGCUCCGAAUCAAGUCUUGGGUCAAUAGUUGGGUUUGCCCGGCUCCCAUGUUUGGCACCUUACGUUCCGUUCUAUCGGCUAAGGUAGCACUGGGAGAACCACUGCGAUUGCGCCCUUGUUGAGCCGGGUUAACGCCUCAGUGGAGAAAGCUAAAACUGACUGUCAUGAUAAGGCGAGAGACUGAUCGCUGUUCGAGAGGUCUUUUCGGGUCCUUAAAGACCUACGCCGCUUCGAGCGAAGUACCGGAUAAUGUCCGACGAAGGCAUGGAUAGCGCCCCGAAUUCGGUCUUCCGAAUACUAGGGGCUUCGCCAAAAUUUAAAAUUAUAGAAUUCUAUGGCUAAGUGAGAGUGUUCAAGCACUAUAAGUCUGGUUGCCUUGUUUGUUGUGUUGAGCGCCUCCCUAGAUGGACCCAAAACUGGGAACAAGAGUGCUCAAGUUUAUCCCGAACACCCUAGCACUCGUGGCAUGGGGGCUGAAGUCGACGACUUGCCAUCUCUCAGAUUUAAUAAACGGCCGCACAGAAGGUAAUAUUUUAAAUUAACAAGCGUUGCUUAGCGCAUAUGAACAAAGUUUUCAACGCACAGGAUAACACAUUGCGAAUUUACUCAAUAAUUACAUCCGUGGGGCACUCAUCCGCAAUCUUGCGGGCACCCUUCAGGACAGUCUUAUAGUACAUCUCGGGCGUACGAUAUUCCUUGCCCACUGGUGGCGCGUCAGUGAUUAGCUUCUCCGCAUCCAGCUUGCCCCAAUGCACCUUUGCGCGGGCAAGGGCCCGACGAGCACCUUCAAUAUAGGCGGAGCGCUUGAUAACCUCCACCCAGGGGCACGCAUCCACCAACCGUCGCACGAGGCCGAAGUAGCUCCCAGGCAUGGCCUCUCCAGGCCACAGCCGGACUAUGAGGCCCUUCAUGGCCUGCUCGGCCACCUUGUGGAGCUCGACCAGCUGCUUCAGCUGGUCGCUAGGGGGCACCGGAUGGCCGGCCUCAGCAUACUGAGACCAGAAGACCUUCUCCGUUGAGAUCCCCUCCUCGGCUCGGUAGAAUGCGGCGGCAUCAGAGAGCUGCGAGGCAGAUCUGCAAACGCCCCUGGAGAGCUCCGAAUUCGGGUAAGUAACACGUAAUUUACAUUCACAUGCUUGCUUUGCAUGAAAAAUACCUUACCCGCCGCUAUCUUCCUCACCAACUCAAUCUCCUGAAGGGACUUAUGGGCAUUGGCCUUGGCAGUUUUGGCACUUUCGAGAGCCGAGGCAAGCUCGGACUCUCAAGUCUUUGAGUCACGCUCCAAACUCUCAUGCUUUUCCAUGAGAGCCUGGAGCUCUUGCCGAACCACCGCCACCCGCACCUCCUUCUUUUCUCGCUCUGCCCGUUCCGCGGCCGCAUUGCGUUCGGCCGCGGACACGGCCUCCUUCAGGGUCGCCACCUUGUUCGUGGCCCCUGCAGUACCCAUGUUAUCCUUGUUAUUUUUUGUUCCAACCUAAAUCCUUUUCUGUAAGGUACAAGUUCAAAGUGGUGUUACUCACCUUCUUUGUCCUGGAGCUGCUUCUUGGCGCGGCCGAGCUCUUGCUCGGACCGCUCGAGCUCCUGCUUCAAAGCACCGACCUCCGCAGUCAGUGCGGCAGAGGUCAGCAGCGCAGCCUGCAACCCAUAUUGACAUAAUGUUUUAGCAACCCUGCGUAUAUCUUCUUUUUUUUCAGAUCCUCAGUCCGGCUUUUCUUUCCGAACAACGAACCGAGCAUCAGGGGCUACUAUCUAUGCGGUAUUACAUUGCAUAUUUUUAACUUCUUACCUCAAAGCCUGAUAGAAGGCUACUGCAGGCUUCGGUCAGCCCGCUCUUGGCAAGCUGUACCUUCUGAAUCACCGCACUCAUAAUAGUGCGGUGUUCUUCCUCGAUGGAAGCGCUCUGGAGCGCCUCCAACAAAUUGUCCGGCGCCUCCGGUUGGACGGAAGCCGCCGGCGUCACGGUCUUGCCCUUCGUGCGAAGGGGCCGCCGGCCGGACUCCGGAACCACUGUGGGUUCUGAUGUGGAGUCCAGCGCAAAGUCCGGGAGGCCGCCUUGUGGCGCCUCCGGAGCCUCCCCCUGAUGGGUCCCUUCUUGGGAUCCCACCUCGGUGUCCUCGGUGUCGCGAGGGGUGGAGGCGGUUGGGAUGGAGUCUACAUCCGACGGAGCCAACGACCCGCUCGAUGAAGUCAGGAGAUCAUCAUUGGCCGGACUACAGGCAGCAUGCGGCAUCAGAAUGACACUAUGUGACGCAGAAAAAGAAAUUAUAAAUCAUUCAGGAAUCCAGAUACUUACGAUCUCGCCGGAGGCUUGGCCCUUGAAGGCCAUUCUUCCUCGCCAACGUUGAUGUUGGCGGAGCUGUCCGGGGGAAUAGUCCUUCCCCUCUUGGACCCUUCGGCCUCCCCUGUUGGGGAAGCCUUCCUCUUCCUCUCUCCCUCCUCUGGGAGAGAGUCCUCUUUCUCCUCCUCGUUUUUGGGGAAGGAGUCUGCCCCGGAGUCGUCGGACACCCGAAGACGGGAACUCUUUCGAGCACCCAUGGCCUCCUUCUUGGCCUUCUUCUCCGGCACCACGUGCGGUGCCGGAACCAGCAGCCUCGCUAGACGGGCGUCUACUGGGUUUUCUGGCAUAGGAGCCGGGAAUCUGCUCCGCCUUCCUCAUCCAGUCCUGUCAAAGGAAAAGGGGAAAUUAAAACCCGCAUAGAGUCAAACUAUGAAAAGCAAGUGUCCCGUAAAGGGGUAGAAUCACUUACCUCGUCGGCUUGGCGCUGUGAGCGAAAUCCGCGAUCUUCAGUCGCGGAUGCGGGGGCUUCGGCGCCCUUAAACAGCACCCUCCAGGCGCCUUCGUACGUCGUGUCGAAGAGCCCGCUCAGCGCCUGGUGCUGUUCUGGAUUGAACUCCCACAGAUUGAACGCCCGCUCUUGGCAUGGGAGAAUCCGGCGGACGAGCAUGACUUGGACCAUGUUAACCAGCCUGAUCUUCUUCACCAGCUUCUGGAUACAGGCUUGGAGUCCCGUCAGCUCCUCCGAACUACCCCAUAGCAAGCCCUUCUCUUUCCAGGAGGUGAGCUGCGUGGGGAUACCAGAUCUGAACUCGGGGGCUGCCGCCCACGUAGGGUCACGCGGCUCGGUGAUAUAGAACCACCUCGAUUGCCACCCCUUGACGGAUUUCACGAAGGCCCCUUCGAACCAAAGGACGUUGGGCAUCUUACCCAACAUGGCGCCUCCGCACUCCGCUUGAGUGCCCUUCACUACCUUCGGCUUGACAUUGAAGGUCUUGAGCCACAAGCCGAAGUGGGGCUGGAUGCAGAGGAAGGCCUCGCACACGACGAUAAACGCCGAGAUGUUGAGGAUGAAGUUCGGCGCCAAAUCAUGGAAAUCCAGGCCGUAGUAGAACAUGAGCCCCCGGACAAAGGGGUGAAGUGGAAAGCCCAGUCCGCGGAGGAAGUGGGGAAGAAAAACGACCCUCUCAUGGGGCCUGGGGCUGGGGAUGAGCUUCCCCUCGUCGGGCAGCUGGUGCGCGAUGUCGCCGGACAGGUAGCCGGCGCUGUGCAGUCUUUCGAUGUGCUCCUCUGUAACGGAGGAGGUCAUCCACUUGCCUCCCGCUCCGGACAUAACUGGGGAAGGUUGAGACGAGAUGUGCGGGCUUGGGCGCUGGAGCUCGAGUGCGCGGAGAUGGAUAAGCAAAGGAGGAAGAAGGCGUAGGUGAAAAGGUGAAUCCUUAUCCCUUAUAUGGGCGGGCGAAGUCUAUGCAUCCCCCACCGGCCUGGUAAAACUCGCUUAUCCCCCAAGCGUCACCAUCAAUGGCGUGGUUGGGUUACCCACGUCCGUAUUGAUGAGAAUCCCGGAUUAAGGGGCAACACGAUCUCUGCUUCGACAAGACGUGCCAAGGAAACCGCUUCGCUAAAUGCGCUGAGGUGGUAGAGUAAAAAACGAUUCAAGUAAUGGCUUGGUAGUGGCGUGACAUCAUGCCACAAAAAACGUCAGCAGAUUGAACUUGUGUAUAUAUUAUUCUCUCUACGGUGAAAUGUGGAAUUUAUUUUGCAGAGCCGGACACUAUCCUGGUGUUCACAAUCUUCUAUCAUUCGGAGGAGGAACCCGCCUUGCAAUGCCAAGCAAUAUACACGCCGGACUUAUCGUCAUUGAAGCCUGGUUCAGGGGCUACUGAGGGAGUCUUGGAUUAGGGGGUGUCCGGAUAGCCGGACUACCAUCAUCAGCCGAACUAUCAUCGACCGGACUAUCAUCAUCGACCGGACUCCAAGACUAUGAAGAUACAAGAUUGAAGACUUCGUCCCAUGUCCGGAUGGGACUUUCCUUGGCGUGGAAGGCAAGCUUGGCGAUACGGAUACGUAGAUCUCCUACCAUUGUAACCGACUCUAUGUAACCCUAGCCCUCUCCGGUGUCUAUAUAAACCGGAUGGCUCUAGUCCAUAGGACAACAACAACAACAACAACAACCCUUACAAUCAUACCAUAGGCUAGCUUCUAGGGUUUAGCCUCCUUGAUCUCGUGGUAGAUCCACUCUUGUAAACAUCCACAAUAUCAAUAUCAAUCAAGCAGGACGUAGGGUUUUACCUCCAUCAAGAGGGCCUGAACCUGGGUAAAACAUCAUGUCCCUUGUCUCCUGUUACCAUCCGCCUAGACGCACAGUUCGGGAUCCCCUACCCGAGAUCCGCCGGUUUUGACACCGACAGGGGGUGAAUAGGCAACUAAAAAUUUUUAGCUUUUCUUUACCAAAUUAAACUUUGCAUCAAAGUAGGUUGUCUAGAUAUGCAACUAGGUGAACAACCUAUAUGAUGCAACAACAACAAUCACACAAGCAAUCAAGGGAUAUAACACAAGUAAGCUUGCAAAAGUAAAGGAGCGAGAUAACCAAGAGUGGAGCCGGUGGAGACGAGGAUGUGUUACCGAAGUUCCUUCCUUUUGAGGGGAAGUGUGUCUCCGUUAGAGCGGUGUGGAGGCACAAUGCUCCCCAAGAAGCCACUAGGGCCACCGUAUUCUCCUCACGCCCUCACACAAUGCGAGAUGUCGUGAUUCCACUAUUGGUGCCCUUGAAGGCGGUGACCGAACCUUUACAAACAAGCUUGGGGCAAUCUCCACAACUUAAUUGGAGGCUCCCAACGACACCGCGAAGCUUCACCACAAUGGACUAUGGCUCUGAGGUGACCUCAAUCGUCUAGGGUGCUCAAACACCCAAGAGUAACAAGAUCCGCUAGGGAUUAGUGGGGGGAAUCAAAUUUCUCUUGGUGGAAGUGUAGAUCGGGGCCUUCUCAACCAAUCCCGAGCAAAUCAACAAGUUUGAUUGGCUAGGGAGAGAGAUCGGGCGAAAAUGGAGCUUGGAGCAACAAUGGAGCUUACGGAUGGAAGAGGUGGGUCUUCUUGGAGAAGAAGACCCCCUUAUAUAGUGGGGGGACAAUUCCAACCGUUACCCACCACUCAGCCCGCGACCCGCGGUACUACCGCAUCACAGGAGCGGUACUACCGCACGGGUCUGCGGUACUACCACGGUGGACCGCGGUACUACCGUGGGCGCGGUAGAGCCUGGACCUGAACAGAAGAGCAUAGACAGGGCGCGGUAGAAUCGCAGGCGCGGUACUACUGCGACCCUUUGCGGUACAACCGCAGGACAGCCACGGUCCAGGCACGGUAGGCACAGAUGUAAAAAAUUACAUACGUGACUACCUCCGCUGAGAUAUUAUCGAUGUCAAAAUCCGACACGGUACUACCGCGAACCAGGGGUGCGGUACUACCGUGAAGGGUACGGAUGUAAAAAAUUACAUCCGCCCCUACCUCUGCUCCUACUGCUGCACCUAGCCAGGCGACACGGUACUACCGCGCCGCAGCACGGUACUACCGCGUAGGGCGCGGAUGUAAAAAAUUACAUCCGCCCCUACUACCGCUUGAGCAGCGGUGCCAGGCCAAAACUCAUGGUACUACCGCUUGGGAGGAGCGGUACUACCGUGGAAGCCCAUGGUACUACCGUGGAAGCCCACGGUACUACCGUGCUGGAGCCCGGUACUACCAGUGGCUCCUGCGCUAGUACCGCUCAGUGGAGCAGUACUACCGCCAGCCUGAGAUGAGCAACUCGGAGUCCUUCAUUUCGCAGAGACAAGGUGAGAUGGAGGAGAACUCCAAAGAGCCAAAGGAAAGGCGGUGCAAAAGGGACGUGUACGUGAGAUUCCUCCCAAACCUUUCCAAAGCGGACCCCCUCUUAAUAGUACGGCUUUGCUACGACUCAACUCCACCAAAAAGGACCGUAGAGAAACGUCGUCUUCAAUAAUCUUCGAGGGGAAUCAAAUCGUCUGGUGUUUAGUUACGAUAUAUCUGAAAAGCUCAGUACACACGAUUAGUCCGCAAAAGCAUUGUCAUCAAUCACCAAAACUACUAAGGGACAAGAAUGCCCUUACAAUCUCCCCCUUUUUGGAGGAUUGAUGACAAUACGGGAUUUGCACAAAGGGAAAGAAUAUAGCACAAGCAAACCCCACAUCUCUAGAAUAUAGACGAGCUCUCCCUAGAUUCAUGCUAGAGAGUAAAGUGCUUUGGACUGCACGGCACGAAUACUAGGAUCACCACUCCCCCUAUAUUUUAGAGAUAAAGCAUAUCUUGCAAAGAUAAGGCUAACACUAAACAAGAUAGUAAAUAUGACCAUAACAUAAAUAGCACGAUAUAGCAUAAGCUCAAUAAGGUAAUAAGGUACGAUAGAGUGCAUAUGUCUUACACCAUAUGAUAAACUUAGUCUCACGAGCACAACCAAACCAAAUCAACCAAGUUCAACAGACGGAAAGCAAAGCAAACGGUGAAGCACACAACACACGACACGCGGCGAAGCACACAACACACGACACGCAAAUCCUACACUCUCUCCCCCUUUGGCAUCGAGACACCAAAAAGGCAGAGAGGGCACCUACAACAAAGGUGGUAGCUCAGGUGGAAAACGACUCCUCGUCUCCAGAAUCCGCAGCAGGAAUGUAAUCCUCCUCAGAAUUGGUCCACUUGUAGCCCUUCUUAGCCAUCCAGGCAGCCUCGGGGGUGAUGUGCCUCUCAGAGCCGCUGGACACAUCCUCGCCGCACGCCCUCAAAAUCCUGUUGUCACGACGACGACCGUCCUUCUGAGAAACAUGGGCCUUGUACUGACUCUGGACCUGCAUGUAGAAAAGCCUCUUCAUCUUGAUCUUCAGCUUCUUCGCCCAAGAGGGCUCGAUAGAGGGAGAAGUGAUAGCAGAACGGUCCUCAACAGCUUCUUCCUCCUCAAUCUCAUCCUCAUCCACAACCAUCCUGGCAGCCUCAACAUAAGUGGUGGUGUUAUCCCAUUGGGGCUUGAUGCGAAACCUGAUGGUCUCAUGAUGAAUCCAACCGGGAGCUUCAAACUCAUCAUUGGGAAAGUGCUUCUCCCAAGUCUUGGAGAUCAGGUGAAACAAGUAAGGCCCAUAGAUGGGGACCUUAAGGUUGAACACGGCGAACUAAAGCUUACACCACAUGAUAUGUUAGACAUCAAGUGGCUGAGUCUGAGCCUGACGGGCCUCCUCGCAAAGGAGCAUCAUGUCAACGAGGUAAGCAUGCACCUGACCCAUGUCACCAAUGCGUGGGAAGAGGGUGUUCCGGAAGAGACGAUGCAUGAUGUAAAGGAAGGGGUUAAGCACCCACACCUUCUUCUUGCUAGGAAGAGUCUUCUAAACAAGGAAUGGCAUGAGCUUGUUCUUGUUGGCAGACUCAGAGUUGGCAUGAGGGCGAACUCCAACUGGCGUGUCGAGCCCUUCAUCUGGAACGUUAAGCAACUCCAUGAACUCCUUCCAUGUAGCAGACAUCCGGCGACCAUUGGUCAUCCAAGUCAUGGUCCUUGCAUCAUCAACGCCGAAGUAGACUGAAGCAAAGAACUGUGCUAUGAUCUCUGGAUCAAAAUCCUUGUGGAAGGUGAGCAUGUGCUCAAUGCCGAACUGCUCCACUAGAUCCAAGGCCUCUCCAAAGUACCCACGGUGCUUGUCCUGCCUCAUAUGGUGCAUGUCAAUAUAGUGAACUUCCAUGUAGAGGUUCUGCUUGGCCUUGAUCACAUCCAGAUAGAUCAGAUUCUGCUGCUUGGUCUAGAAGAGAUCAUUGCCUCGCAAGUUAGCCUGGGGAUUCCCAUAGGGAUUGAGCUUCCUUCGAAUGAUAAACUCAUCCUGGGGCAUCUCAUCCAUUCCCAUGACGGGCUCUUUCUACUUGUUGGCGGUGUGCUUGGUCCUGCAUUGGGAAGCAGAUGACCCCUCUGGAGCUUCAUCUUGGUUGUGCAGACGCUUUGACCCUAUGUCACGGCUGGGAUUUGAGCGACGAGCAAGAGAACCGGAGCCACCACCUAGACACAAAGCACAAGAACACGCACGGGAAACAAGACGGAUCAAUGCAAAAGAUACAGACCAAAGCUGAAGGAAACAAAUAAGCACGAGAUCCAGACAGAAAAAGAGUACUGGAUGAAUCUAUGGUAGUACCAGGCCGGUGUACGGAUGUAAAACAUUACAUCCGCUCCAGCCGCGGCAGUACCGUGUCGGGGUGGCACGAUAGUACCGUGCUUGGGGCGGAAGUAAUUUUUUACUUCCAGGCGCCAAGCGGUAGUACCGCACUAAGGUACGGAAGUACCGCAUGUGAAAGCACAAAUGCUCCCUAGGUGGUUUUGGUAAUUAAUGUCAACAUAUCUCUUGUUGGACUAACACUUUUAUCUAGUAUGUUUCAGAUAAGUUCAACAAUGGAGUGGCAUGGACUAAAUGAUGUGGAAACCCCUUCAAGAUGCUAAGGACAAAGGAUUGGCUCAAGCUUCAAGCUCAAGAAUCUUCAUUUUAUAUUUUAGUGAUCCAAGAUCACAUUGAGUCUAUAGGAAAAGCCAAUACUAUCAAGAAGGGAUGAGGUGUUGCUUAAUGAGUUUCUUGCUCCACGGUGCUUAGUGAUAUGCUCCAAAAACCCUCAACUACUUUCCCACAUUCACACAUAUGACCUAAACCUAAAGUCCAACUCGUCCCCACCGAUUCUUUCUAUCCGGCGCCACCGAGUUCAGAUAUCAUAGCCACUGCCACAAACCCUAGGCAAAUCAGUCUCACCGAUAGGGAUCUCGGUCUCACCGAGAUGGGAUUGUAAUCUCUUUGUGUAUGUCCAUUAUCAAAAUCGGUCUCACCAAGUUUGAGCAAUUGGUACUACCAAGAUUACAAUGCAAACUCUUUGGUUAACUUAUUACCCAAAUCGGUUUCACCAAGUUUGAGUAAUCGGUCCCACCGAGUUUGCCUGGCCAACUCUCUAGUUAGCUUAUUACCAAAAUCGGUCCCACCGAGUUUGUGUAAUCGGUCUCACCAAGAUUACGUUAUGCCCUAACCCUAACCAUAUCGGUCCUACCGAGUUGCAUUUCGGUCCCACCGAAAAUCCUAACGGUUACAUUGUUCACUGAAUCGGUCUGACCGAGUUUGUUGAUUCGGUCCCACCGAGAUUGGUAAAUUGUGUGUAACAGUUAGAUUUUGUGUGGAGGAUAUAUAUACCCCUCCACCUCUUCUUCAUUCGUGGAGAGAGCCAUCAGAACAAUCCUACACUUCCAGCAUCCUAUUUCUAAGAGAGAACUACCUACUCAUGUGUUGAGGCCAAGAUAUUCCAUUCCUACCAUAUUAAUCUUGAUCUCUAGCCUUCCCAAGUUGCUUUCCACUCAAAUCUUCUUUCCACCAGAUCAAAAUCCUAUGAGAGAGAGUUGAGUGUUGGGGAGACUAUCAUUUGAAGCACAAGAGCAAGGAGUUCAUCAUCAACACACUAUUUGUUACUUCUUGGAGAGUGGUGUCUCCUAGAUUGGCUAGGUGUCACUUGGGAGCCUCCGACAAGAUUGUGGAGUUGAACCAAGGAGUUUGUAAGGGCAAGGAGAUCGCCUACUUCAUGAAGAUCUACCGCUAGUGAGGCAAGUCCUUCGUGGGCGACGGCCAUGGUGGGAUAGACAAGGUUGCUUCUUCGUGGACCCUUCUUGGGUGGAGCCCUCCGUGGACUCGCGCAACCGUUACCCUUUGUGGGUUGAAGUCUCCAUCAACAUGGAUGUACGAUAGCACCACCUAUCGGAACCACGGCUCAAAAAUCACUGUGUCUCCAAAUUGCGUUUGAAAUCUCCAAACCCUUCCCUUUACAUUCUUGCAAGUUGCAUGCUUUACUUUCCGCUUCUCAUAUACUCCUUUGCAUGCUUGCUUGAUAUGUGUGAAGAUUUCUUGACUUGUGCUAAGAUUGCUAAAAUCUGCCAUAGACUAAAAUUGGGAAAAGGCAUAAUUUUUAAUUGGUCAAGUAGUCUAGUCACCCCCCCCCCCCUCUAGACUUACUUACCUCUUCUCAAGGUCCUACAAGUGGUAUCAGAGCAUUGGUCUCCAUUGCUUUGGUUUAAUCACCAUUGAGGAAGAUGGAUGAGUCUACUUUGGGGAGUCUUAGUCAUAGAGUGCCUAUACUUGAUGGAGAGUAUUUUCAUGAGUGAAAAAAUGAGAUGCUUGUAAUUUUCAAUCAAUAUCAUUUGAACAAGUACAUUGCUAGUCCUUGUGCACCAUAUGUUGAUCCUAUGCAUCCUACCCUUGAUGAGCCUAUUGACAUGAUUAGGAAUGUUAGAACUGUUAAUCUUAUCACUAGAGGCUUGCCUAGAAACUUGAUUGGAAAACUGCCUACUCUUGAGUGUGCCUACACUAUAUGGAAAUUUCUUGAGGAACGAUUUCCUAAUUAUUCCUUGAAAAAUCUGGAUGAAAUUCUUCAUAAGUCUAUUGCCUUGAGUAAGAUGAAUUCCAAUGAUCCUAUGUUUGGUAAUUGUCUAUUUGAACUUACAAAUCUUAUGUGUGCCAAAGGAAAUGUUAGAAUUAUUAGCGAUAUUAUUUCCGAAGCUACUAGACUUCAUAGAGGAGAUUAUUGUCAAACUCAUACUAAUGGAUCACCCUCACUAGGAAUUGAUCCACCACAUGACGAUGUUGAACAUGGAUACUAUGAUGAGGAUGAUGAUGAUGAUGACUUUGAUCUUGAUGAUGCAAUGAGACACUUUGGUCUUAUGGCAAAUCUUCGAGGAUAUAUGGCAGGAGGAAAGGAAUGGGUUCUUGAGAGUGGAUGUACCGAUCACAUGACCGGAGAUAAAGACAUGUUUCAUGAGCUUGCUGAAAAUGAUAGUCCUCGAAAAUAUGUCACUUUCGGUGACAACUCAAAGGGUAAGGUGGUUGGCCUCGGUAAGGUGGCCAUCUCACAUGACAGCUCAAUUCAGAAUGUUAUGCUCGUUGAAUCUCUUGGCUACAACUUACUUUCAGUAUCUAGACUUGUUGAUUUUGGUUUCAAUGUCCUAUUUACUGAAGUAGAUUGCCAAGUGUUUCGUUGAGACAAUCAUAAAAUGGUCUUUACUAGUAUACAUAGAGGUGAUCUUUACAUUGUUGAUUUCUCUAAAAAGGCUCAACCUAGAACUUGCUUCAUUGCUAAAUCCUCAAAAGGUUGGUUAUGGCAUAGACAACUAGGUCACGUUGGCAUGAGAAACCUUGACAAGCUUAUUAAAGGGAAUCAUAUCCUUGGUGUUAACGAUGUCAUAUUUGAUAAGGAUAGACUUUGCAGUGCUUGUCAAGCAGGUAAACAGGUUGGAGGAAGGCAUCCCGUGAAGAACAUCAUGACCACAAGGAGGCCACUUGAGUUACUUCACAUGGAUCUUUUUGGUCCCAACGCUUACAAAAGUCUCGGUGGAAAUUCUUUUGGUCUAGUUAUAGUUGAUGAUUUUUCAAGAUUUACGUGGGUGUUCUUUCUCGAUGAUAAAUCACAGGUCCAAAAGAUCUUCAAAAACUUCGCCAGGAAGGCUCAAAAUCAGUUUGAAGUGAAGAUCAAGAAGGUUCGCAGCGACAACGGAACGGAGUUCAAGAACGCAAAUGUGGACACCUUUCUUGACGAAGAAGAGAUUUCACACGAGUUCUCGGCUAUGUACACACCUCAACAAAAUGGAGUUGUUGAGAGGAAGAACCGGACGCUCAUCAAAAUGGCGAGAACGAUGCUUGAUGAGUACAAGACGCCGAAGCACUUUUGGGCAGAAGCGGUUGAGACAACUUGUCAUGCAACAAAUCGCUUGUAUCUUCACAAGAUACUCGGCAAGAUGGCAUACGAGCUCCUCACCGGUAACAAACCCCAAGUUGGAUACUUUCUAGUAUUCGGGUCAAAAUGCUACAUUCUUGAUAAGCAUCGUCAUUCUAAAUUUGCUCCUAAGUCCCAUGAAGGUUUCCUACUAGGUUAUGGCUCAAACUCUCACACUUACCAUGUCUACAACAAUUUCACCCGAAAGGUUGAAGAAACGGUAGAUGUGAAGUUUGAUGAAUCUAACGGCUCGCAAGUAGAGCAAUUGCCAAUUGAUGUAGGAGACAAAGACCCCUCGGAAGAAAUCCAAGACUUGUCUAUUGGCAAGAUCCGUCCAACGGAAGUGAAGGAGAGUACCUCGUCCGUCCAAGUGGAAGCUUCUACUUCACGACAAGGUGAACCAAGAGUUGAUAUGGAAGCAUCCACAAGUGGGACACACCAAGAUGAAGAAAACGAGGAAGUACAUCAAGAACGUCAACAAGCUCCUUCUCCACCACGACAAGGAACGACAACGCCAAUAAUGAAGAGGGCCAAGAAGAAGAAGAACAAGAUGAAGAAGAUGUUCAACCAAGACCCAAGCAAAAGCUUUCACGAGUUCGAGCAAGAAUUGCUAAAGACCAUCCCGUCGAGCAAAUCUACAAUGAUAUUCAAACCGGGAGAAUCACUCGCUCUAAAACUCGUUUAGCUAACUUUUGUGAAAACUAUUCAUUCCUCUCUAGCAUUGAACCUAUGAAGGUCGAAGAAGCAUUGGAAGAUCCGGAUUGGAUAAAUGCUAUGCACGAAGAGCUACACAACUUUGAGAGAAACCAAGUUUGGACAUUGGUUGAGAAGCCCGACAACAACCACAACAUCAUCGGUACCAAAUGGGUGUUUUGCAACAAGCAAGAUGAAGAUGGACAAGUAGUUCGCAACAAAGCACGUCUCGUCACCCAAGGCUACACACAAGUCGAAGGUAUGGACUAUGGUGAGACUUAUGCUCCCGUUGCUAGACUUGAGUCCAUUCGCAUCUUACUUGCCUAUGCUAAUCACCAUGAUAUCACCUUGUACCAAAUGGACAUUAAAAGUUCUUUUCUAAAUGGUGAAAUAGAGGAGGAAUUUUAUGUCAAACAACCUCCCGGCUUUAUCAAUCCUAAGAAACCCAAUCAUGUCUACAAGCUUCGCAAAUCUCUUUAUGGUCUUAAACAAGCUCCUAGAGCUUGGUAUAAAUGCUUAACCAAGUUCCUCAUUCAAAAAGGCUUUGAAAUUGGAAAAAUGAUUCUACACUUUUUACUAAAAGGGUUAAUGGAGAAUUAUUUGUAUGCCAAAUUUAUGUUGAUGAUAUUAUAUUUGGAUCGACUAACCCUCAUUUUAGCAAGAAGUUUGGAAAGCUAAUGUCGGAGAAGUUUGAGAUGUCAAUGAUGAGUGAACUCAAAUUCCUUCUUGGGUUGCAAAUCAAGCAAACUAAGGAAGGUACUUUUGUCUCUCAAACGAAGUACACUAAGGACUUAUUCAAGAAGUUCAAUAUGCAAGAAUGCAAAGGUAUGUCUACACCCAUGCCUACUAGUGGACAUCUUGAUUUGACCAAAGAUGGUGAACCGGUUGAUCAAAAGGUUUAUCGCUCUAUGAUUGGUUCAUUGUUAUAUCUAUGUGCUUCACGUCCCGAUAUUAUGCUAAGUGUGUGCAUGUGUGCAAGAUAUCAAGCUGCACCUAAAGAAUGUCAUCUUAAGGCCAUGAAAAGGAUAGUGAGAUAUUUAAUUCAUACGCCAAAUUUUGGCAUUUGGUAUCCUAAGAGGGCCUCUUUCGAUCUUGCUGGCUACUCCAACUCGGACUAUGCCGGAGACAAGGUUGAUAGAAAGUCCACUUCGGGUACUUGUCAAUUUCUUGGUAGAUCUCUUGUGUCUUGGUCUUCCAAGAAACAAAACUCGGUAUCCUUAUCCACCGCCGAAGCGGAAUACGUUGUCGCUGGUUCAUAUUGUGCUCAAUUACUUUGGAUGACCCAAACUCUGAAAGAUUAUGGGAUAUAUGUGAAACAUGUUCCAUUGCUUUGUGACAAUGAAAGUGCUAAUCAAAAUUGGUCAUAAUCUCGUGCAACAUUCUCAAACUAAGCAUAUUUAAGUUCGUCAUCAUUUCAUUCGAGAUCAUGUUGCUAAGGGUGACAUUGAUCUUAAGCAUGUUCGCACCGAAAAGCAAUUAGCAGAUAUUUUCACCAAACCUCUUGAUGAGAAAGUUUGCAGGUUGAGAGGAGAAUUGAACAUCAUUGAUGCUUCAAACUUGGAGUAGAAACUCCAUUGUAUACAUGCAAGACAAGAGCUUAUGACUAAUCCUUGAUAUUUCUCUUAUGAUGAUAAUCUUAUGUCUUGGACAUAUUUGCAUCUUGCAUGUUAUCUAACCCAUGUAGGUACUUGGUUGAAUCAUAUUCCAUGAGAUUAUAACCUACUCACAUCUUGAGCAAUCCCUACAUCACCAAGUCUCUACACUAUGGUGGUUGAAGACAGGAAGCUCGGAACCAUUCGAACAUAUCCUUUGACAAAUUCUAUGUUGAAAUUCAUAAUUGUUAUUUUGGGUACACAAGUGCUCUUCCUUGCAAGAACUAACCCAUGUAGGUAGAUGAACUCAAAUUCUAGGUGGCGCUCCCAACUCUUGCUGAGCUACAUCAACCUUGAGCAACCCACACAAGUUCAACUACAUGAUCAACACCACCACCCAAGAUAUGUUUUUCCAUCUUAGAGAAGCUUUACUCCAAGACAUGAGAUAAAGCAACUCGACAAGAUGUGAAUACAUCAAGAUGCUUAAACGAAAAAUGGAAACCCCAUUUUGAGCUUAAACAAUGAGUAUGACCUAUGAUCAAGUGAUCUCACUUGACUCCUAAGUCAAUAUACUCUAACAUAGGUGACUUUGUUGCUGACCAAUUCUACAUGAAGUUCUCUCGUGUUCUUUUCUAUGCUCUUGCAUUUGUCUCAUGCAUGUUUGUUUCCCCUUUCAAAAAAACUUCAUCUAGAUUUCUUUCUUUUCUUUUCUGUUUGCUCUGCAUUUCCUGCACCCAAUUCAUUGCAUAUCAUUCAGUUAAUUCCUUGCAAAUCUUUGUGAGAUCUUACUAGUCUAGUGAGCUAAGGUGACAAGUGUUCUCUUUGUGAUGAACUCGGUCUCACUGUUUUGUUGAUUUUGGUCCAACCGAAACCUUUCGGUGCAACCGAAUCAUAUCACUCGGUGCCACUGACUUCACAACAGGAAAAACAUUUUGCCACUUAUUCCUCUUUUCUUUUGAUCCAGCUCCACUCAAUGAAUCUUGUCCUCUACAAGCAUCACAUUGUUAUCAGUGCUUUGUACUGUGACUCAAGGAUCAAACCCAUUCACGACAAAUUCUAGAAGGCCCUUCUUGGAAAUUGAUGUCAAAGGGGGAGAGAGAGAUCACAUCAAAGCUUAUCACUUCCAAAGAGAGAGAGAGAUUAUCACUUCCACAGGGGGAGAGAGAGAUCUCUAGGGGGAGAGGAUACUCAAGAAGAGAGUAAUCCUCAAGGAUCCCAGAUGCUUAGUGUUCAAGAGGAGAGAUGCCACAUGUCUUCUUGAGGGGAAAGGCAUGUUCUUAUGUGCUUAUUUGCAUUAGCUCUGUUCAUUUGUUCCUUUCAGCUCUGAUUUUCUGUUCACUAUCUUCUCCCAGUAUCCCAUGCUAGAUUCAAGGGGAGCAAGACAUCUAAAGGAAAGAAAUCAUUUAAAUUCAUUGCAUAUCUUUACCUUUGGGGACAUGUCUAAUCCAAUGUGGUACUUAGUACUCACUCUCUACAUGUCAUCCUAGUCUUGGUAUUCUUGUGGUUCCUUCUGUUUGCUCUGGCUAGUAGGUGUAUCUGUGUUGUCUAACCUUGUUUAGGCAGGUUCAUUCCAUCCUAAGCCAACUCAAGACCACAAGGUAAGUAUAUGCAUCACAAUCAUGUGUAUGAGGAAUUCUUGCUGAUGUACAUACUGUUUCCAAGAAGGACUCAUGAGCAUGAAGCUAUUUUCUUUAAUAUUCCUUGCUCUGAUGCAUAUGGCCAAGAUACAUGUAACACAUUGCUUACUCUGUCAUGUUCAUGCAUUCACAUGCUUCUACAUUCCAUAUUCACAUGAUUGCAUACAUGUAGGGGGAGCCUAUGCUUGUUACAUGUCUUUCCAAAGCUUUACUUGCUAUACUCUAUAUCUUUAUCUAAAGCUUUGAUGUAUGUUGUCAUCAAUUACCAAAAAGGGGGAGAUUGAAAGAACAAGUGCUCCCUAGGUGGUUUUGGUAAUUAAUGUCAACAUAUCUCUUGUUGGACUAACACUUUUAUCUAGUAUGUUUCAGAUAAGUUCAACAAUGGAGUGGCAUGGACUAAAGGAUGUGGAAACCCCUUCAAGAUGCUAAGGACAAAGGAUUGGUUCAAGCUUCAAGAUCAAGACUCUUCAUUUUAUAUUUAAGUGAUCCAAGAUCACAUUGAGUCUAUAGGAAAAGCCAAUACUAUCAAGAAGGGAUGAGGUGUUGCUUAAUGAGUUUCUUGCUCCACAGUGCUUAGUGAUAUGCUCCAAAAUCCCUCAACUACUUUCCCACAUUCACACAUAUGACUUAAACCUAAAGUCCAACUCGGCCCCACCGAUUCUUUCUAUCCGGCGCCACCGAGUUCAGAUAUCAUAGCCACUGCCACAAACCCUAGGCAAAUCGGUCUCACCGAUAGGGAUCUCGGUCUCACCGAGAUGGGAUUGUAAUAUCUCUGUGUAUGUCCAUUAUCAAAAUCGGUCUCACCGAGUUUGAGCAAUUGGUACUACCGAGAUUACAAUGCAAACUCUCUGGUUAACUUAUUACCCAAAUCGGUUUCACCGAGUUUGAGUAAUUGGUCCCACCGAGUUUGCCUCACCAACUCUCUGGUUAGCUUAUUACCAAAAUCGGUCCCACUGAGUUUGUGUAAUCGGUCUCACCGAGAUUACGUUAUGCCCUAACCCUAACCAUAUCGGUCCUACCGAGUUGCAUUUCGGUCCCACCGAAAAUCCUAACGGUCACAUUGUUUACUGAAUCGGUCCGACCAAGUUUGUUGAUUCGGUCCCACCGAGAUUGGUAAAUUGUGUGUAACAGUUAGAUUUUGUGUGGAGGCUAUAUAUACCCCUCCACCUCCUCUUCAUUCGUGGAGAGAGCCAUCAGAACAAUCAUACACUUCCAGCAUCCUAUUUCUGAGAGAGAACUACCUACUCAUGUGUUGAGGCCAAGAUAUUCCAUUCCUACCAUAUGAAUCUUGAUCUCUAGCCUUCCCAAGUUGCUUUCCACUCAAAUCUUCUUUCCACCAGAUCCAAAUCCUAUGAGAGAGAGUUGAGUGUUGGGGAGACUAUCAUUUGAAGCACAAGAGCAAGGAGUUCAUCAUCAACACACCAUUUGUUACUUCUUGGAGAGUGGUGUCUCCUAGAUUGGCUAGGUGUCACUUGGGAGCCUCCGACAAGAUUGUGGAGUUGAUCCAAGGAGUUUGUAAGGGCAAGGAGAUUGCCUACUUCGUGAAGAUCUACCGCUAGCGAGGCAAGUCCUUCGUGGGCGAUGGCCAUGGUGGGAUAGACAAGGUUGCUUCUUCGUGGACCCUUCUUGGGUGGAGCCCUCCGUGGACUCGCGCAACCGUUACCCUUCAUGGGUUGAAGUCUCCAUCAACGUGGAUGUAUGAUAGCACCACCUAUCGGAACCACGGCUCAAAAAUCACCGUGUCUCCAAAUUGCGUUCGAAAUCUCCAAACCCUUCCCUUUACAUUCUUGCAAGUUCAUGCUUUACUUUCCGCUGCUCAUAUACUCCUUUGCGUGCUUGCUUGAAUUGUGUGAAGAUUGCUUGACUUGUGCUAAGAUUGCUAAAAUCUGCCAUAGACUAAAAUUGGGAAAAGGCAUAAUUUUUAAUUGGUCAAGUAGUCUAAUCACCCCCCUCUAGACUUAAUUACUUACCUCUUCUCAAGGUCCUACAGCAUGGUGCCAGAUACAGGCGAGGCCGCGGUAGUACUGCUCCAGGAGGAGCGGUAGUACUGCGCGGAUCGAAAACUGCGACAGAGAGUUACGGAUCUGGAUCUAGUACCUCUGCACGACAACAUCGGUACUACCGUUGAUCAAUCGGAACUAUUUUGACUAUCCAAAGAGCAUGCUUACUACACUACCAUGCUCCUACGAAUCCCUCUUGCACAGAUUUAGCCAAAAAUCUCAAGACCACCACAUGCAUCUCCCAAAAACCUAGAAGCAAAGGAACAAACCAAAAGGAGAGGGAUUUGGGGAAAAACCUUGGUCCAUGGCAAGAGGAAGUGGUGUGGAACGAUCCCACCAGUCAGAAUCCGAGGAGAGCGGCCGGAGACGAAGAUCCGGCGAAGGCCUCCGGCGCCGUUCUUAGGUAGGAGAGAGAGACGGGUGGGGAAUAGAGAUGAAUGGGUAUGGGGGAGUUAGAACUCCCCCUAUCCCACUCUUAACCCCCACCUGCUUGCGUGGGUGCGGAAGUACCGCCGGUCAUCGCAGUAGUACCGCCCGGGCGUAAGUACCGCGCGCUGGGCGGUAGUACCGCUCUUCCAGCGGCAGUAAAAAAAGUACUGCCGCGAUGGUAGCGGUAGUACCAUGCCCCUGGGAGGCAACUGAGCAAACGCAAAGCUACCAACUCCUGCGGUAGUACCGUGGCCUGCCACGGUAGUACCGUAACCCAAGAAAGUGCAAGUUUCACACAAGAGCAAAAGCAAAACAACCUUCGGGAACACCGAACAAAAAAGAGGCGAAAACAAACGAUGACACAAACUCGCACAUGGAAGAGGAAAGCACAAGACAAGGAAGACCAACCAAGAGACACAACCUCUCCAAGGAGAGGGCGGUGGCCGGAGCAACCUAUGUUUGAGUCAAUUGGUAUGGCACCGCGAAGAAUUAUCCUUGGGCCCAUGACCAAAACUCGUCUUUGAAGCACAAGUACCAUCAAAAAUGGCUAAUGUGAAAGAGUUGAUCAAUUUAUGCAUAAUGGGGGGAGGGGGAGUUCAUUGAGAGAACAACACUCCCCCUAUGUCCAUGCCUACACCUAAAACUAGACAACAAGUUGAAUGUGGUGGGAUGUGCAAGGGUUCAAGUCACAUUGCUCGAAUCAAUGAUAUUUAGCUCAUGCCUUAACUCGCGAAAUCUUGCUUCAUCCAAGGGCUUCGUGAAAAUAUCUACAAGGUUAUCAUGAGUGUUGACAUACUUGAGCUCGAUCUCCCCUCGCCUAAUAUGAUCCCGGAUGAAGUGAUACCGAAUCUCAAUAUGCUUCGUCUUGAAGUGUUGCACCGGGUUGAGAGAAAUCUUGAUGGCACUUUCAUUGUCACACCAAAGAGGCACUUUGUCAUAAAUGACACUAUACUCCUUUAAAGUUUUCCUCAUCCAUAGCAGUUGUGCACAACAACUACCGGCCGCCACAUACUCCGCUUCGGUGGACGAGAGAGACACACAACUUUGCUUUUUGGAAGACCAACUCACCAAAGAGCAACCAAGAAAUUGGCACCCUCCGGAAGUCGACUUCCUAUCCACUUUGUCUCCCGCCCAGUCGGAAUCCGUAUAUCCUUCAAGCUUGAAGUUUGCUCCUCUUGGUACCACAAGCCAACGUUUGGGGUAUGAGCCAAAUAUCGAAAGAUUCGCUUGACCGCCACAUAGUUGCUUUCCUUUGGUGCGGCUUGAAACCAUGCACACAUUCCCAUACUCAACAUGAUAUCCAGUCUAGAUGCACAAAAAUAAAGCAAGGAGCCAAUCAUGGAGCGAUAUACCUUUUGAUCCACUGCUUUAUCAUUGGGAUCAAUGUCAAGUUGGGACUUGGUGGGCAUUGGAGUAGUAGCCGGCUUGACAUCACUUAGCUUGAAUCUUUUGAGCAUGUCUUGAGUGUAUUUGGCUCGGUUGAUGAAGGUUCCUUCUCUUCUUUGCUUGAUAUCGAACCCGAGGAAGAACUUCAACUCUCCCAUCGAAGACAUCUUGAACUUAGAGGUCAUGAGAGCGGGAAAUUCCUCAUUGAAAGCUUUGUUAGGGGAACCAAAGAUAAUAUCAUCAACAUAUAGUUGGCAUACAAACAACUCCCCUUUGACCUUCUUAGUAAAAAGAGUGGGAUCAAUUUUCCCAACCUCAAACCCACGAUCUUGUAGCAACUCGGUAAGGUGGUCAUACCACGCACGUGGGGCUUGCUUAAGGCCAUAGAGUGCCUUAUCAAGUUGAUACACAUGAUCCGGGAAAUAGGGAUCCUCGAACCCGGGGGGUUGCUUGACAUAAACCAAGUCAUUAAUAGGACCAUUAAGAAAAUCACUCUUCACAUCCAUUUGUUGUAACUUAAAGUUGUGAUGGGAAGCAUAAGCAAUCAACAAACGAAUGGAUUCAAGGCGAGUAACGGGAGCAAAGGUUUCACCGUCGUCGAUACCCUCAACUUGGGAGUAGCCUUGUGCUACCAAUCUUGCCUUGUUGCGAAUGAUGUUCCCAUGAGCAUCUUGCUUGUUCUUGAAUAUCCACUUGGUUCCAAUGACGUUGUGGUUCUCCGACGGCCUUGACACCAAUCUCCACACCUUGUUGUACUCAAAGGUGUUGAGUUCUUCAUGCAUGGCAUUGAGCCAAUCCGAAUCUUCGAGCGCCUCAUAGACCUUUUGGGGUUCAACACAAGAGACAAACGUGUGAUGUUCACAAUAGUUUGCUAAUUGUCUACGAGUGCUUACCCCCUUUCUUAGGCUUCCAACCACAUUUUCCAUGAGAUGACCUUUGGUGGUGAGCUUGGAAGCAAUCUUCGCGGCACGACGCUCUAACUCCUCCUCGGAUGUGGAAGCAGGAGGGGUAACUUGAUCAUCUUGAGCACCGUCUUGAGCUUGUUCUUGGUCUUGAACUUGCUCGAGGGGGAGAACUUGACCUUGGGCAUCAUUUGGUGGUUCACCACCAUCUUGAGGUUGAUCUUGCCCUUGAUUUUGUUCGAGAGGUUGAGGGCCUUCACUUUGUUCUUUGGAAGCGUGUGGGUCUUGGGAAGGUGAUGGCUCCACUUGAGUGGAGCAUUGUCCUUCUCCUUCGGCCACAAGGGGUUCCUCAAUGGGUAGGAUAUGACCAAUACCCAUUCUUCUUAUGGCUUGGGGAGGAAUUUCAUCACCUACAUCACAAGUACCAUUUUUCUCCACUUGGUAGCCGUUAUUCUCGUCAAACUCUAUGUCACACGUCUCCUCAAUGAGUCUGGUGGACUUGUUGAGGACACAGUAAGCAUGAGAGUUUGUAGCAUAACCAAAAAAUAUGCCCUCAUAAGCUCUAGCCUCAAAUUUAGACAAACAAACACCUUUCUUGAGAAUGAAACACUUACACCUGAACACCCGGAAGUACUUGAGGUUGGGCUUGUUACUGGUGAGUAUUUCAUAAGGAGUCUUGUUCAAGCCUUUGCGGAGAUAGAGCUGAUUGGAUGCAUGACAUGUUGUGUUGAUGGCUUCAGCCCAAAAGUUGUAUGGAGACUUGAACUCCUCCAUCAUGGUCCUGUCCGCAUCCAUCAACGUCCGGUUCUUCCUCUCCGCGACACCAUUUUGUUGAGGGGUAUAUUGAUGCUUGAUCCCCUCAUCACUAAGAAACUCAUCUAAGGUCUAGUUCUUGAACUCGAUGCUGUUGUCACUUCUUAUUGUCAAGAUCUUUGCAUCAUGUUGAUGUUGAGCUUCAUUUGCAAAGUCGAUGACAAUCUGUUGAGUCUCACUCUUCCUCUUGAAGAAGUAUACCCAAGUGUAUCUUGAAUAAUCAUCCACAAUCACCAAGAAAUACUUUCUACCUCCAAGACUAUCAAAGGAUGGAGGCCCAAAGAGAUCCAUGUGAAGGAGCUCUGAGGGUCUCUUCGAGUAGAUGAUGGUCGUGGGAGGGUGAGCCUUCUCAUGAAGCUUUCCUUCAAUACAAGAACUGCAAGCAUGAUCUUUGGCAAAACUAACAUUUGUUAGUCCACGGACAUGGUCCCCCUUGAGAAGACUUUGCAAAGAUCUCAUAUUGACGUGGGCUAAAUGGCGAUGCCAAAGCCAUCCCACAUCAACUUUAGCCAUUAGGCAUGUCGCGGUCUUAGUGGAUUGCUCCGAAAAGUUAAUCACGUAAAGACCAUUCUCGACAUGCCCAAUAAAGGCUACUUUAAGAGUCUUGCUCCACAAGAGGGCCAGGGUAUCAAUAUCAAAGAAAGUAGCAAAGCCCAUGAGUGCAAGUUGACGAACGGAAAGAAGAUUGAAUGCAAGGGACUCAACAAGCAUGACUUUCUCGAUCGUUAGAUCAUGAGAAAUGACAACCUUGCCAAGACCCAAUACCUUAGAAGACGAUGCAUCCCCCCACUCGACAUUUGUGGGCAUAGAAGGAAUCUUUUGCACGUCCACCACCAAGUCCUUGCUUCCGGUCAUAUGAUUUGUUGCUCCACUAUCGAGCAACCAUGAUCCCCCACCGGAAGCAAACACCUACACGAGAUCAAUGCUUGGUUUUAGGUACCCAUCUCAAUGGGUCCUUUGAUGUUAGUAACAAGGGUCUUAGGAACCCAAAUAGACCAUUCAAUGUACUCAUAAGGAGAACCAACAAAUUUAGCAUAAACAUGCCCAUCACUAGCAUGGCACAACAAAUAAGAGGGGUUAAAGUCGUCGGCUUUGUUGGAGGAGGUGGUUUUGCCCUUUUUGACAUCAACACCCUUCACAUUAUUCUUCUUCUCCUUAGGAGCACCCUCUCCCUCUUUCACAAAAGUUUUCUUGAGAGCAGGAGGUCGUUUGGUCUUGUCGUUCUUCUUCUUGUUCUUGGACUUGGGUGCGAACCCAACUCCCUCCUUGGCCACACCUUCCUUUUGAUUGCUCAAAAGGUCAUUGAGGUUCUUCUCACCUUGAAUGCAUGUCACAAGGCCUUUCUCAAGUUGAUCCUUCAACUUGGCAUUCUCCUCCACAAGAUGCACAUGCUCACAACAUGGGUUAGUGGCAUUUGCAUUAUCAAUUAACACCAUAUGAGGAAAGGUGGCUUUUUCUUUGGUUAACUUAACUUGGAGUUGAUCAUGAGACUCCUUGAGGCUAGCAUGAGCACCCUUCAAGACCUUGUGAGCCUUGUCGAGUAAAUCAAACUCCUCCUUGAGUCUAGCAUGGUCAACGCCAAGUUUAGCCUUCUCGGAAGUUAGCACACAAGACACAACAAGAGCAUGAUCAAGAUCUUUCUUUAACUUAGCAUGGUCAUCGUUGUGUGACUCCUCAAGAGCCAAACGAUGUCCACGCUCUUCCUCAAGAGCAUUAGAGAGAUCCGAUAUCUCAUCAGCAUAGUCAUGACUAUGGCCUUCCAUCUUAGAGAUGGUUUCUUCAUGAGCCUCGAUCAUGUCAUUGGCUUCACCAAGUUGUUCCAAGAGAGCAACGAAGUGCUUCUUGGAUUUGCCCUUUAGCUUACUCAUAAAAGACUCAAAUUCAUUUACUUCCUCACUAGACCCCUCAUGUUCAUCAAUGCAAUCCGUCAAGGAGGGAUUAGUAAUGAUGGUGGUUUUGAUGUUGGGAGUUACCUUGUUAGAGGCUUUGGCCAUGAGGCACUUGGCGAUGAUGUUCUCAUUGGGUGAAUCAAAGAGAGACAUCCGGGGAGUUGUGGCAAUGGCAACGGAUGCCAUGGCCAUUGCUUCACUAUCUUCAUCAUCAUUGUCAUCCUCAUGGUAUUCUUCUUGAACCACCAACCCUCGAGUAGGAGUCUUUUUAGUGAAGUUGUUCUUGUUGGGGAAGGACUUGGCUUUGUCUUUUAGGAUGAGCUUGCCACCAUUGUCUUCCCGCUUCUCGUAUGGACAAUCUGCAACGAAAUGGAUCACAUUGCCACCGUUGUAACAAGUUCUUACUCAUUGCUUUCCCUUAAAGCCACUUGAGUUGUUCUUGUUGAAAUUGGGACUUGAUUUCUUCUUGCUCCAAAAUUUCCUUGAAGCAAGAGCCAUGUGCUCAUGAUAAUCAUACUUCGUAUCUUCGGGGUUGCUCUCCUCAUCUUCCUCUUCUUCCUCUUCUUCCACAAUAACCUUGGCCUUCAAGGCAAGGUUGGGCUUCUUUGCCCUUUGAGAGCGGAGCACCAUGUUGUCGGUGGUCUUGUCCAAGAUGCUCAUUGCAAUGAACUCAUCCAACACUUCACUUGAGGUCAUGGAGUGGAAGUCCGGUCUUUAACGAAUGACGGAAGACAUGGCCUUGUUGUAGGGCAUCAUGGCCUUGAGGAACUUGCGCUUGAUCCAAUUGUCAUCCGUGUCCUUGCUCCCAUGAUCUCGGAGUGAGACCGCGAGUUUGGUUACUCUCCGAAAGAGCUCACGAGGUUCUUCAUCUUCUUUCAUUGCAAACUCAUCGGCUUCAUCUUGCACCACUUCAUAGUUGGAGCGUUGAAUGCUUGAACUUCCCCGAUAGAGAGACACAACGCAUUGCCAUGCGUCUUUGUCCAUGGCAUGGGGUCGGAGAUGAGGGAGAUCUUCAGGGAGAAUAGCAUCUUGGAUGAUGAAGAGAGCAUUAUCAUUGAAUUGAUUAUCCACGGCUUCUCUAGGGGUGAAGUUGCUUCGGUCAUGUGGAUAGAAACCUUCUUCAAUGAUUCUCCAAAGAUUAGUAUUCACAUGAUUUAAAUGACGCUUGAAGCGAUACGCCCAAGAAUCAAAAUCCUCAUUUUUCACAAUCUUAGGAGGAGGGCCGGCAUGAUUUAAAUGAGUAGAGGGAAUCAGUCCUCCAUAAGUUGGAGGUUCCACAUGGGCAAAGAUGCCGGUGCCAUUUCUACCACUGGUAGAAGGACCCUUUUCACUAUUAGCUUCCCCCUUGUCGGAGUUAGCAUCCGUCACCUUGUUAGUGGGAUCACCCACUUUCAACGGCACGGUAGAUAGUUUAAGUCCUUCUAAGAAUUUAUUAAACAUGCUUUCAACCUCGGUGGUCAAAGAGGUUUUUAAUGUGUCCAAAGCCACAUUGAAUUCCUCACGAGACACCGCGGUUUCCCCAUCACCCGUAGACGAGCUCGGAUUCACACCGGAGUGCUCCUCCCUAUCGUCUAUGGUGUCAACCAUACUCUUCGGACGGCAAAGUCCUUAAUAAAGAAACGAGGCUCUGAUACCAAUUGAAAGGAUCGAUAUAAUUGACUAGAGGGAGGUGAAUAGGCAACUAACAAUUUUUAGCUUUUCUUUACCAAAUUAAACUUUGCAUCAUAGUAGGUUGUCUAGAUAUGCAACUAGGUGAACAACCUAUAUGAUGCAACAACAACAAUCACACAAGCAAGCAUGGGAUAUAACACAAGUAAGCUUGCAAAAGUAAAGGAGCAAGAUAACCACGAGUGGAGCCGGUGGAGACGAGGAUGUGUUACCGAAGUUCCUUCCUUUUGAGGGGAAGUACGUCUCCAUUAGAGAGGUGUGGAGGCACAAUGCUCCCCAAGAAGCCACUAGAUCCACCGUAUUCUCCUCACGCCCUCACACAAUGCGAGAUGCCGUGAUUCCACUAUUGGUGCCCUUGAAGGCAGCGACCGAACCUUUACAAACAAGGUUGGGGCAAUCUCCACAACUUAACUGGAGGCUCCCAACGACACCACAAAGCUUCACCACAAUGGACUAUGGCUCCGAGGUGACCUCAACCGUCUAGGGUGCUCAAACACCUAAGAGUAACAAGAUCCGCUAGGGAUUAGUGGGGGGAAUCAAAUUUCUCUUGGUGGAAGUGUAGAUCAGGGCCUUCUCAACCAAUCCCGAGCAAAUCAACAAGUUUGAUCGGCUAGGGAGAGAGAUCGGGCGAAAAUGGAGCUUGGAGCAACAAUGGAGCUUAGGGAUGGAAGAGGUGGGUCUUCUUGGAGAAGAAAACCCCCUUAUAUAGUGGGGGGAAAUUCCAACCAUUACCCACCACUCAGCCCGCGACUCGCGGUACUACUGCACCACAGGAGCGGUACUACCGCACAAGUCUGCGGUACUACUGUGGUGGACCGCGGUACUACCGUGGGCGCAGCAGAGCCUGGACCUGAAUAGAAGAACACAGACAGGGUGCGGUAGAACAGCAGGCGCGGUACUACCGCGACCCUUUGCGGUACUACCGCAGGGCAGCCACGGUCCAGGAACGGUAGGCACAGAUGUAAAAAAAUUACAUCCGUGACUACCUCCGCUGAGAUAUUAUCGAUGCGAAAAUCCGACAUGGUACUACCGCGAACCAGGGUGUGGUACUACCGUGAAGGGUACGAGAAUGUAAAAAAUUACCUCCGCUCCUACAGCAGCACCUGGCCACGCGACACGGUACUACUGCGCCGCAUCACGGUACUACCGCGUAGGGCGCGGAUGUAAAAAAUUACAUCCGCCCCUACUACCGCUUGAGCAGCGACGCCGGGCCAGAACUCACGAUACUACCGCUUGGGCGGAGUGGUAAUACUGUGGAAGCCUACGGUACUACCGUGCUGGAGCCCGGUACUACCGCUGGCUCCUGCGGUAGUACCGCUCAGUGGAGCAGUGCUACCGCCAGCCUGAGAUGAGCAACUCGGAGUCCUUCAUUUCACAGAGACAAGGUGAGACGAAGAAGAACUCCAAAGAGCCAAAGGAAAUGCGUUGCAAAAGGGACGUGUACAUGAGAUUCCACCCAAACCUUUCCAAAGCGGACCCCCUCUUAAUAGUACGGCUUUCCUCGACUCAACUCCACCGAAAAGAACCGUAGAGAAACGCCGUAUUCAAUAAUCUUCGAGGGGCAUCAAAUCGUCUUGUGUUUAGUCACGAUAUAUCUGAAAAGCUCAGUACACAUGAUUAGUCCGCAAAAGCAUUGUCAUCAAUCACCAAAACUACUAAGGGACAAGAAUGCCCUUACACUUGGCAUAUAACUGAUGUUCUCUGAGCUUCCCAAGUACCAAACGCAAAUGCUCCUUAUGCUCCUCUUCAUUUUUCGAGUAGACCAGAAUAUCAUCAAUGAACACCACGACGAACUUAUCCAAAAACUCCAUAAACACCUUGUUCAUCAUGUUCAUGAAAUAGGCAGGCGCAUUAGUCAGACCAAAUGACAUAAUGGUAUACUCAUAUAACCCGUACCUUGUGGUAAAAGCUGUCUUGGGUAUAUCCUGCUCUCGAAUCUUCAACUGGUGGUAUCCUGAUCGCAGAUCGAUCUUGGAAAAUACUUUAGCUCCUUGCAACUGAUCAAACAAGUCAUUGAUCAUCGGCAGUGGGUACUUGUUCUUGAUCGUUACUGUCGGUGUCAAAACCGGCGGAUCUCGGGUAGGGGGUCCCGAACUGUGCGUCUAGGCGGAUGGUAACACGAGACAAGGGACACGAUGUUUUACCCAGGUUCGGGCCCUCUUAAUGGAGGUAAAACCCUACGUCCUGCUUGAUUGAUAUUGAUGAUGUGGGUAUUACAAGAGUAGAUCUACCACGAGAUCAAGGAGGCUAAACCCUAGAAGCUAGCCUAUGGUAUGAUUGUUGUUCGUCCUAUGGACUAAAGCCAUCCGGUUUAUAUAGACACCGGAGAGGACUAGGGUUACACAGAGUCGGUUACAAUGGUAGGAGAUCUACAUAUCCGUAUUGCCAAGCUUGCCUUCCACGCCAAGGGAAGUCCCAUCCGGACACGGGAUGAAGUCUUCAAUCUUGUAUCUUCAUAGUCUUGGAGUCCGGAUGAUGAUAGUUCGGCUAUCCGGACACCCCCUAGUUCAGGACUCCCUCAGUAGCCCCUGAACCAGGCUUCAAUGACGACGAGUCUGGCGCGCAUAUUGUCUUCGGCGUUGCAAGGCGGGUUCCUUCUCCGAAUAAUUUAUAGAAGAUUGUGAACACUAGGAUAGUGUCCGGCUCUGCAAAAUAAAUUCCACAUACCACCAUAGAGAGAAUAAUAUUUACACAAGUUCAAUCUGCUGACGUAUUUGGUGGCGUGACGUCACACCACUACCAAGCCUUUACUCGAAUCGUUUUUAUUGUACCACCUUAGCGUGUUUAGCGAAGCGGUUUCCUUGGCACGUCUUGUCGAAGCAGAGAUCGUGUUCCCCUUAUUCCGGGAUUCCCAUCAAUACAGACGUGGGUGACCCAACCGCGCCAUUGAUUGCGGCGCUUGGGAGAUAAGCGAGUUUUAUCAGGCUGGUGGGGACUCAUGUUUUCGUCCGCCCAUAUAAGAGGAUAAAGAUCCAACCCUUUUACCUGCGCCUUCUUCCUCCUUGGCUUAUCCAUCUCCGCGAACUCGAGCUCCAGCGCCCAAGUCCGCACAUCUCACCUCAACCUUCUCCAACUAUGUCCGGAGCGGGAGGCAAGUGGAUGGCCUCCUCCGUUAUGGAGGGGCACAUCCAGAAGCUGUGCAGCGCCGGAUAUCUGUCCAGCGACAUCGUGCACCGGCUCCCCGACGAGGGAGAGCUCAUCCCCACCCCCAGGCCCCAUGAGAGGGUAGUAUUUCUUUCCAAUUUCCUCCGCGGACUGGGCUUCCCACUCCAUCCCUUUGUCCGGGGGCUCAUGUUCUACUACGGCCUGGAUUUACAUGAUCUGGCCCCGAAUUUCAUCCUCAACAUCUCGGUGUUUAUCGUCGUGUGUGAGGCCUUCCUCUGCAUCCAGCCCCACUUCGGCUUGUGGCUCAAGACCCUCAGUAUCAAGCCGAAGGUUGUGAAGGGCAGCCAAGCAGAGUGCGGAGGCGCCAUGGUGGGCAAGAUGCCCAACAUUACUUGGCUUGAGGGCACUUUCGUGGAAACCAUUAAGGGGUGGCAAUCGGGGUGGUUCUACAUCACCGAGCCGCGUGACCCUGAAUGGGCAGCGGCCCCCGAAUUUAGAUCUGGCAUCCCCAUACGGCUCACCUCCUGGAAAGAGAGCGGCCGGACAUGGGGUGAUUCGGAGGAGCUGACCGGACUCCAAGCCUGCAUCCAAAAGCUAGUGAACAAGAAGCUCAAGCUUGUCAACGUAGUCUAGGUCAUGCUCAUCCGCCGGAUUCUCCCGUGCCAACGACGGGGCUUCAAUACGUGGGAGUUCGAUUCGGCGCAGCACCAGACUUUGAGCGGGCUCUCCGUCACUACGUACGAAGAUGCCUGGAGGGUGCUGUUUAAGGGUGCCGAGGCCCCCGCAUCUGCUACCGAAGAUCGCAGAUUUAGCUCGCAGCGUCCGGCUAGCGAGGUAAGCGAUUUUGCCCUUUACGGGACACUUGUUUUCCUUAGUUUGACUCUAUGCGGGAUCUAAACUCCCCCUCCUUUGACAGGACUAGCUGAAGAAGGCUAAACAGACUAUCUGUCCGGCCCCAUUGCCAGAGGACCCAGCGGACGCCCGCUUAACGGGGCUGCUGGCUCCGGCACCCCAUGUGGUGUCGGAGAAGAAGGCCAAGAAGAAGGCCACGGGCACUCGGAAGAGUUCCCGUUUUCAGGUGUCAUCGGACGAUGACUCCGAGGCAGACUCCUCCCACAAAGGCGAGGAGGAGAAGAAGAAGGCCUCUCCCCCAGCGGGGGGAGGGAAGAAAAGGAAGGCUUCCCCAACAAGGGAGGCCGAAGGGUCCAAGAAGGGAAGGACUCUUCCCCCGGACUGCUCUGCCAACGCCGUAGAUGACGACGAGGAUUGGCCUCCAAGGGCCAAGCCCCUGGCGAGAUCGUAAGUAUCCGGACUCCCGAAUAACUUCAUGGUUUUUCUUUUCGCCACAUAGUGUCUUUCUAAUGCCGCAUACAACCCUACAGUCCGCCCAAGGAUGAUCUUCCCGCUUCGUCGAGCGGGUCCUUGGGUGCGUCGGAUAUGGAUUCUCUUCCGACUGCUUCCUCCCCCCGUGAUGCGGACGAUGCCGAGGUGGGAUCCCAGGAAGGGACCCGCUAGGAGGAGGAGGCCCCGGAGGUGCCGCAGGGCAACCUCCCAGACUUUGCACCAAACUCGGCCCCGGAACCCGUAGUGGAUCUGGAGUCCGGCGGGCGGCCCCUUCGUAAGAAGGGCAAGACCGUGACGCCGGCAGCCUCCGUCCAAUCGGAGGCGCCAGAUAGCUUGCUGGAGGCACUCAAUGGCGCCUCCAUCAAAGAGGAACACCGCAUUGUUAUGAGUGCGGUGAUUCAAAAGGUUCAGCUCGCCAAGAGCGGGCUGACCGAAGCCUGCAGCAGCCUUCUAACAGGCUUUGAGGUAAGAAUUUUGAUAUAUGUAAAAUAGUACCGCAUUGACAGUAGCCCCUGAUGCUCGGUUCGGUAUUCGGAAAGAAAAGUCGGACUGAGGAUCUAAGAAGAUAUACGCAGGAGUCAUAUAAAAAAUAUGUCAAUAUGGGAUUGCAGGCUGUGCUGCUGACCUCUGCCGCACUGACUGCGGAGGUCAAUACUUUGAAGCAACGCCUCGAGCGGUCCGAGAGCGAGCUCAGCCGUGCCAAGAAGCGGCUCGAGGACAAGGAAGGUGAGUAACACCUUAUUAAAAUUGUACCUUACAGAAAAGGAUUUGGUUGCAAGAAAAAUGACAAGGAUAACGUGGGUAUUGCAGGGGCCAUAAACGAGGUGGCGAUCCUGAAGGAGGCGGUGUCCGCGGCCGAACGUAAUGCGGUCGCGGAGCGCACCGAGCGAGAGAGGCAAGAGGCGCGGGUGGCGGGGGUACUGCAAGAGCUCCAGGCUCUCGUGGAAAAACAUGAGAGUUUGGAGCGUGACUCAAAGACUCGAGAGUCCGAGCUUGCAACGGCUCUAGAGAGUGCCAAAGCCGCUAAGGCUGAAGCCUAUAAGGCCCUCCAGGAAGUCGAGGCGUUGAAGAAAAUAGCGGCAGGUAAGGCAUUUUUCAUGCAAAGUAAGCAUGUGAGUGUGAAUUACCUAUCACUUACCCGAAUUCGGAGCUCUCCAGGAGCGUUUGCAGAUCUUCCCCGCAGCAUGUCCGAUGCUACCGCUUUCUAUAGGGCCGAGGAGGGGAGCUCGACGGAGAAGGUCUUCUGGUCUCAGUAUGCUAAGGCCGGACAUCCGGUGCCCCUUAGCGACCAGCUAAAGCAGCUGGUCGAGCUCCACAAGGUGGCCGAACAGGCCAUGAAGGGCCUCAUAGUUCGGUUGUGGCCUAAGGAGGCCAUGCCUGGGAGCUACUUCGGCCUGGUGCGGCGGCUGGUGGAUGUGUGUCCAUGGGUUGAAGUCAUCAAGCACUCCGCCUAUAUUGAAGGUGCCCGUCGGGCCCUUGCCCGCGCAAAGGUGCACUGGGGCAAGAUGGAUGCUCAGAAGCUUGUGACGGACGCGCCACCACUGGGCAAGGAGUAUCGCACGCCCGAGAUGUACUAUAAGAGUGUCCUGAAGGGUGCCCGCAUUAUUGCGGGUGAGUGCUCCAAAGAUGUAAUAUUUGAGUAGACUCGCAUUUUGUUAUCAUGUGCGCUGAAAACUUUGUUCAUAUGCGCUAAGCAACGCUUGUUAAUUUAAAAUAUUACCUUCUGUGCGGCUGUUUAUCAAAUCUGAGAGAUGGCAAGUCGUCGGCUUCAGCCCCCAUGCCACGAGUGCUGGGGUGUUCGGGAUAAAUUUGAGCACUCUUGUUCCCAUUUUUGGGUCCAUCUAGGGAGGUGCUCAACACAACGAACAAGGCAACCGGACUUAUAACGCUUGAACACUCUCACUUAGCCAUAGAAUUCUAUAAUUUUAAAUUUUGGCGAAGCCCCUAGUGUUCGGAAGGCCGAAUUUGGGGCGCUAUCCACGCCUGGGCCGGACAAAGCCGGCUCCUCGCUCUAAGUGGCAUAAGUCUUUAGGGACUUGCAAAAACCUCUUGAACAGCGACCGGCUCUCGCCUCAUCAUGAUGGUCAGUUUUAGCUUUCUCCACUGAGGCGCUCGCCCAGCUCAACUGGGGCGCAAUCGCAGUGGUUCUCCCAGUGCUACCUUAGCCGAUACAAUGGAACAUAAGGUACCAAAACAUGGGAGCCGGGCAAACCCAACUAUUGACCCAAGACAUGAUUCGGAGCCGAUGCAUAUAAUGUUAUAAGUUCGGGGUGCCGCACUUGUGAAAGUGUUCGGACUUAUCACACCAUGAUGCGGGAAACAUAAGCCCCUGGUGUAUUUAGCCGUACCAAAGUGUACGGAUGCAACAUGUCAUAAAUGAACAUAUGUAUAAGAAAGAAAUGCAAUUGUAAGCAAAAAGGUGCUGCAUUGUUUAUUCAAGAAAUGCUGUUGUGAAUGCAGAAUGAUACAAAUGGUGCGAUAAGCAAGGGAUGGGACUAUUAAACAUGCCCCCUCCAGGGGUAGGCUGCGGAAUGGUGUAUAAAACAGAUUUAAUGCUCGUAAUGGAGACCACCUGGAUAUUCGUUGUAGCCUUUCUCCUUCCCUGGCUGUUGCAUCGUGAGUUCGGCAGGUCUACUGCCGGACAGGGCCUCUGAUGAACGGAGUCCCAUGGGUAAAAAUAAGAAAAAGAGAGAAAGAAAAAAGAACGACACACUUGAGAGCCCCUGGUGUGGUUAAGCCGCAUUCUGGGCCUAUCGUGGUCGUGCCCCUCCCCCCAUGCCCAUGGUAUCUCCAGAGCGUAAUGAUGUACGCGAAGGACCUGUCUUGAAAUUUUGCAGGGGCUGGGGUUGGGGCCGCACUGCUACGCGUGCUCGGAACGUGCCAGGUGGUCUUGUUGUAGGUUACUCCGGGCGCGUUUAGCCGUGUCCGGUCGCUUUAACGGCCGGACUCGAGAAUUGCCUUAGGAGGCUGCAUUGUACUUCUGCCGCGAGAGCCGCUGUAUGUUCCUCCAUUCGGAGAGAGCGUUCAGUGUUUCUGUUGACCGUGAUGACUCCUCGAGGGCCUGGCAUCUUUAGCUUGAGGUAUGCGUAGUGCGGCACCGCGUUGAACUUUGCAAACGCGGUACGUCCGAGCAAGGCAUGAUAGCCGCUGCGGAACGGAACUAUGUCGAAGAUUAACUCCUUGCUUCGGAAGUUAUCCGGGGAUCCAAAGACCACUUCUAGUGUAACUGAGCCUGUACAAUUGGCUUCUACACCUGGUAUGACGCCUUUAAAGGUCAUUUUGGUAGGUUUAAUCCUUGAGGGGUCUAUGCCCAUUUUGCGCACUGUAUCCUGAUAAAGCAGGUUCAGGCUGCUGCCGCCGUCCAUCAGGACUCUGGUGAGGUGAAAUCCAUCGAUGAUUGGGUCUAAAACCAAUGCGGCGAAUCCGCCGUGGCGGAUGCUGGUGGGGUGGUCCCUUCGGUCAAAAGUGAUCGGGCAGGAGGACCAUGGAUUGAACUUCGGGGCAACUGGCUCCAUCGCGUAUACAUCCCUCAGUGCACGCUUCCGCUCCCUUUUGGGUAUGUGGGUUGCGUAUAUCAUGUUCACCGUGCGCACUUGUGGGGGGAAACCCUUUUGUCCUCUGUUGUUCGGCUGUCGGGUCUCUUCCUCGUCAUCACUAUGCAGCCCCUUGUCGUUGUUUUCGGCAAUUAACUUGCCUGCCUGCUUGAAUACCCAACAGUCCCUGUUGGUGUGGUUAGCUGGCUUUUCGGGGGUGUCGUGUAUCUGACACGAGCGGUCGAGUAUUCUGUCCAAAUUGGACGGACCCGGGGUAGUUCUUUUGAAUGGCUUUUUCCGCUGACCGGGUUUAGAGCCUCUGAAUCCGGCAUUGACUGCCGUAUCCUCGCUAUUGUUGCCGUUAAUGCAGCGUUUGUUUUUUUAUGACACGACCUGCCAGUGCGGUCCUUGAUAUCCGGACUGCCAGAAUUUUUGCUGAGGUUGUUGCUGCGGGCUAGCCAGCUGUCCUCACCCGCGCAGAAGUGGGUCAUGAGUGAUGUGAGGGCUGCCAUGGAUUUCGUCUUUUCCUAUCCCAGGUGCCGGGAAAGCCACUCGUCACGGAUGUUAUGCUUGAAGGCCGCAAGGGCCUCCGCAUCUGGACAGUCGACAAUUUGGUUUUUCUUGGUUAAGAACCGUGUCCAGAAUUGUCUGGCCGAUUCGUCUGGCUGUUGAAUUAUAUGGCUUAGGUCGUCAGCGUCUGGUGGUCGCACAUACGUGCCUUGGAAGUUAUCGAGGAAUGCGGCUUCCAGGUCUUCCCAACUCCCAAUUGACUCUGCUAGCAUGCUGUUAAGACAAUGCCAGGCUGGUCCUUUAAGCUUGAGUGGGAGAUAUUUGAUGGCGUGAAGAUCAUCACCGCGGGCCAUGUGGAUAUGAAGGAGAUAGUCCUCGAUCCAAACCGCAGGGUCUGUUGUGCCAUCGUAAGAUUCAAUGUUUACGGGUUUAAACCCUUCGGGGAUUUGAUGAUCCAUUACUUCAUCUGUGAAGCAUAGCGGGUGUGCGGCGCCUCUGUAUUGGGCGAUAUCACGACGAAGUUCAAGAGAGCUUUGUCUACUGUGUUCGGCCCGGCCGGACUUACUGUGUCCGGCGCGACGGUUGUCGUCACAUAUCUUGGGGCGCCCAUGUGAUCCAUAGAUCGAUCUUGAUUGUCUUGCCUUAUCCUCCAAUAUAUCUCGCAAGUCUAGAGUGUUCCCUUGUGGCCUUGUGCUUUUCGAGCGAUGCCGGGGUACGGUUCUAGUGGAGCCUAGAGGCCUCUCUGUCGUGGCCACGGGGUGGUCGGUCGGCCAUAUUGUCUGCUGGUGAUGCAGGUUCAUAUGCCUCCUCCUCUAAUCGGGGGAGCAGCUUGCGUUUAGGGUAGAUUUUGGAGGGGCGUUCGAGCUCAUGCUCUUCGGCCGCGAGGACUUCAGUCCAUUUGUCGGCUAGCAGAUCUUGAUCAGCUCUAAGCUGCUGCUGCUUUUUCUUGAGGCUGUUUGCCGUGGCCAUAAGCCUGCGUUUAAAACGCUCUUGUUCGACGGGAUCCUCAGGCACGACGAAUUCGUCGUCGUCGAGGCUUGCCUCGUCUCCGGAGGGAGGCAUGUGAUCCUCUACCUCUUCGUCUGUCGUUCUUCUCAUGAGGGCUGGCGUCUUCGUCCUCCUGUGCUGAAUCUUGCUGGAGGGGGUUGUCGUUGGCACUGUCUGGGGUGUUAUUAUCUCCGGUGCCGGAAUCUCCAUUCUUGCUGUGGCGGGAUUUAGAGCGGCGCCGCUGACACCGGCGCUUGGGCUGUUUCUUGGAGGGGUCAUCCUCCGCUGUUCCUUCGCUAUUCCCAUCCUUUGGGGUAUCCACCAUGUAUAUCUCAUAUGAUGAGGUGGCUUUCCAGUGCCCAGUAGGCAUUGGUUCUUGGUCGUCUCCGGCAUCGUCGUCCAUACCGUCGAUGUCUUCGGAGUCAAAGUCUAGCAUGUCGGUUAGAUCGUCGAUAGUGGCUACUAAGUGGGUGGUGGGUGGGCUUUGAAUUUCUUCGUCGUGUGCAUCCCAACCGUCUUGACCGCAGUCCGGCCAGGGCUCUCCUGAUAACGAGAGAUACUUUAGCAAACUCAAGAUGUCGCCGAAGGGUGAGUGUUGAAAGAUGUCCGCAGCGCUGAACUCCAUGAUCGGCGCCCAAUCGGAUUCGAUUGGAAGGGGCGCGGGAGGUUUGGAGUCCGGCACCUCGGAGUCACGAGCUUCAUGAGGGACAAGGUCAGUGUUCGGCUCUAUCACCAUAGAGGUUGCAGCCCCCGAGGCGGUGUCUAGCCACCCAUCCUCGAUCUGCGCAGUCGGCUCCGAAUUGAAGAUCGGAGCGGACUCGUGUGCGGCCUCCAGGGUACUGUCCGGUUGCAGAGCUAAAUCAUGCCCGUCGUGACAGUGCGGCGCGCUCGGCUGUGGCUUGAAUCCAUCGAAGAUCAAGUCCCCGCGGAUGUCAGCCGUGAAGUUCAAACUUCCAAAUCUGACCUGACGGCCAGGGGCGUAGCUUUCGAUCUGCUCCAGAUGGCCAAGCAAAUUGGCCCGCAGUGCAAAGCCGCCGAAUACGAAGAUCUGUCCGGGGAGGAAGGUCUCACCUUGGACUGCGUCGUUGUUGAUGAUCGAAGAAGCCAUCAAGCCUAUCGGUGACGACACAGAGGAACUCUCAAUGAAAGCACCAAUGUUGGUGUCAAAACCGGCGGAUCUCGGGUAGGGGGUCCCGAACUGUGCGUGUAGGCGGAUGGUAACAGGAGACAAGGGACACGAUGUUUUACCCAGGUUCGGGCCCUCUUAAUGGAGGUAAAACCCUACGUCCUGCUUGAUUGAUAUUGAUGAUGUGGGUAUUACAAGAGUAGAUCUACCACGAGAUCAAGGAGGCUAAACCCUAGAAGCUAGCCUAUGGUAUGAUUGUUGUUCGUCCUAUGGACUAAAGCCAUCCGGUUUAUAUAGACAUCGGACAGGGCUAGGAUUACACAGAGUCGGUUACAAUGGUAGGAUAUCUACAUAUCCAUAUUGCCAAGCUUGCCUUCCAUGCCAAGGAAAGUCCCAUCCGGACACGGGCCGAAGUCUUCAAUCUUGUAUCUUCAUAGUCUUGGAGUCCGGCCGAUGAUGAUAGUUCGGCUAUCCGGACACCCCCUAGUCCAGGACUCCCUCAGUUACUUCAUUCAAUCCAUGGUAAUCUACAACCAUCCUCAAUGAUCCAUCCUUCUUCUCCACUAGAAGCACUGGCGAUCCCCAAGGUGUUGAACUUGGGCGAAUAUAGCCUUUAUCCAGUAACUCCUUAAUCUGCUUCUUAAUUUCCUCCAAAUCCUUUGCGGGCAUCCUAUACAGUCUCUUAGAUAUUGGCCCUGUGCCUGGCAAAAGCUCAAUCAAAAACUCAAUGUCUCUAUCCGGUGGAAUGCCUUGCAACUCCUCCGGAAAUACAUCAGGGAAAUCCUUCACCACUGGUACUUCCUCCUGUACAACUCCUGAUAAGGAAUUUACUUGAGUCCUCUUCGGCACAUGCCGAGAUACAUACUUAAUUCUUCUUCCUUCUGGGGUGGUGAGCAAAAUCGACUUACUAGCGCAGUCAAUGUUCCCUCCAUAUUUUGACAACCAAUCCAUGCCUAAUAUUACAUCCAGUCCUUGUGACUCCAAUACUAUUAGGUCUGAGGGAAACACGUAGUUACCAAUCAUUAAUGGUAAUCGAUCACACCAUAGGCUAGCCAUAUACUCUGCUCCUGGCGAGGUUACUAACAUGGGUGGCCUAAGGGCUUGGAUUGGCAGGUUAAAAUUAUCCACAAAUCCCCUUGAUAUGUAUGAAUGUGAUUCACCAGUAUCAAAAAGAAUGAUUGCAGUAAGUGACUUAACCAAAAACUUACCUAUUACUGCAUCUGGCUAUGCUUCAACCUCCUCCACGGUAACGUGGUUCACUUGUCCCCUGUUGAAAGGGUUGGGCUUCUUCCCAGAGUUUCCAUUGCCAUUUCCAUUCUUUGUUUUAGAACACUCCGUGGUGUAAUGUUCAUUCUUCCCGCACUUGAAACAAGUAAUGUGACUUAGAUCCUUCUUGGCGGGCGUUGCUGGGUUGGAACGGUUCUGACCAUUGCUUUCUCCAUUAACAUUCUCAUUCUUGGGGCCACUAUGUUAUGCGAACUCUCUCCAUUGGAAUUAUGGCCUCCAUCGUUAUGGUGACUGUGUCCUCCCGAGUUCAGGGUAAAAUGGGGCCUCUGCUAAGCUCCUGAAUUGUACUUCCCUUGUCCAUACUUCCUCUUGCAAUUGUCAAUAUGUUGUUGCUUCCCUUCAAUCAUAAGAGCUCUAUCUACCAACUCCUGGUAGUUGUUGAAGGUUGCCACCAUCAACUGCAUGCUCAACUCAUCAUUCAGCCCUUCCAGAAACUUCUCCUGCUUAGCUGCAUCUGUAGCGACGUCAUCCGGGGCGUAACGUGCUAAAUUACUAAAAUCAUCCACAUACUAGCCAACUGUGCGUCCUCCUUGGUGCAAGUUGCGAAAUUUGCACUUCUUCAUGGCCAUAGCUCCUACUGAAACAUGGGCAGUGCGAAAAGCUUUUUGAAACUGGUCCCAUGUGACAGUGUCGAUGGGAUAAGUGGCUGUGAAAUUCUCCCACCAAGAUGUUGCGGGUCCAUCAAGCUGAUGUGCGGUAAAUCGCACUUUCUCCGCAUCUGUGCAUCCUGCAGUGGUCAACUCCCUUCCAAUAUUGCGGAGCCAAUCAUCUGCAACAAUCGGCUCGGUGCUACUAGAGAACACCAGCGGAUUCAGCUUUAAGAAACGGGCUAAGUGGUCAACAGGUGGUGGUGGUGGUGGGUUGUUGUUGUUGUUGUUGUUGUUCCCCUGAUUUUGAUUCUGGACUAGUAUCUGCAUCAAUCCAUUCUACUGCUAGAUCAACUGAGUGAGCUCCGGCGGAAAAGCAAAUCCAUUGUCGUGUCUUGGAGGCAUCUGAUGGGUUUAGAAAAGAUGAGAAAACAGAAUAGAAUGAGAUCUAGAGGGAAAACACUACCCAUAUGCACAUGAGACAAACACAAACAUACCACUUCAAUCAAUUCAAACAAGGGCAUACAAUCGGUCUAACUAUCGUUACAAUAGUGCUCGGACUAUACUAUAUACAUGGGGGAAUACUACUACUGAUAUGGUGGUCGACUAGAAAAAUUGAUCGGUGGAAGACUCCAUGAUAUCUGCUCCAGCUUCAUCAACAUAGUCAUCAUCACUAUCAUCAGGGUCUGGGUCAGUGUCGUCAAUGAUGAUGUAGUUCUCUGGACAAGUGGAAUCGUCGUCUUCUCCUCCUAGAGCGGGGUCUCCCAUGAAUACUCCUAGCUUCCUUGUCAAAUCAUCAUUCUUCUCCACGAGUAUUAUCAUUUCCUCCUCAUAUCCAUCGCAUGUAGACUUGAGUUCUUCCUCCAGCUCCGUGAUCUUGAUCAUUGCCUUCUUCAGAUCUAUCAUGCCUGCACACAUCUGGUUCUCCUGGCGACGAAUGUGCUGGUUUAACUCCUGGAUGAAAGCUGCAAUGGACCUAUCCUUCCUGGUGCUGAUCAUCUCCCAUUGCUCAUCUCGGCGCCCACAAAUCUGGUAGAUAGUAUCCUUGAGAUCCUUGUGGUAAAAUUCUCCAAUGCGUCCCAUGGUGAUGUGGGCUGCCAUGCUCUUUCCUAGACUCCAGGUUGGUGCAUCAAAGGAAAACUCUAUGGGCUCAGUGACUGGCAUGAACGUCCUUCUCGAAUCAUCCAACGCUCCUCUUCUGGUAAAGUGGCGAUGUAGGUCCCGGUGAAGCUUGGUAUUCCGAUGUUUAGGUACCUAGUAACUUCCUUCAAGUGUCGUCCAAAAGGUGUAUCUUCAUCCGGUUGGGUGAACUUGUACCUUACAUCCGCCAUCCUAUAGAGUAGAAAUGGGUGAGGAGUCAGAAAUGAGAAGAGAGUAAUGAUCUAGGGCUUACAGUCAGCAUGUGCUUUGGUACCAUCUUGUAGCGACCAGGCCUCAAACAGUCUGAUCUCUGUGCAUCAGUGUCAUCCCAGGAUCGGUAAUGCUGACACGCACAAUACUUGAGGAUUUAUAAUAGAGUAGCAAUCACACACUUAUUACAUCGAAUGUCUCAAAAGAGAACUUAUUACAAUAAUAUGGCUUAAGGCCAUCUAAAAAUGAUAACAACGGAAGGCUUGGAAGAUAAAGUGAGUCCAUCAACUCCAACGGCAUCACUGAGUGAAAGAUAACAACCUAUAGCACCUUACUCGUCGUCUGAAAAGUCUGCAACAUGAACGUUGCAGCCCGAAACGGGUCAGCACAUGGAAUAUGCUGGCAAUGUAACAUAAGAGAGUAAUGAACAGAAUAAUUGCUAUCACUACAUGCAUAUAUGGCUGGUGGUAAGCUCUAUGGUUACAGUUUUGCAUAAAGCUAAUUUUUCCCUACAACAAAGGGAUAAAUUUCAUUUAACUAUCAUGGUGGUUGUUAAACAUUAAGAAGGUUCCUCCAACUCAAUAACAAUUAAACAUCAUCAUUAACCCAAUCAAAUUAUAUUAAGAGUGAUGAGAUCAACAUGAUAAUCCAAGAACCAGAUACUCAAGAUGUCCAUAACCGGGGACAGAUUUAACCGUGAUUAGUUUGUACACUCUGCAGAGGUUUGCACACUUUUCCCCACAAGAAUCGAAUACAUCCAUGGUCGGAGAUUCGAGACACAGUCUUUCUGAAGCUUUAACUCUCUACUCUGGAUAGACAGUACCACCUACAACCCACUACAUCUGCUAGUCUACCUCUUCAAGAGCUUCAUGCAACUUACUCAACUAUGCUAGAGCCCAUAAUGGCUUGUGGCUGCACACGGAAGUUUCUAGCAUGAAUAAUCUUAUGAUCCCUUUGAGCCUGGGUGGCAGACCGUAGGAUGAUCACACGGGUACUUCAGGAUAUCCUAGGACAGCACUGGAUUCUCUAGGUGCCCUGACAACCACUGGGUACUCCAGGGUGCCUCAAGAAAUCCACCCAGAUGUGUAUUUAAGUAGCCACCUUAAGUUAACCAUUAAUAACAAUUCUCACAUCUGUCAUGGAUACACUCACCCAAACCACGUCUACGAGCAUAGCAUAGCAAUAUAAGCAUAACGUAGAAGUAACUCCCAAAGGCUUGAUAAUAAACAGGUCAAUAGGUACUACCUCAUUUACUUCCCAAAACCCACAUGUCAAUCAGAUCCUAACCAUGCAAUUGUUUCAGGAUUGAUCUAAUGCAAUAAAACUGGGUAGUAAAGAGGUAUGAUCAAAGUGUUAUUUGCCUUGCUGAUGAUCCGUGAAACCUAGAGACUCGUAGUUGCACGCUUCGCACUCCGGGUACACUAUCGCAAACAAACAAGCAUACAAUAAGCACUCAACUAGAAGCACGGGUAAAACUCAAAUACGAGAUCUAACCAGAAAGCUCAACUUAAUAACUCCGGGUUGCAAAAAGAAUCAAGUCAAACGAAGCAACGAAACUCAAACUGUGAAACAAACAAAAUCCGUUUACUAAUCUGGACUUAAGUCAAAUUUUACAGUAGCAAAAUCUUGUUCAAGUUGUUUAAACAGAAAGAGGACUUCGAGACGAAGAUCUAGGCGCUUGAAUCGCCUGAUUCCGACAAACGAGCGAAAAGAUAAACUAAAACGAAAAACAGGGCAGAAAUCGCAAUCGAAAAUAAUCGCGGAAAAACCCUGGAAAAAGAAAAACUGACGAACAGGCUAACGAACGAACGUUCGCUGUCUGCGGCUAACGGGUGAAAACCGUUCAUUAAAACGAACGUACGAAAGGGCAUUCUCUAAAUAACUAAACCGGAAAAAAAUAAAAACCAAUCUAAAAUAAAAUAACCGAGGGUUUCUAAAAAAACUGAAUGGUUUUCCGGUGAAAACCGAUGGCUACCUCGGGUUGCGUGACAGCGGCAACGGUGGUCAACUCUAGUGACGGCGGUGUCCGAUGGCGGCNNNNNNNNNNNNNNNNNNNNNNNNNNNNNNNNNNNNNNNNNNNNNNNNNNNNNNNNNNNNNNNNNNNNNNNNNNNNNNNNNNNNNNNNNNNNNNNNNNNNNNNNNNNNNNNNNNNNNNNNNNNNNNNNNNNNNNNNNNNNNNNNNNNNNNNNNNNNNNNNNNNNNNNNNNNNNNNNNNNNNNNNNNNNNNNNNNNNNNNNNNNNNNNNNNNNNNNNNNNNNNNNNNNNNNNNNNNNNNNNNNNNNNNNNNNNNNNNNNNNNNNNNNNNNNNNNNNNNNNNNNNNNNNNNNNNNNNNNNNNNNNNNNNNNNNNNNNNNNNNNNNNNNNNNNNNNNNNNNNNNNNNNNNNNNNNNNNNNNNNNNNNNNNNNNNNNNNNNNNNNNNNNNNNNNNNNNNNNNNNNNNNNNNNNNNNNNNNNNNNNNNNGGCUUGGGCCUCACGGGUUAUAAAGGCCGGAAGGGUCGAGUCCUAGUCGGGCACGGCCCGGCUAGGUCGGUUGACUUUUUUUAAAAUAAUUCCCUGCAGAAAAACAAAGAAAAGAAAUACUAAAUGGACUCCAAAAAUCCUAAAAUAAAUUUUCCCGGUCCUCUAAAAAUAUAGCGGACAAAGUGAACAUUUAUUUGGGACUCUAAUGCAAUUUUGAAAAAAGCAUUUUUUUCCUAAUUCAAAUAAAAUAGCGAUAAAACUCCGAAUAAAAUUCUUAUUUGAUUUUAAUAUUUAACCUCCAAUAUUUCUUUAUUUUGGGAAUUCAUUUUAUCCCCUCUCUUUUAUUUUCAUAUAAAAAAUAUUCGAAGAGAAAGUAAUUUAAAUCAAACGAUCCUCUUUCCAAAAUUUGAGAAAACUCAAAUAUGAAAAUAACGAAAUUCCCAACUCUCUCUGUGGGUCCUUGAGUUGCGUAGAAUUUCUAGGAUCAAGCCAAAAUGCAAUAAAAUAUGAUAUGUAAUGAUGAUUUAAUGUAUAACAUUCCAAAUUGAAAAUUAUGUUACAGUUUGACGGUUUAAGGUUUUUAUCUGUCAGCCCCAUGCGACAUAAGGUCUCAUAAUAGAGGAUAUUGAUGCUGCUCCCUCCGUCCAUGAGUACCUUUGUGAACUUAUACCCUCCAACCUGAGGUGCCACCAGAAACGCCAGGUGACCCAGAUUAUCAACCCGUGGCAGGUGAUCCUCUCGGCUCCAUACGAUGGGUUGUUCAGACCAACGCAAAUAACAUGGGACUGCCGGUUCAACCGAAUUUACUGCCCUCUUUUGAAGCUUCUGGUCGCGCUUGUAUAAGCUAGUGGUGCAGACAUGAUACUGCCCGCUGUUCAACUGCUUCGGGUGGCUCUGAUAACCCGAUUGUUGCUAAUUUCCCUGAUUAUUCUGCUGGUUGUAACCACCCUGGUUGUUUUGAUUGCCCGGAUUACCUUGGAAUCCCGAGCUUGGACCGCCUCCACCAUAACCCGGUCCAUGGAAACUGGAUCCUGAACAACCGCCCGGUCCCUGGACAUCUUGGUAAAAAUUCGAAUUUUUGAACUCCUUCAUGAUGAAGCAAUCUUUCCAGAGGUGUCCAGACGACCUUUCCUUUGUCCCGUGUCUUGGGCAGGGCUGGUUUAAUAGAUGCCCAAGAUUGAUGCCUGAUUGUCCGGUUUGUGGGGGCGGUUUACCCUUACGGUGCUGACUAUUGUUCUGCGCAUUGGUGUUAGCCACAAAAUCAGAAUUAUUCUCAGCCUUGCGCUUACCAUUGCCUCCAUGGUUUGCCGGAUUAAGCUGCUGCCCCUUGGUGUUGCUGCUCUUCUUUCCCUUCCCCGACUUUCCAUCAUCAGACUCGGUCUCCUUGGUACUAUCAGAGUCAGUGCACUUAAUUAAGGCUGCCAUGAGUGUCCCCGUGUCAUUACAAUGACGUUUAAGCCGCCCCAGUUUCAGCUUCAGGGGCUUGAAACGACAAUUGCCUUCAAACGUCAAGACCGCUGAGUCGACAUUGAUCCGAUCCGACGAGUGCAGAAUCGUCGAGACCCGGCGCACCCAAUGAGUCGUCGAUUCACCUUCUUCUUGGACACAGGCGGAUAAGUCCACAAUUGACAUGGGCUGCUUGCAUGUGUCCUUAAAAUUCUGGACAAACCGGGCCUUUAACUCGGCCCAUGAUCCGAUGGAGUUAGCUGGGAGCCCCUUUAACCAAGUCCGGGCCGUCCCUUCCAUCAUUAGGGGGAAAUACUUAGCACACGCAGCUUCACUAACAUUCAGCAAUUCCAUGGCCAUCUCAUAACUCUCAAUCCAUGCCUCCGGAGAUAAAUCGGCUGUAUAGUUAGGCACCUUGCGAGGACCCUUGAAAUCCUUGGGCAAAUGCUCAUUGCGCAAGGUCGGCACUAAACAUGGUGCACCCAAGUUUCUAAAGGUCACGCCUGGCUCCACUGAAGUCGUUGCACGAACCGUAGUAGGCUGGUGUGCCGCAUACUGUGCAGCUAACUCGGCUUCUCAACAUGCUCUGCCCUGGUCCACUAUGUUCUGAGCCUCAGCUCCCCCUCCUGUCGGGUUAGGCCCACGGGGCGGAUUAUGGUUCCGCCAACUGCUUGACACGGCUGGCUCUUCAAUAUGCCUGUUGUAACUCCGGCUCGGACGAGGGGUGGAAUGAAUCAUGUCUUGACUAUACGAGUAAGCGUGCUACUGAACCAUUGUUGCUUGAAGGAGAUCUCUGGCCCACUGUGUCUCAACCGCUGCAGGGGAGUCGCCUUCCACUGGAAUAGCUGCCAAUCGCGACGCCGUGAUGUCUACUACACAACCUUCUUCUUGUAGACGUUGUUGGGCCUGCAAGUGCACAGGUUUGUAGGACAGUAGGAAAUUUCCCUCAAGUGGAUGGCCUAAGGUUUAUCAAUCCAUGGGAGGCGUAGGAUGAAGAUGGUCUCUCUCAAGCAACCCUACAACCAAAUAACAAAGAGUCUCUUGUGUCCUCAACACACCCAAUACAAUGGUAAAUUGUAUAGGUGCACUAGUUCGGUGAAGAGAUGGUGAUACAAGUGCAAUAUGGAUAGUAGAUAUAGGUUUUUGUAAUCUGAAAAUAUAAAAACAGCAAGGUAACUAAUGAUAAAAGUGAGCAUAAACGGUAUUGAAAUGAUAUGAAACCAGGCCUAGGGUUCAUACUUCCACUAGUGCAAGUUCUCUCAGCAAUAAUAACAUAGAUAGAUCAUGCAACAAAGAGUCACUCCAAAGCCACUAAUAGCGGAGAACAAAUGAAGAGAUUAUGGUAGGGUACGAAACCACCUCAAAGUUAUCCUUUCUGUUCUAUCUAUUCAAGAGUCCGUAGUAAAAUAACAUGAAGCUAUUAUUUCCGUUCAAUCUAUCAUAGAGUUCAUACUAGAAUAACACCUUAAGACACAAAUCAACCAAAACCCUAAUGUCACCUAGAUACUCCAUUGUCACCUCAAGUAUCCGUGGGCAUGAUUAUACGAUAUGCAUCACACAAUCUUAGAUUCAUCUAUUCAACCAACACAAAGUACUUCAAAGAGUGCCCCAAAGUUUCUGCCGGAGAGUCAAGACGAAAACGUGUGCCAACCCCCUAUGCAUAGGUUCAUGGGCGGAACCCGCAAGUUGGUCACCAAAACAUACAUCAAGUGGCACAUGAUAUCCCAUUGUCACCAUAGAUAAACAUGGCAAGACAUACAUCAAGUGUUCUUAAAUCAUUAAAGACUCAAUCCGAUAAGAUAACUUCAAGAGGAAAACUCAAUUCAUCACAAGAGAGUAGAUGGGGAGAAACAUCAUAAGAUCCAACUAUAAUAGCAAAGCUCGCGAUACAUCAAGAUCGUGUCAUAGAGAGAACACGAGAGAGAGAGAUCAAACACAUAGCUACUGGUACAUACCCUCAGCCCCGAGGGUGAACUACUCCCUCCUCGUCAUGGAGAGCGUCGGGAUGAUGAAGAUGGCCACUGGUGAUGGGUUCCCCCUCCGGCAGGGUGCCGGAACGGGCUCCCGUGAGAUUUUUGGUGGCUACAGAGGCUUGCGGCGGCGGAACUCCUGAUCUAUCUUCUUAUUUAAUGUUUUUAGGGUACGUAGGCUUAUAUAGGCGAAAGAAGUCGGUCGGGGGAGCCUCGAGGGGCCCAUGAGAGGGUAGGGCGCGCCUAGGGGGGUGGGCGCACCCCCCCCUAUCUCGUGGCUUCCUCGAUGCUCUUCUGACGUGAACUCCAAGUCUGCCGGAUCAUAUUCUUCCUAAAAAUCACGCUCCCGAAGGUUUCAUUCCGUUUGGACUCCGUUUGAUAUUCCUUUUCUUCAAAAUACUGAAACAGGCAAUAAAACAGCAAUAUGGGCUGGGCCCUCCAGUUAAUAGGUUAGUCCCAAAAGUAAUAUAGAAGUGUAUAAUAAAGCCCAUAAUCAUUCAAAAUAGAUAAUAAAAUAGCAUGAAUGCUUCAUAAAUUAUAGAUACGUUGGAGACGUAUCAGCAUCCCCAAGCUUAAUUCCUACUCGUCCUCGAGUAGGUAAAUGAUAAAGAAAGAAUUUAUGAAGUGUGAAUGCUAGAAGGUGCACAAGUUUGAUCAAUGAUAAUAUCAAUCACCUUUUCUAGCAUGAUUAUAUGUCAUAAUAGUAGUUCAUCUCAUAAAACUUCUCAAGAUCAAGUAACAAGCAAUUCACAUGUUAAAGCAUAGACCAUAAACUUUCUUGAAAACUAGCAAACUUCAUUCUCAGUCAUCAAACAAUUGCAAUUCAUCUUAUUUUCGGGAAGGGUCUAUGUCAGAGCUUUGAUUUAGCAAACUUCACAUACUCAACUAUCAUAUAGUCUUCUACAAUUGCUAACACUCACACAAUACUGAUGGUUAUGGAGUUUCAAUCGGACACUGAGAUAGGGGCUUAUAGUGUUGCCUCCCAACGUAUUCACCUUUGGGUGAUGUCAACAAUAAUAGUUCAUGCUAACUUACAUCCAAUUGGAUAUAUAUAUCAGGAUCACCCCAACACAAAGUGCUUGCCAAAGGAUAAAAUCAAAAAGGGAAAGGUGAAGAUCACCUUGACUCUUGCAUGAAUUAAAAGACAUAAGGUAAAAGAUAGGCCCUUCGCAGAGGGAAUCAGAGGUUGUCAUGCGCUUUUAGGGUUGGAUACACAAAAUCUUAAUGCAAAAGAACGUCACUUUAUAUUGCCACUUGUAUAUGGACCUUUAUUAUGCAGUCCGUCGCUUUUAUUGCUUCCAUAACAAGAUCGUACAAAGCUUAUUUUCUCCGCACUAAUAAGUCAUGCAUAUUUAGAGAGAAAUUUUUAUUUCUUGCACCGAUGACAACUUACUUGAAGGAUCUUAAUCAAUCCAUAGGUAGGUAUAGUGGACUCUCAUGGCAAAAAGUGGGUUUAAGGAUAUUUGGAAGCACAAGUAGUAUCUCUACUUGGUGCAAGGAAUUUUGGCUAGCAUGAGGGGGAAAGGCAAGCUCAACAUGUUUGAAUGAUCCAUGAAAAUAUACUUUAACUGAGAUGUGAGAAAACAUAACCCAUUACGUUGUCUUCCUUGUCCAACAUCAACUCUUUAGCAUGUCAUACUUAAUGAGUGCUCACAAUUAUAAAAUAUGUCUAGGAUAGUAUAUUUAUAUGUGAAAUCUUUCUUCCUUCAAUAUUCUUUCAUGAAUUGUUCAAAUGACCAAUACAAUGCUUGCUAACCUUCAAUAAAUUUACAACCUCUAGUUCUUAGAUGUGAAGUCAUUACUCCCCAAGGGAUAAGCAAAUGAAACAUAUAUAAUUUCAGAUUUAUGACAAUCAACUCAUUCAACAAUUUACUCAUAGGAUAUAAGUGAAGCACACGAGUAAAUGAAAAACUACUACAAAAAGAUAUAAGUGAAGAUCAAUGAGUAGUUAAAUAAUUGUGUAACUAUGUGAAGACUCUUCUCUCAUUUAAGAAUUUCAGAUCUUGGUAUUGUAUUCAAACAGCAAGCAAAACAAAAUAAAAUGACAUUGCAAAGAUAGCACAACUCAUGUGAAGAAGCAAAAACUUAGGCUCAACCGAUACUAACCGAUAGUUGUUGAAGAAGGAAGCUUGAGACUUCUUGAAAUAUUAUCUUGGAGUGCCUUGGGCAUCCCCAAGAUUGAUCUUUUAUGUCUCCUUAAUUCCUCUCAUAUCAUGGUUUCUGUUUUUAUCAAAAGCUUCAUUCACACCAAACUCAACAAGAACUCGUGAGAUAGGUUAGUAUAAACCAAUGCAAAACCUUAUCAUUUUCUACUCUAACAAAUUACUAAAAUUAUUAUUCAACAUUGCAUACUAAAUGCCUAUGCAUAUUUAAUACUCCUAUCCUCAAAUAGAAUCAUUAAACAAGCAAACAUAUGCAAACAAUGCAACCAUAACAGCAAUCUGCCAAAACAGUACAGUCUGUAAAGAAUGCAAGAGUAUCAAUACUUCCCUAACUCCAAAAGUUAUGAGAUAAAAUUCCCACUAUAAUAAAUUUAUCAGAGCUUAAUCUGCAAAAAGUUUCAACAUUAUACCAUUCUCUGAAUUUUCUAGGGAAUUUUUGCAACAGCGGUAAACUUUCUGUUUUCAAACAGCAACAUGUAUACUAGCAAAAUAAGCAUGGUAAAGGCUAUCCUUGACAUUUUUAUUGAAAAUAAAGAUGCAAAACAUUAUUCUAAAUAACAGCAAGCAAAUACUAACAAAAGAAAAUGACGCUCCAAGCAAAACACAUAUCAUGUGGUGAAUAAAAAUAUAGCUCCAAGUAAAGUUACCGAUGAACGAAGAAGAAAGAGGGGAUGCCUUCCCAGGGGCAUCCCCAAGCUUAGGCUCUUGCCACUCCUUAUUCCAUAGUCCAUUGAAUCUUUACCCAAAACUUGAAAACUUCAACCACACAAAACUCAAAACAAAACUCGUAAGCUCCGUUAGUAUAAGAAAAUAAAACCACCACUUAGGUACUGUAAUGAACUCAUUCUAAAUUCAUAUUGGUGUAAUAUCUACUGUAUUCUAACUUCUCUAUGGUUCAUACCCUCCAAUACUACUCACAGAUUCAUCAAAAUAAGCAAACAACACAAUGAAAACAGAAUCUGUCAAAAACAGAACAGUCUGUAGUAAUAUGUAUCAAACGUAUACUUCUGGAACUCAAACAAUUCUGAAAUAAAUUGGUGGACCUGAGUAAUUUGUCUAUUAGUCAUCUGCAAAAAGAAUCAACCUAAAAGCACUCUCCAGUAAAAAAAUGGCAGCUAAUCUCGUGAGUGCAAAAGUUUCUGUUUUUUACAGCAAGAUCAUAAAGACUUCACCCGUCUUCCCAAAGGUUCUACUUGGCACAAACACUAAUUAAAACAUAAAACCACAUCUAACCAGAGGAUAGAUGAAUUAUUUAUUACUAAACAGUAACAAAAAGCAAGGAACAAAAGUAAAGUUGGGUUGCCUCCCAACAAGCGCUAUCGUUUAACGCCCCUAGCUAGGCAUGAUGAGAUGAUGCUCACAUAAAAGAUAAGAAUUGAAACAUAACGGGAGCAUCAUGAAGCAUAUGACUAGCACAUUUAAGCCUAACCCACUUCCUAUGCAUAGGGAUUUUUUGAGCAAACAACUUAUGGGAACAAUAAUCAAUUAGCAUAGGAAGGUAAAACAAGCAUAGCUUCAAAACUUUAAGCACAUAGAGAGGAAACUUGAUAUUGUUGAAAUUCUUACAAGCAUAUGUUCCUCCCUCAUAAUAAUUUUCAGUAGCAUCAUGAAUGAAUUCAACAAUAUAACCAGCACAUAAAGCAUUCUUUUCAUGAUCUACACGCAUAGAAAAUUUUCUACUCUCCACAUAAGCAAAUUUCUUCUCAUGAAUAAUAGUGGGAGCAAACUCAACAAAAUAAUUAUCAUGUGAGGCAUAAUCCAAUUGAAAACUAAAAUCAUGCUGACAAGUUUCAUGGUUAUCAUUAUUCCUAAUAGCAUACAAGUCAUCACAAUAAUCAUCAUAGACAGCAACUUUGUUCUCAUAAUCAAUUGGAACCUCUUCCGAAAUAGUGGAAUCAUCACUAAAUAAAGUUGACACACUUCCAAACCCACUUUCAUCAAUAUAAUCAUCAUAAAUAGGAGGCAUGAUUUCAUCAUAAUAAAUAUUUUCAUCAAAGCUUGGGGGAUAAAAAAUAUCAUCUUCAUCAAACAUAGCUUCCCCAAGCUUGUGGCUUUGCAUAUCAUUAGCAUCAUGGAUAUUCAAGGAAUUCAUACUAACAAAAUUGCAAUCAUGCUAAUCAUUCAAAAAUUUAGUAUCAUACAUUUUAUAGACUUCUUCUUCUAGCACUUGAGCACAAUUUUCCUUUUCGUCAUACUUACGACAGAUAUUAAAAAGAUGAAUCAUAAGAGGCAAACUCAAUUCCAUUUUUUUAGUUUUCUUUUAUAAACUAAACUAGUGAUAAAACAAGAAACAAAAAGAUUCGAUUGCAAGAUCUAAAGAUAUACCUUCAAGCACUCACCUCCCCGGCAACGGCGCCAGAAAAGAGCUUGAUGUCUACUACACAACCUUCUUCUUGUAGACGUUGUUGGGCAUGCAAGUGCACGGGUUUGUAGGACAGUAGCAAAUUUCCCUCAAGUGGAUGACCUAAGGUUUAUCAAUCCGUGGGAGGCGUAGGAUGAAGGUGGUCUCUCUCAAGCAACCCUGCAACCAAAUAACAAAGAGUCUCUUGUGUCCCCAACACACCCAAUACAAUGGUAAAUUGUAUAGGUGCACUAGUUUGGCAAAGAGAUGGUGAUACAAGUGCAAUAUGGAUAGUAGAUAUAGGUUUUUGUAAUCUGAAAAUAUAAAAACAGCAAGGUAACUAAUGAUAAAAGUGAGCGUAAACGGUAUUGCAAUGAUAGGAAACAAGGCCUAGGGUUCAUACUUUCACUAGUGCAAGUUCUCUCAACAAUAAUAACAUAGAUAGAUCAUAUAACAAUCCCUCAACAUGCAACAAAGAGUCACGCCAAAGCCACUAAUAUCGGGGAACAAACGAAUGGAUUAUGGUAGGGUACAAAACCACCUCAAAGGUAUCCUUUCUGUUCUAUCUAUUCAAGAGUCUGUAGUAAAAUAACAUGAAGCUAUUAUUUCCGUUCAAUCUAUCAUAGAGUUCAUACUAGAAUAACACCUUAAGACACAAAUCAACCAAAACCCUAAUGUCACCUAGAUACUCCAUUGUCACCUCAAGUAUCCGUGGGCAUGAUUAUACGAUAUGCAUCACACAAUCUCAGAUUCAUCUAUUCAACCAACACAAAGUACUUCAAAGAGUGCCCCAAAGUUUCUACCGAAGAGUCAAGACGAAAAUGUGUGCCAACCCCUAUGCAUAGGUUCAUGGGCAGAACCCGCAAGUUGGUCACCAAAACAUACAUCAAGUGGCACAUGAUAUCCCAUUGUCACCAUAGAUAAACACGGCAAGACAUACAUCAAGUGUUCUCAAAUCAUUAAAGACUCGGUCCGAUAAGAUAACUUCAAGAGGAAAACUCAAUUCAUCACAAGAGAGUAGAGGGGGAGAAACAUCAGAAGAUCCAACUAUAAUAGCAAAGCUCGCGAUACAUCAAGAUCGUGCCAUAGAGAGAACAUGAGAGAGAGAGAGAUCAAACACAUAGCUAUUGGUACAUACCCUCAGCCCCGAGGGUGAACUACUCCCUCCUCGUCAUGGAGAGCGACGGGAUGAUGAAGAUGGACACCAGUGAUGGGUUCCCCCUCCAGCAGGGUGCUGGAACAGGGUCCCGAGAGGUUUUUGGUGGCUACAGAGGCUUGCAGCGGCGGAACUUCCGAUCUAUCUUCUUAUUCAAUGUUUUUAGGAUACGUAGGCUUAUAUAGGCGAAAGAAGUCGGUCGGGGGAGCCUUGAGGGGCCCACGAGAGGGUAGGGCGCGCCCAGGGGGGUGGGCGCACCCCCUAUCUUGUGGCUUCCUCGAUGCUCUUCUGAUGUGAAUUCCAAGUCUCCCGGAUCAUAUUCUUCCUAAAAAUCACGCUCCCGAAGGUUUCAUUCCGUUUGGACUCUGUUUGAUAUUCCUUUUCUUUGAAAUACUGAAACACACAAUAAAACAGCAAUAUGGGCUGGGCCCUCCGGUUAAUAGGUUAGUCCCAAAAGUAAUAUAAAAGUGUAUAAUAAAGCCCAUAAUCAUUCAAAACAGAUAAUAAAAUAGCAUGAAUGCUUCGUAAAUUAUAGAUACGUUGGAGACGUAUCACGCCGCAGCGAUCAUGUUAUCCAAAGGGGUAGAAAAAUGACCCGGUGGUGUUGGCACGUACUAAGGUGGGUCAUGGUUCUGUCGAGGCGGGUCCGUCAUCCGUGGAUGAUCCGGAGCUCCUGUCGCAGGUGCUUCAACCCGGUUUACCGCUGCCGGGUUACUGGUUCCCGCUCCUGGCGUGUUAAAGAUAUUCCUUGCUUCAUAAACCGGCGGUAGAUGAGACCGAUGCCUCCUCCUCAUCACGUCGUUUGAAGCAUUCUGAUCCAGCAUGAGCUGGUAAGAUUCUGCAUGAAUCCGCUGUGCCUGAGCAUCCAAAGCGUCCCGCUCCUCAGCCACCCUGGUUUCCUCAGCAGCCAUGUCCUCCUUGGCCUGAGCUAUCUAAUCUCGCAGCUUCGUGACCUCCACAUUAUGCUAAUCUCGAUUAUCCGGGUUAACCUCUAUGGUUAACAAAGUAUUCAAGGCGUCCAAUAAACCGAACAGGACUUGAGCCAGCGGGUGCGCAGGGCCUCCUGCCCCAGCUACCGAUCCGGAAAUCAUUGCCGCCGUAGCUGAGGAGUGUUGCGUGGGUUGCAUACCGGCCAUGAAGAUCGCAACCCGGUUUGGCGGUUCAAGGGGGUCCGGAAUACUGUCGCCAUCGGAAUAGCCCCCAAACCGACCAUCUGGCUACAGUGACUCGGUCUCACCGGUGGAUGAUUCGCCAUCUGAAUAGAUAACCGUCUCACCGUCGGAUCCCGGUUCAGGUUCUACACCAUUGAUGAAUCCUACGAACGCACGCUUCAUGGCGGGAUGAACCCGGGCGGGGCUUGCACGCUGAGCCGUCUUGAUGAGGUCAACGCAGAUGUCCGGCUCAGGGCCCGGUUCACCGAUCUUGCCAAUGAAGACAUGAAUUCCUCCAAAGGGGAUCUGGUACCCGUACUCGAUUGAGCCGGUGUCGGGGCCCCAGCCUGCAUCGUCGAUGUAGAGCAUGUCGCGACGACUCUUGGUCAUCCGGCCCAUUGCGUAUCCCUUAAGUCCUUCUAAAUUGCCCUCUAAGAACUUGAAACCAUCGUGCGAUAGCUCCACGGUGGGCGGCAACUGUCGUGGAAUUGUGACGUCAGAUGUCCUAGUGUGAGGACUUAGUCGUGGAGCCAUCGCAACGAGAUUAGCUUAAAGGGAUUAAACCAGACAAAGGACACGGGGAGUUUAUACUGGUUCGGCCCCUUGCGGUGAAGGUAAAAUCCUACUAUCCAGUUGUGAUGGAAUUGCUAGGGUUUCGAUAACCAGGGAGCGAAUACGCGUAACCUGGCUCUCGAGUUGUUGUUUCUUGUUCCUAAACUGCCGUCGGGUCGUCCCUUUAUAUACAUAGGUUGACGCUCGUCGGUCUACAGAAUCCCGAGGCCGGUUCAUAAACGUGUCCGGCUCGGUAUCUAUUCUUUCCUACCUUACAUUACAAGUUACACGCCUAUGGCGGUUUAUGUCUAUGGGCCCUAACUCGCUUCUGGGCUUUGGGCCUCCUUGUUAAGUUUCCUUCAUAAAUCACCGUCUUCUAUAACUUCAUGGGCUUCAAUAUUGGCAAUCUCUCUGAGGGUAAACCGGCCCCUCCUGGGCGUUUUAUACCCACCAGUUAUAUUCCCAACACUACGGGUUCGAGAACUAUGUAGACAUGACCAAGACAUAUCUCUGGUUAAUAACCAAUAGCGGAACCUGGAUGCUCAUAUUAGCUCCUACAUAUUCUACAAAGAUCUUUAUCGGUCAAACCGCAUAACAACAUACGUUGUUCCCUUUGUCAUCGGUAUGUUACUUUCCCGAGAUUCGAUCGUCGGUAUCAUCAUACCUAGUUCAAUCUCGUUACCGUCAAGUCUCUUUACUCGUUCCAUAAUACUUCAUCUCGCAAGUAACUCAUUAGUCACAUUGCUUGCAAGGCUUAUAGUGAUGAGCAUUACUGAGAGGGCCCAGAGAUACCCCUCCGAAACACGGAGUGACAAAUCCUAAUCUCGAUCUAUGCCAACCCAAAAAAACACCUUCGGAGACACUUGUAGAGCAUCUUUAUAAUCAUCCAUUUACAUUGUGACGUUUGAUAGCACACAAAGUGUUCCUCCGGUAUUCGGGAGUUGCAUAAUGUCAUAGUCUGAGGAACUGUAUAAGUCAUGAAUAAAGCAGUAGCAAUGAAACUGUAACGAUCAAAAUGCUAAGCUAAUGGAUGGGUCAUGUCCAUCACAUCAUUCUCCUAAUGUUGUGAUCCCGUUCAUCAAAUGACAACACAUGUCUAUGAUUAGGAAACAUAACCAUCUUUGAUUAACGUGCUAGUCUAGUAGAGGCAUACUAGGGACACUAUGUUUUGUCUAUGUAUUCACACAUGUACUAAGUUUCCGCUUAAUACAAUUCUAGCAUGAAUAAUAAACAUUUAUCAUGAUAUAAGGAAAUAAAUAAUAACUUUAUUAUUACCUCUAGGGCAUAUUUCCUUCAACCCGAGGACAAGAAACCUUCUACCUCAUCACCGCCAUCUUCUUCAUCACCACCAAAAGAAAACUAAGUAUUGGGUAUGGGCACUCCCGUUGGCUUUCACCAAGAUUGGGGGAGGUGCCCCGGUAUCGUAUAAAUCUCCACUAUAUUUUGCCUUUACUUUCUUAGUUUCGAUCAAUGGUUAUCUUUUGCUAGUAGAUGAAUAAAAGUUUAGUUUGAUCCUUUCUUUUUUGUGAGUUUGCUUACUGAUCAAUCAUUGUAAUCGUGUGUGAGAUAUAAUAAAGUUUAGUUUGAGUUUUUCCUUCUUUAGUUUUCUUGUUUCAAUAAAAAGAAAGGAAAUAAAAAGAAAAAUAUCAUAUGCUAAUCUUAUGGUAAGUGAUGACAUUACACAAGGAAAAGUAUAAGUAGAAAAAUUUAUUGUAGAUUGACAAACAUAGCAUUGGUCAAUGAUGCAACUCAUGAAAGAAUUAAUAAGGAAAGAUAAGAUUCACAUAUAAAUAUACUAUCAUGGAAAUCUUUUAUGAUUGUGAGCAUCCAUCAAAAUAUUAUAUGCCAAAAUUGUGGGCGUUGGACAAGGAAGACAACUUAAUGAUUUAUGUUUGUUCAUAUUCACAUAGAAGUUAUAUUCUCAUAGAUCCUUCAACAGGUGGUGCUUGCCGCUAUCUUUCUAGCGAGAACAUUUAGUGUAAGGGAAAAUUGAGCGUUGUACGAACUUGUGAUGGUGAAUAAUAAAAGCGACAGACUGCAUAAUAAAGGUUGCCAUCACAAGGGGCAAUAUAACGUGACAUUCUCUUGCACUAAGGGGUUGAGAAUACAAACAAAAAGCGCAUGGCAACCUCUGCUUCCCUCUGCGAAGGGCCUAUCUUUUACUUUUAUGUAUUUACUUCCAUGCAAGAGUCAAAGUUUUCUCUAUAUUCCCUUUUAUUUUUCUCCUUUGGCAAGCAUCAUGUGGUGAGGAAAGAUCUAGGCACAUAUGUCCAGUUGAAUAUGGGUAGCAUGAUUUAUUAUUGUUGACAUCACCCUUGAGGUGAGUGCAUUGGGACGCAAAACUAUAAGCCCCUAUCUUCCUAUGUGUCCGGUUGAAACGUUUUGCUCAUGUGUACACAGUGAGUGUUAGCAAUUAUAGAAGACUAAGUGAUGGUUGAGUAUGUGGACUUUCCUAAAGGCUCCGAUACGUGACCCUUCCUGAAAAGAUGAUGAAUUGUAGUUGCAAAGUUGACUGAGAACAUAGUUUGUUGGUUUCCAAUAGAGAUUAUGCUUUAUACUUCGAUGUUGUGAUGAAUUGUCACUUGUUCAUGAGAAGUCUAUGAUACGUCUCCAACGUAUCUAUAAUUUAUGAAGUAUUCAUGUCAUGUUUACAAGAGUUUUAUAUGAUUUUGGUAUGAUCUGAUUAGAACUAACCCGGAGUGACGUUGUUUUCAGUAGAACUACCAUGGUGUUGUUUUUGUGCAGAAAUAGAAGUUCUCGGAAUGCGCUGAAAAUCAACGGAGAAUUUUUCUGUAAAAUAUAAAAUAUAAUGGAACAAAGAGUUACUGGAGGGGAGUCUCGUGGGCCCCAUGAGGGUGUAGGGAGCGCCCACCCCCCCCCCCCUGGGCGUGCCAUUGUGCCUCGUGGACUCUACGUGGGGCCCCUGACUUGUUCUCGAUGCCAACCUCUCCUAUAAAUGCCCAAACCUCCAGAAAAUAACCUAGAUUGGAAGCUCCGCCGCCGCAAGCCUCUGUAUCCACGAGAAAUCAAUCUAGGCCCUCUCUGGCACCCUACCGGAGGGGGCCAUCAUCACCGGAGGCCAUGGGGAAGGAUCCCGGAGGGGCCAUCAUCACCGGAGGCCAUGGGGAAGGAUCCCGGAGGGUCCAUCAUUGCCAUGGAGACCAAGGACCAGAGUGGGAACCUCUCUCCAUCCAGGGGGAGGCCAUGGAGGAGGAAGUACAAGGGGGAGAAUCUCUCCUCCUCUCUCUCGGUGGCACUGGAGUGCCAUCGGGAGGGGAAUCAUCGUCGCGGUGAUCGUCUUCAUCAACAUCACCAUCAUCAUCACCCUCCUCAUCUCUUUUACGCAGUCCACUCUCCCGCACCCCGCUGUAAUCCCUACUUGAACAUGGUGCUUUAUGCCACAUACUAUGAUCCAAUGAUGUGUUGCCAUCCUAUGAUGUUUUGAGUAGAUAUCCUUUGUCUUUGGGUUGAUUGAUGAUCUAGAUUGGUAUGAGUUGUAAGUUUUAUUUUGGUGUUGUCCUAUUGUACCCUCCGUGUCGUGCAAGCGUGAGCGAUUCCCGCUAUAGGGUGUUGCAAUACGUUCAUGAUUCGCUUAUAGUGGGUUGCUUGAGUGACAGAAGCAUAAACCCGAGUAAGGGGGUUGUUGUGUAUGGGAUAAAGGGGACUUGAUAUGUUAAUGCUAUGGUUGGGUUUUACCUUGAUGAUCUUUAGUAGUUGCAGAUGCUUGCUAGAGUUCCAAUCGUAAGUGCAUAUGAUCCAAGAAGAGAAAGUAUGUUAGCUUAUGCCUCUCCCUCAUAUGAAAUUGCAAUGUCUUGUUAACAAUUGCCUAGGAUAAUUCCGCACACCGACCCAUCAUUAUCCAACACUCGCUAUUUAUAAUAUUUAGUAAUAUAUUCUAACUUUAUGAUAACAGCGCCUACUUUCAUAUCUUAGCUCUCUGAUAUCAUGCAAAGUUAUUCUCUUCAUACCCAAAACAUAGUUUUAUUUCUCGUCUCUAGUUGGAAGAAAACGUUCGGUGUACGUAGAGUCAUAUCGGUGGCAGAUAGGACUUGAGAGAAUAUUGAUCUUGCCUUUACCUCCUUGUGGGUUCGACACUCCAUACUUAUCACUUCCACCUUUGGGAAUUGCUAGGAUGAUUCCCUGCACUUGGGGAUUAUCAAGCUCUUUUCUGGCGCCAUUGCCGGGGAGCAAUAGUGUGGGGUUGAUAUUUUUGUGUAUGCUUGUUUGCUUUCUUUGAAGGAAAUAUGCCCUAGAGGCAAUAAUAAAGUUAUUAUUUAUUUCCUCGUAUCAUGAUAAAUGUUUAUUAUUCAUGCUAGAAUUGUAUUCACCGGAAACAUAAUACAUGUGUGAAUACAUAGACAAACAUAGUGUCACUAGUAUGCCUCUACUUGACUAGCUCAUUGAUCAAAGAUGGUUGAGUUUCCUAACCAUAGAUAUGAGUUAUCAUUUGAUCAAUGGGAUCACAUCAUUAGAAGAAUGAUGUGAUUGACUUGACCCAUUCGUUAGCUUAGCACUUGAUCAUUUAGUAUGUUGCUAUUGCUUUCUUCAUGACUUAUAUAUACAUGUUCCUAUGACUAUGAGAUUAUGUAACUCUCGCUUACCGGAGGAACACUUUGUGUGCUACCAAACGUCACAACAUAACUGGGUGAUUAUAAAGGUGAUCUACAGGUGUCUUUGAAGGUACUUGUUGAGUUGACGUAUUUCGAGAUUAGGAUUUGUCACUCUGAUUGUCGGAGAGGUAUCUCUGGGCCCUCUCAGUAAUGCACGUCACUAUAAGCCUUGCAAGCAAUGUAGAUAAUUAGUUAGUUGCAGGAUGAUGCAUUACAUAAUGAGUAAAGAGACUUCCCGAUAACGAGAUUGAACUAGGUAUUGAGAUACCGAUGAUCGAAUCUCGGGCAAGUAACAUGCCGAUGACAAAGGGAACAACGUAUGUUGUUAUGCGGUUUGACCGAUAAAGAUCUUCGUAGAAUAUGUGGGAACCAAUAUGAGCAUCCAGGUUCCGCUAUUGGUUAUUGACCGGAGACGUGUCUCGAUCAUGUCUACAUAGUUCUCGAACCCGUAGGGUCCGCACGCUUAAAGUUUUGUGACGAUUGGUAUUAUGAGUUUUUGUGUUUUGAUGUACUGAAGGUAGUUCGGAGUCCCAGAUAUGAUUACGGACAUGACAAGGAGUCUCGAAAUGGUCGAGACGUAAAGAUCGAUAUAUUGGAUGACUAUGUUCGGACACCGCAAGUGUUUUGGGAGGUUUCAGACAUUUACCGGAGUACUAGGGGGUUACCGGAACCCCCCGGGGGGUUUAUUGGGCCUCAUGGGCCCUGGUGGAGAAGAGGAGGGGCAGCCACGGCAGGCUGCCCCCCCCCCCUCUAGUCCGAAUUGGACCAGGAGGGGGGCGGUGCCCCCCUUUCCUUCCUCUCCUCUCUCCCUUCCUUCCCUUCUCCUACUCCAACAAGGAAAGGUGGAGUCCUACUUCCGGUGGGAGUAGGACUCCCCCCUUGGCGCGCCCUCCUUGGUCGGCCCCCUCUCCCCCUUGCUCCUUUAUAUACGGGGGCAGGGGGCAUCUCUAGACACACAAGUUGAUCUAUUGAUCUCUCCCAGCCGUGUGCGGUGCCCCCCUCCACCAUAUUCCACUUCAGUAAUAUCAUAGUGGUGCUUAGGCGAAGCCCUGCGUCGGUAGCAUCAUCAACACCGUCGUCACACCGUCGUGCUGACGAAACUCUCCCGCAAAGCUUUGCAGGAUCGGAGUUCGUGGGACGUCAUCGAGCUAAAUGUGUGCUGAACUCGGAGGUGCCGUACAUUCGGUACUUGGAUCGGUCGGAUCGUGAAGACGUGCGACUACAUCAACCGCGUUGUGCUAACGCUUCCGCUUUCGAUCUACGAGGGUACGUGGACAACACUCUCCCCUUUCGUUGCUAUGCAUCACCAUGAUCUUGUGGGUGCGUAGGAAAUUUUUUGAAAUUACUACGUUCCCCAACAUUCUUCACUAAGUAGAUUUUAUUUUGCCUUUUGUUUGUGCUUAGUUGUGGGUGAAAAAUACAAAAAAAUUAAAAGAAUGAAAAUACAAAAAAAUUGGAGAAGUGAGGGUCGACCUUGAACGCUUGUGUUCAUGCUCAUGGAAACAAUGUAAAAAAAUUCAUGGAAGCUUGUCUGAAAAUAAUUAUCCCCUUGUAUAUAUCCAUUGUAUCAUAAAAAUAAUGUGCCAAGCUUUGGUUUUAAGAUGAUUAGAUUGCUUGUUUACUAUGUGCAAUACAAAAACAGAAACUUUGGCUGUAGCACGUGAAUUUACAUUUUUUUUUACCGGAAAGUCAAAUGGGUCUGAAACUUUUUGCACAUUACUUCUGUACAAAUUGUUUAAAUUUUCAUAUUUGUUUUAUAAUUUUUGGGAGUUACAGAAGUUUACUAAAUUUCCAGAUUAGUACAUACUGUCCUGUUUUUCACAGAUUCUGUUUUCUAUAUGUUGUUCGCUUAUUUUGAUGAAUACAUGGGUAGUAUCGAGGGGUAUGAACCAUGGUGAAGUUGGAAUAUAGUAGAUAAAGUGCUAAAAAUUUGAAUGAGUUUACAACAAUACCUAAAGGUAGUGAUUUGCUUUAGUAUACUAAUGGAUCUCACAAAGUUUUUGUUAAGUUUUUGUUAAGUUUUUGUGGAUGAAGUGUUCGAAGAAUGAGGAGUUACCAAUGUGAGAAGAAUAAAGAGAGACAAGAGUUCAAUCUUGGGGAUGCCCAAGGCACCCCAAGUAAAUAUUCCAAGGAUACUCAAGCGUCUAAGCUUGGGGAUGCCCCAGUUGGCAUCCCCUCUUUCGUCUUCAACAAUUAUCGGUAUACCUCGGUUUUGGUUUUGUUCACAUGAUUUGUGUCCUUUGCGUUUUUCUUUUUCUUUAAGAACCAUGCUAGUAUGAGAUAGCCCUUCAUCGAUUUAUAGAAUGCUUCAUGUGCUUCACUUAUAUCUUUUGAGUAUAACCUUAUAGAAUGCUCUUUGUGCUUCACUUAAAUCUUUUGAGUAUGCUUUGUGUGCUUCACUUAUAUAUUUUGAGCUUGGAUGUUGGUUAGUCUAUAUUAAUUAUAGAAUGCCCCAUGAACUUCACUUAUAUCUUUUGGAGUAUAAAUAAUACUAUCAUCUAAAGUGGGUUUGGAAGUGUUAACUUUAGGAAUUAGUGAUCCCACUAUUUUGGAGGGUGUUGAAUCUUAGUAUGAUAUUUAUGAAAGUGGAUUUGGAGAGGUCUUGACUUUAGUUAGUAAUGAUUCCACUAUUUUGGAAGAGGUUCCAAUUGAUUAUGAGAACAAAGUUGCUAUCUAUGAUGUGAUGACAUGUAUUCUAUAAAGAAUAAUGUUAACCAUGAAACUUGUCAUCAUGCCUUUAAUUUUCAAUUGGAGUAUGCCUCACAUGAUAGUUAUUUUGUUGAGUUUGCUACCACUAUUCCGAACAAGAAGAAUUUUGCUCAUGUGGAGAGUAGUAAAAAAUUGUGCUUGUAGAUCAUGAAAAGAAUUCUUUAUGUGAUGGUUAUAUUGUUGAAUUCAUUUAUGAUGCUACUGAAAAUUAUUAUGAGGGAGGAAUAUAUGCUUGUAGGAGUUACAAUAAUAUCAAGUUUCCUCUCUAUGUGCCUGAAGUUUUGAAGUUAUACUUGUUUUGCCUUCCUAUGCUAGUUGAUCCUUGUUACUAUAAAUUGUGUGCUCACAAAUUCCCUAGGCAUAGGAAGCGGGUUAGGUUUAAAUGUGCUAGUCAUAUUCUUCAUGAUGCUCUCUUUAUGUUUCAAUUCUUAUCUUUUAUGUGAGCAUCAUUGAAAUCAUCAUGCCUAGCUAAAAGGAAUUAAAGAAAAGCGCUUGUUGGGAGACAAUCCAAUAUUUACCCUUACUGUUUUUGUGUGUUCACAUGAUUAAGCUACUGUAUUAAUCAUGUUUUAUAGAUUUUGUUUCAAUAAAGUGCCAAGUAAGACCUUUGGGAAGACUUGGGUGAAAAUUAAUGUGAUCUUGCUGUAAAAAACAGAAACUUUGCGCUCACGAGAUUAGCUGUCAUUUUUUACAGAAGAGUGUGAGUUGAUUCUUUCUGCAUAAGAUUAAUAGACAAAUUACUCACGUCCACAAAUUUAUUUCAGAAUUUUUUGAGUAGCAGAAGUAUGGUUGUUGUUCAGAUCAUUACAGGUUGUUCUGUUUCUGGCAGAUUCUGUUUUCAAUGCAUAGGUUGCUUGUUUUCUAGUUUCUAUGGCUUAUAUUGCUCAAUAUAAAUUGUAGAAAUGAUAUGGUACAGUAGGCAUUGUUUGAGAACAAAUAUUAAUCUUGUCUUUGACAGUACCAAAGUGAAUGAUUUACUCUUUAUCAUACUAACCCACCUCACGUAGUUCCGUUAAGUUUUGUGUGAUUGAAGUUUUCAAGUUUUGAGUGAGAUAUCGAUAUGAGGAGAAUAAGGAGUGUAAAGAACCUAACUUUGGGGAUGCCCAAGGCACACCAAGUUAAUAUUCAAGGAAGACUCAAGCGCCUAAGAUUGGGGAUGCCCCGAAAGGGAUCCCCUCUUUCGUCUUCAAAACUAUCAGUAUACCUUACUCGGAGCUAUAUUUUUAUUCGUCACAUGAUAUGUGUUUUUCUUGGAGAGUAUUUUCAAUUUUACUUGCUUUUUGAAUAAAAUCAUUGGAUCUGAAAUCUUGAAUGAAAAAGAAUCCUCCCAUGACUAGUUAAUUAUUUGAAUACUCAGUGUUCUUCACUUAUAUCUUUUUGGAGUAGUUUGCCAUUUACUCACGUCUUCACGUAUAUCCUAUGAGUAAAUGGUUGAAUGGAUUGAAUAUCAUAAAUGUGAAUUUAUAUAUAUGUUUCAUAUGCUUAUAACAUGGGGAGUAAUGACUUCACACAUAAUAAGUAUAGGUAGUAAACUUAUUGAAAGUUAGCAAACGCAGAAUUGUUCACUUGAACAAUUCAUGAAAGAAUAUGAAAGGAAAAGAGAUUUCACAUAUAAAUAUACUAUCUUGGACAUCUUUUGUAAUUGCGAACACUCAUUCAAAUAUGACAUGCUAAAAAGUUGAUGUUGGACAAGGAAGACAACUUAAUGGGUUAUGUUUUCCUGUAUCUGAAACGUUAUAUUGUCUUGGAUCAUCCAACAUGUUGAGCUUGUCUUUCCCUCUCAUGCUAGCCAAAUUCUUUGCACCAAGUAGAGAUACUACCUGUGCGUUCGAACACCCCUUAAACCCAGUUUUGCCAUCAUAGUCCAACAUACCUACCUAUGUAUUGAGUAAAAUCCUUUAAGUAAGUUGUCAUCGGUGCAUGCAAUAAAAAUUGCUCUCUAAAUAUGUAUGAUCUAUUAAUGUGAAGAAAAAAAGCUUUAUAUGAACUUGUGAUAGGGAAGAAAUAAAAGCGAUGAACUGCAUAAUAAAGGUCUUUAUCACAAGCGGCAAUAUAAAGUGACGUUUUUUUUGCAUUAAGAUUUUGUGUAUCCAACCAUAAAAGCGCAUGACAACCUCUGCUUCCCUCUACGAAGGGCCUAUCUUUUACUUUUAUCUUCUACCCUUAUACAAGAGUCAUGGUGAUCAUCACCUUUCCUUUUUACACUUUUUCCUUUGGCAAGCACUUUGUGUUGGAGCGAUCCAUAUAUAUAUAUAUAUAUAUCCACUCGGAUGUAGAUUUUCAUAAAUUAUUAGUGUUGACAUUAUAUAUAUAUCCACUUGGAUGUAGGUUUUCAUAAAUUAUUAUUUUUGACAUUACCCUUGAGGUAAAAGGUUGGGAGGCGAGACCAUAAGCCUCUAUCUUUCUCUGUGUAUGAUUGAAACUUUGAAACCAUAAAUAUCACAUGAGUGUUAGCAAUUAUGAAAGAUUAAAUGAUAGUUGAGUAUGUGGAGUUUGCUGAACCAAAGCUCUUACAUAGACCCUUUCCCGAAAAUAAGAUGAAUUGCAAUUGUUUGAUGACUAAGAUCAUGGUUUGUUAGUUUUCAAGAAAGUUUAUGAUUUAUACUUUAACAUGUGAACAGCUUGUUACUUGAUCAUGAGAAGUUUUAUGAGUUGGGCUACUGUUAUGAUAUAUAAUGAUGCUAGAAAAAGUGAUUGGAACUAUCAUUGAUCAAACUUAUGCACUUACUAGCAUUCACACAUCAUAAAUUAUUUCUUUUAUCAUUUACCUACUCGAGGACGAGCGGGAAUUAAGCUUGGGGAUGUUGAUACGUCUCCAGCGUAUCUAUAAUUUAUGAAGUAUUCAUGUCAUGUUUACAAUAGUUUUAUAUGAUUUUGGUAUGAUUUGAUUAGAACUAACCCGGACUGACGCUAUUUUCAGCAAAACUACCGUGGUGUUGUUUUUGUACAGAAAUAAAAGUUCUCGGAAUGCGCUAAAAAUCAACGGAGAAUUUUUCUAGAAAAUAUAAAAAAUAAUGGAACAAAGAGUUACUGAAGGGGAGUCCCAUGGGCCCCACGAGGGUGGAGGGCGCGCCCACCCCCCUUGGGCGCGCCCUGUGCCUUGUGGACUCUCCGUGGGGCCCCCUGACUUGUUCUCGACGCCAACCUCUCCUAUAAAUGCCCAAACCUCCAGAAAAAUAACCUAGAUCGGAAGUUUCGCCGCCACAAGCCUCUGUAGGCACGAGAAAUCAAUCUAGGCCCUCUCUGGCACCCUGCCGGAGGGGGGCAUAACACCGGAGGCCAUGGGGAAGGAUCCCGGAGGGGCCAUCAUCGCCAUGAAAUCUCUUCCCAUCCAGAGAGAGGCCAUGGAGGAGGAAGCACAAGGGGAAGAACCUCUCCUCCUCUCUCUCGGUGGCGCCGGAGUGCCAUCGGGAGGGGAAUCAUCGCCGCGGUGAUCGUCUUCAUCAACAUCACCAUCGUCAUCACCAUCCUCAUCUCUUUUACGUGGUCCACUCUCCCGCACCCCGUUGUAAUCCCUAUUUGAACAUGGUGCUUUAUGCCACAUAUUAUGAUCCAAUGAUGUGUUGCCAUCCUAUGAUGUUUUGAAUAGAUAUCCUUUGUCUUUAGGUUGAUUGAUGAUCUAGAUUGGUAUGAGUUGUAUGUUUUCUUUUGGUGUUGUCCUAUUGUGCCCUCUGUGUUGCGCAAGCGUGAGGGAUUCCCGCUGUAGGGUGUUGAAAUGCGUUCAUGAUUCGCUUAUAGUGGGUUGCUUGAGUGACAGAAGCAUAAACCCAAGUAAGGGGGUUGUUGCGUAUUGGAUAAAGGGGACUUGAUAUGUUAAUGGGUUUUACCUUAAUGAUCUUUAGUAGUUGCGGAUGCUUGCUAGAGUUCCAAUCAUAAGUGCAUAUGAUCCAGGAAGAGAAAGUAUGUUAGCUUAUGCCUCUCCCUCAUAUGAAAUUGCAAUAGUGAUAACCGGUCUUGUUAACAAUUGCCUAGGAUAAUUCCGCACACCAACCCAUCAUUAUUCCAUACUCGCUAUUUAUAAUAUUUAGUAGCAUAUUCUAACUUUAUGAUAACAGCACCUACUUUUAUAUCUUAGCUCUCCGAUAUCAUGCAAAGUUAUCCUCUUCAUACCCACAACGUAGUUUUAUUUCUCGUCUCUAGUUGAAAGCAAACUUUCGGUGUACGUAGAGUUGUAUCAGUGGCAGAUAGGACUUGAGAUAAUAUUGAUCUUGCCUUUAGCUCCUUGUGGGUUCGACACUCCAUACUUAUCACUUCCACCUUUGGGAAUUUCUACGAUGACUCCCUGCACUUGGGGAUUAUCAGUCUAUGAUAAAAUUUCUAUGAUGAAAGUUUUAUAUUAAAGUUUGUUGUUGUUUUAAUAAGUCACAUGAUGCUGCUAUGUCUAUAUUUUUCUUUUUAUCGACACCUCUCUCUCUAAGAAUGUGGACAUAUUUUUCGAUUUUGGUUUUCGCUUGAGGACAAGCGAGGUCUAAGCUUGGGGGAGUUGAUACAUCCAUUUUGCAUCAUGUUUUCCUACUGUUAUUUAUGUUGUUUUAUUGUAUAAUAAUGCUUUUUGGAGUAAUUCUAAUGCUUUUUCCCUCAUAAUAUGCAAGGUAUGAACCAAGGGGGAGAAUUCUGGCAGUUGGAAAUCUGGACCUGAAAAAGCUACAUCAAGCUACCUAUUCUGCACAACUCCAAAUGAGCUGAAACUCCCCGAGUAAUUUUUAUGAAAUAUUUAAUAAAUAUUGGACCAAAUAAGCACCAAAGGAGGGCCACCAGGUGGGCACAACCCACCUGGGCACGCCAGGAGGCCCAGGCAUGCCCUGGUGGGUGUUGCCCUCCUCGGCCCACCUUCGGUGCCCAUCUUCUGGUAUAUAAGUCAUUUUGACCUAGAAAAAACAGAGGAGGACAUUCGGGGCGAAGCUCCACCGCCUCAAGCCCAAACUUGGGCAGUAGCACUUUUGCCCUCCGGUGGAGCAAUUCCAUUGGGGGAACUUCCCUCCCGGAGGGAGAAAUCAUCAUCAUCAUCUUCACCAACAACUCUCCCAUCUUGGGGAGGGCUAUCUUCAUCAACAUCUUCACAGCACCAACUUCUCUCAAACCCUAGUUCAUCUCUUGUAUUCAAUCUUUGUAUCAAAACUAUAGAUUGGUGCUUGUGGGUGAUGAUACGUCUCCAUCGUAUCUAUAAUUUUUGAUUGUUCCAUGCCAACAUUCUUCAACUUUCAUAUAUUUUUGGCAACUUUUUAUACUAUUUUUUGGGACUAACAUAUUGAUCCAGUGCCCAGUGCCAGUUCCUGUUUCUUGCAUGUUUUAUGUUUCGCAGAAAACCAAUAUCAAACCGAAUCCAAACGGGAUAAAAACGGACGGAGAAUUAUUUUGGAAUAUUUGGGAUUUUCUGGAGGAAGAAUCAACGCGAAACAGUGUCAGAGGUGGCCACGAGACAGGGGGGCGCGCCCCCUACCCCUGGGCACGCCCUGGGCUCUCGUGGGCUACCCGUAAGGCGGUUGAUGCCCUUCUUUUGCCGCAAUAAAGCUAAUUUUACAAGAAAUAUCUGGGCGAAAGAUUCACCCCAAUCGAAGUUAUGGAUCUCCAGAUAUAAAGGAAACGGUGAAGGGGUAGAAUCAGGGAACGCAGAAACAGAGAGAUAGAUCCAAUCUCGGAGGGGCUCUCACCCCUCCCACACCAUGGGAGCCAAGGACCAGAGGGAAGCCCUUCUCCCAUCUAGGGAGGAGGUCAAGGAAGAAGAAGAACAAAGGGGGCUCUCUCCCCCUUGUUUCUGGUGGCGCUGGAACGCCGCCGGGGGCCAUCAUCAUCACCGCGAUCUUCACCAACACCACCGUCAUCUUCACCAACAUCUCCAUCACCUUCCCCCCUCUAUCUACAGCGGUCCACUCUCCCGCAUCCCUCUGUACACUCUACUUGAACAUGGUGCUUUAUCCUUCAUAUUAUUAUCCAAUGAUGUGUUGCCAUCCUAUGAUGUCUGAGUAGAUUUUCGUUUUCCUAUUGGUGGUUGAUGAAUUGCUAUGAUUGAUUUAAUUUGCUUGUGGUUAUGUUGCUGUCCUAUUGUGCCCUCCGUGUCACGCAAGCGUGAGGGAUUCCCGUUGUAGGGUGUUGCAAUACGUUCAUGAUUCGCUUAUAGUGGGUUGCGUGAGUGACUGAAACACAAACCCGAGUAAGGGGAUUGUUGCAUAUGGGAUAAAAGGGGACUUGAUGCUUUAAUGCUAUGGUUGGAUUCUACCUUAAUGAAUCUUUAGUAGUUGUGGAUGCUUGCUAGAGUUCCAAUCAUAAGUGCAUAUGAUCCAAGUAGAGAAAGUAUGUUAGCUUAUGCCUCUCCCACAUAAAACUUGCUAUCGGUCUAGUAACGCAGUCAAUUGCUUAGGGACACUUUCACAACUCCUACCACCACUUUUCCACACUCGCUUUAUUUACUUGCUUGCAUCUUUAUCUAAACAGCCCCUAGUUUAUAUUUACGUGUUCUUUAUUAUCUUGCAAACCUAUCCUAUCACACCUAUAAAGUACUUCUAGUUUCAUACUUGUUCUAGGUAAAGCGAACGUCAAGCGUGCGUAGAGUCAUAUCUGUGGCCGAUAGGGCUUGAGAGAGUAUUUGUUCUACCUUUAGCUCCUCGUUGGGUUCAACACUCUUACUUAUCGAAAGAGGCUACAACUAUCCCGUAUACUUGCGGGUCAUCAAGACCUUUUUCUGGCGCCGUUGCCGGGGAGUCAUAGCGUGGGGUGAAUAUUCUCGUGUGUGCUUGUUUGCUUUAUCACUAAGUAAUUUUUAUUUGCUGUUCUUAGUUGUUUUCUAUCUUUAGUUAUGGGUAGGGAACGCAAAAUACCCAAAAAAAAUAGUUGUACCUACUUCACCAAUGGUUGAAGAACCACUCAAAAUCUAUCACACUAUUGAAGCUUUUUACUUGGAUCAUCUUCGAUCCCUUUGUGCUUGUGCUGAAACACUAACUAGCUUAGUUGAGGGCAAAUCUUUAGAUGAGCAUGCUUGUUAUGUGCGACACCUUAUAUCGGAAAAAGGGAAACUAUUAUGGGAUCAAAUUCAACGUUUGCAAUCCUAUGCUUGGACUUUAUGUGAAUUAUAUGAUAUUACUUGUUGUUCUGAAAACCCUAAGAAACACCUUCCCUACCAAUGUGAGUUUGAUAAUGGGAUUGUAUCUUCAUAUGCUAAGGGUGUUUAUAAUUACUAUGAUGUUCAACAAAUUGAAGAAUUUGUUGAUUUUAAGGGUGCUUUUGAAAUUCCUUCUUUGAUUGAAAAGUAUGAUGCUACUCUUUACAAAUCUGAAAGUUUUGCCAUACUUGAAUAUUGUUAUGAUAAUUAUGCUUCUAAUGCCUAUUUUAAACCAUAUAUUGAGAAAUUCUCCGCUGUCCAAGAAGAGAUUAAUAUUUUGCAAGAAGCUAUGGAAGAAGAAAUUGAUGAAACUGUGAGCUCAUUGGAUGAAAAAGAUGAUGAGGAGAGCGAAGAACAAAAGGAGGAAGAGCGGAUUAGCUACCCGUGCCCACCUUCUAAUGGGAGUAACUCUUCAACUCAUACAUUGUUUAAUUCCCCUUCGUGCUUACACAAAGGAUGAUUGUUAUGAUGAUUGCUAUGAUCCCAUUGAUUCUCUUGAAAUAUCUGCUUUUGAUGAUGCUUGCUAUGCUUGUGGCCAAGAUGCCAAUAUGAAUUAUGCUUAUGGAGAUGAACUUGCUAUAGUUCCUUAUGUUAAACAUGAAAUUGUUGCUAUUGCACCCACGCAUGAUAGUCCUAUUAUCUUUUUGAAUUCUCCCUACUACACUAUAUCAGAGAAGUUUGUGCUUAUUAAGGAUUAUAUUGAUGGGUUGCCUUUUACCAUUGCACAUGAUGAUUUUGAUGAAUAUAAUAUGCAUGUGCUUGCUGCUCCUACUUGCAAUUAUUAUGAGAGAGGAACUUUAUCUCCACCUCUCUAUGUUUCCAAUACGAUAGAAUUGCAAGAAACUGUUUAUACUAUGCAUUGGCCUUUACUUUGUGUGCAUGAAUUGUUCUUCUAUGACAUGCCGAUGCAUAGGAAGAGAGUUAGACUUUGUUGUUGCAUGAUAUAUGUUACUUUGUGCUCACUACUAAAUCACAAAUCAUUGUUAAUUAAAAUUGGCUUUGAUAAACCUUGGGAUCCGGGUGGAUUCAUUACUUGAGCACUAAAUGCCUAGCUUAAUGGCUUUAAAGAAAGCGCUGCCAGGGAGACAACCCGGAAGUUUUAGAGAGUAAUUUAUUUCUGUUGAGUGCUUUUAUAUAGUUUAAAAACACAAAAAUAAACAAGGGAACCUAAAAACUUUUCAAAAAGGAAAGUGAAAGUGAGAAAGACAAGCAUUGUUGAAGUGGGAGCUAGCCUUGAACUUUGUUCAUGCUCACGGAAACUUUGUGAAUCUUAAUUACAGAAACAUUUCAACAAAAAUAUUUAUCCCCUUGUACAAUUCCAUUGUAUUAUAAAAAUAAUGUGCCAAGGUUUGCCUUUAGGAUGUUUACAAUGCUUGUUGGUUUGUACGGUGCAGGACAGAAACUUUGGCUGUAGUGCGCGAUUUACAUUUUUAACUGAAACUUCAAUUGGUUCUGAUUCCUUUUGCACUGUCUUGCUAUACAACUUUUUUAUUUUUCCUAAUUUUGGUAGAAUUUUUGGGGUACCAUAAGUAUGGUGGAUGUUCAGAUUGCUACAGACUGUUCUGUUUUUGGCAGAUUCUGUUUUUGAUGCAUAGUUUGCUUGUUUUGAUGAAUCUAUCAAAUUAUAUCAGUGGAUUAAGCCAUGGAAAAGAUAUAUUACAGUAGACACAAUGCAAAAACAAAAUAUGAAUUGGUUUGCAAUAGUACUUAGAGUGGUGAUUUGCUUUAUUAUACUAACGGAUCUUACCGAGUUUUCUGUUGAAGUUUUGUGUGGAUGUAGUGUCUAAUCGAGGAUGUCUCGAUAUGAGGAAAAGGAAGAGAGGCAAGAGCUCAAUCUUGGGGAUGCCUGAGGCACCCCAAGUAAAUAUUCAAGGAGACUCAAGCGUCUAAGCUUGGGGAUGCCCCGGAAGGCAUCCCCUCUUUCUUCAACAAGUAUCGGUAUGUUUUUGUAUUCGUUUCGUUCAUGCAUUAUGUGCAAGUCUUGGAGCAUCUUUUGCAUUUAGUUUUCACUUUUAUUUUAUGCACGAUGCUCGUAUGAGAUAGUCCUUGGUUGAUUUAUAGAAUUCUCAUUGCACUUCACUUAAAUCUUUUGAGUAUGGCUUUAUAGAAUGCUUCACGUGCUUCACUUAUAUAAUUUGAAGUUUGGAUUGCCUGUUUCUCUUCAUAUAGAAAACCGCCAUUUGUAUAAUGCUCUUUUUCUUCACUUAUAAUUGUUAGACCAUGGGCACAUCUUUUGUAGAAAGAACUAUACUCUCUUUCUUCACUUAUAUCAAUUUAGAGAGAUGACAGGAAUUGGUCAUUCACAUGGUUAGUCAUAAAAUCCUACAUAAACUUGUAGAUCACUGAAUAUGAUAUGUUUGAUUCCUUGCAAUAGUUUUGCGAUAUAAAGGUGGUGAUAUUAGAUCAUGCUAGUGGGUGUUUGUGGAUUGUAGAGACACUUGUGUUGAGGUUUGUGAUUCCCGUAGCAUGCACGUAUAGUGAACCGGUUUGUGAUAAAGUUGGAGCACAAUUUUAUUUAUUGAUUGUCUUCCUUAUGAGUGGCGGUCGGGGAUGAGCAAUGGUCUUUUCCUACCAAUCUAUCCCCCUAGGAGCAUGCGCGUAGUACUUUGUUUUCAAUGGCUUGUAGAUUUUUGCAAUAAGUAUAUGAGUUCUUUAUGACUAAGGUUGAGUCCAUGGAUUAUACGCACUCUCACCCUUCCAUCAUUGCUAGCCUCUUCGGUACCGUGCAUUGCCCUUUCUCACCUUGAGAGUUGGUGCAAACUUCGCCGGUGCAUCCAAACCCCGUGAUACGAUACGCUCUAUCACACAUAAGCCUCAUUAUAUCUUCCUCAAAACAGCCACCAUACCUACCUAUCAUGGCAUUUCCAUAGCCAUUCCGAGAUAUAUUGCCAUGCAACUUCCAUCAUCAUCAUAUACAUGACGUGAGCAUUCAUUGUCAUAUUUCUUUGCAUGAUCGUAAGAUAGCUAGCAUGAUGUUUUCAUGGCUUGUCCGUUUUUUGAUGUCAUUGCUACGCUAGAUCAUUGCAUAUCCCGGUACACCGCCGGAAGCAUUCAUAUAGAGUCAUAUCUUUGUUCUAGAUAUUGAGUUGUAAGUAAAUAAAAGUGUGAUGAUCAUCAUUAUUAGAGCAUUGCCCCAGUGAGGAAAGGAUGAUGGAGACUAUGAUUCCCCCACAAGUCGGGAUGAGACUCCCGACUUUAUGAAAAAUAAAAGAGGCCAAAGAAGCCCAAAUAAAAAAAGAGGCCAAAGAAGCCCACCAAAAAGAAAAAAAGAAAAGAAAAGAAAAAAGGGAAAAAAUGAGAGAAAAAGAGAGAAGGGGCAAUGUUACUAUCCUUUUACCACACUUGUGCUUCAGAGUAGCACCAUGUUCUUCAUAUAGAGAGUCUCUUGAGUUAUCACUUUCAUAUACUAGUGGGAAUUUUCAUUAUAGAACUUGGCUUGUAUAUUCCGAUGAUGGGCUUCCUCAAAUGCUCGAGGUCUUCAUGAGCAAGCAAGUUGGAUGCACACCCACUUAGUUUUCAGUUUGAGCUUUCAUACACUUAUAGCUCUAGUGCAUCCGUUGCAUGGCAAUCCCUACUCACUCACAUUGAUAUCUAUUGAUGGGCAUCUCCAUAGCCCGUUGAUACGCCUAGUCGAUGUGAGACUUUCUCCCUUUUUGUCUUCUCCACAUAAGCCCCACCAUCAUAUUCUAUUCCACUUAUAGUGCUAUGUCCAUGGCUCACGCUCAUGUAUUGCGUGAAAGUUGAAAAAGUUUGAGAUUAUUAAAGUAUGAAACAAUUGCUUGGCUUGUCAUCGGGGUUGUGCAUGAUUAAAUACUUUGUGUGAUGAAGAUAGAGCAACAGCCAAACUAUAUGAUUUUGUAGGGAUAACUUUCUUUGGCCAUAUAGUUUUGAAAAGACAUGAUUGCUUUAUUGGUACGCUCGAAGUAUUAUUGUUUUUUAUGUCAAAUGAUAGACUAUUGCUUUGAAUCACUCGUGUCUUAAUAUUCAUGCCAUGAUUAAACAUAUGAUCAAGAUUAUGCUAGGUAGCAUUCCACAUCAAAAAUUAUCUUCUUUAUCAUUUACCUACUCGAGGACGAGCAGGAAUUAAGCUUGGGGAUGCUGAUACGUCUCCGUCGUAUCUAUAAUUUUUGAUUGUUCCAUGCCAAUAUUCUUCAACUUUCAUAUAUUUUUGGCAAGUUUUUAUACUAUUUUUGGGAAUAACAUAUUGAUCCAGUGCCCAGUGUCAGUUCCUGUUUGUUGCAUAUUUUAUGUUUUGCAGAAAACCAAUAUCAAACGGAAUCCAAACGGGAUAAAAACGGACGGAGAAUUAUUCUGGAAUAUUUGGGAUUUUUUGGAGGAAGAAUCAAUGCGAAACAGUCUCCGAGGUGGCCACGAGACAGGGGGGCGCGCCCCCUACUGAUGGGCGCGCCCUGGGCUCUCGUGGGCCACCCGUAAGGCGGUUGAUGCCCUUCUUUUUCCGCAAGAAAGCUAAUUUUACAAGAAAAAUCUGGGCGAAAGAUUCACCCCAAUCAGAGUUACGGAUCUCCAGAUAUAAAGGAAACAGUGAAGGGGUAGAAUCAGGGAACGCAGAAACAGAGAGAUAGAUCCAAUCUCAGAGGGGCUCUCGCCCCUCCCACACCAUGGGAGCCAAGGACCAGAGGGGAAACCCUUCUCCCAUCUAGGGAGGAGGUCAAGGAAUAAGAAGAAGAAAGGGGGCUCUCUCCCCCUUGUUUCCGGUGGCGCCGGAACGCCGCCGGGGGCCAUCAUCAUCACCGCGAUCUUCACCAACACCACCGUCAUCUUCACCAACAUCUCCAUAACCUCCCCCCCCCCCUCUAUCUACAGCGGUCCACUCUCCCGCAUCCCUCUGUACCCUCUACUUGAACAUGAUGCUUUAUCCUUCAUAUUAUUAACCAAUGAUGUGUUGUCAUCCUAUGAUGUCUGAGUAGAUUUUCGUUGUCCUAUUGGUGGUUGAUGAAUUGCUAUGAUUGAUUUAAUUUUCUUGUGGUUAUGUUGUUGUCCUAUUGUGCCCUCCAUGUCGCGCAAGCGUGAGGGAUUCCCGCUGUAGGGUGUUGCAAUACGUUCAUGAUUCGCUUAUAGUGGGUUGCGUGAGUGACUGAAACACAAACCCGAGUAAGGGGAUUGUUGCGUAUGGGAUAAAAGGGGACUUGAUGCUUUAAUUCUAUGGUUGAGUUUUACCUUAAUGAAUCUUUAGUAGUUGCGGAUGCUUGCUAGAGUUCCAAUCAUAAGUGCAUAUGAUCCAAGUAGAGAAAGUAUGUUAACUUAUGCCUCUCCCACAUAAAACUUGCUAUCGGUCUAGUAACGCGGUCAAUUUCUUAGGGACACUUUCACAACUCCUACCACCACUUUUCCACACUCGCUUUAUUUACUUUCUUGCAUCUUUAUCGAAACAGCCCCUAGUUUAUAUUUACGUGUUCUUUAUUAUCUUGCAAACCUAUCCUAUCACACCUACAAAGUACUUCUAGUUUCAUACUUGUUCUAGGUAAAGCGAACGUCAAGCGUGCGUAGAGUCAUAUCUGUGGCCGAUAGGACUUGAGAGAGUAUUUGUUCUACCUUUAGCUCCUCGUUGGGUUUGACACUCUUACUUAUCGAAAAAGGCUACAACUAUCCCGUAUACUUGCGGGUCAUCAGGUGACUAGUAGUGUUGAUUACAUCUUGUAGUUGAUUACUAUAAGAUUUAUUUGGUGGUAGAUUAUAUGUUCAGAAAUACCCCUCUGAUAUUGAGCAUGUUUAUCAUUUGUGAUUAGUUACUUUCGUUCUUGAGGUCACGGGAGAAAUCAUGUUGCAAGUAAUCAUGUGAACUUGAUAUGUGUUUGAUAUUUUGAUGAUAUGUAUGUUGUCAUUCUCUUAGUGGUGUCAUGUGAAUGUCAACUACAUGACACUUCACCAUAUUUGGGCCUAAGGGAAUGCAUUGUGGAGUACUCCCUCCGUCCCAUAAUGUAAGACGUUUUUUGAUACUACACUAAUGUCAAAAAACGUCUUACAUUAUGGGACAGAGGGAGUAGUUAUUAGAUGGUGGGUUGCGAGAGUGACAGAAGCUUAAACCCAGUUUAUGCGCUAUUCCAUAAGGGACCGAUCGGAUCCAAAAGUCUAAUGAUAUGGUUAGAAUUUAUUCUUAAUAUUUUUCUCGUAGUUGCAGAUGCUUGUGAGGGGGUUAAUCAUAAGUAGGAGGUUUGUUCAAGUAAGAAUAGCACCUAAGCACCGGUCCACCCACAUAUCAAAUUAUCAAAGUACCGAACACGAAUUACGCCAACAUGAUGAAAGUGACUAGAUGAAAUUCUCGUGUACCCUCAAGAACACCUUGCUUAUCAUAAGAAACCAUUUUGGCAUGUCAUUUGCCUUGAAAGGAUUGGGCUACCUUGCUGCAUUUUUGUUACUACUAUCGUUACUUGCUCGUUACACUAUCAAACUACUCUGCUACUUACAAUUUUAGCACUUGCAGACAAUACCUUGCUGAAAACCACUUGUCAUUUCCUUCUGCUCCUCGUUGGGUUCGACACUCUUACUUAUCGAAAAGGCUACAAUUGACCACAUAUACUUGUGGGUCAUCAGUUAUUUGGAACUCGAAUAUUUUGGCAAGUGCGGGAAUGACUUACCAUUAUUUCUAUUGUGCCGCUUCAGGCAAUUGGUCAGUGUUGAUAAAUCCAGCAUAUUCUUCAGUCCUAAUACGAGUGCCGAGUUGAGAGAGCAGAUGUGUGUAACUCUGAAUGUCAUGACUGAGGCCCUAAAUGAUAAAUAUUUAGGCUUGUGUGUCUAUGUAGGAAUGGAUAAAUCGGGUUGUUUUAUGUAUUUGAUUGAUCAUAUUAUAAAUAAAAUUAGUGGUUGGAAGGAAAAAUUGUUAUCCGUUGGAGGAAAAAAAUAGAUUUUCCUCAAGUCUGUUGUUCAAGUCAUUCCCACCUAUGCAAUGUUUGUAUUUAAAAUUCCUAAAAAUUUGCAAAUCAAUUAUUGAUGUGAUGUCACAUAUUUGGUAGAGAUGUGGACAUAUUCCCACCUAUGCAUUGGAUGGCUUGAUAAAAAAUGUGUGUCUCAAAGAAUCUGAGGAUGUUGCCUAAGCAGGCCUCGCGUCUUCUUGAGAAUCCCGACUCUUUAUGUGCUACCAUUUUGAGAGCCAAGUAUUUUUCUCAUGGUGACUUAAAAAAAAUUGAGGGGGUGAUGGCGAUUUAAUGAACACAAUGUUAAAACUAUUAUUAGCUAGAUGGCGGACCAUCAUUCACCUCCCGUAGGGAUUCAUGAAUUAGCUUGUGAAGAAAAAAUGGAAACAAUAGAGUAGAAAACAAACUGGCAAAAACAACAAAAACUAUUAAAACGGUUGGAAAACAAAAUAAAAAACCAGGGAAUACUUUUCAAAAUCGAGAAAAAUGGGGGGCCCAACAACACAAACCCUUUUUUUAAGUAAACAACACACACCCUUGAUCCCUUAAAAAUAAAAAGUAACACACACGCCCACAUAUCUAAGGCUAGUCGCAAUGAGAAGUAUCGACAUCAUUUAUUGUCAUGCAUGACGUAUACAAGUACAUCACUUAAUUACCAUAUCAUGGUACUCAAUCUCAUCUCUCCUCAUUUAGUUAUGUGUUACCUCAACAAAAAUGUCUAGUUGGCAUGCAUGAUACUAAUUAUGAUAUUUUUAUUGUGACCAGUCUAUAAGAGCAUCUAUAGCCGUACUUUGCAAAUCUGGCCCCUCAAACGCCCGCGGACGCGCUCAGGGCAUCCACGGACACUGAUCGGUCAUGCCUCAAAUAAUGCAAUCCACAUCUGGAUACCUCAAAUUAGAAACAUCAAAUCCAUAUUAUUACAUGCAAGGUAGCGAUCUUUAAACGGAGCUCGUCCGCUCGUCGUGCCCAUGUUCGACGGCCGAUUGCGCUCCCUAGAGUGUUUGCCCGGUCGCCGGCAAGGUAGAGUAGGGCAUGGGAUACGAGCCAGCUCACGGGACUCAAGCGCCGCCGUCUACCAUGCCUACUCUUCCUCGUCGGAGCCCGUAACCCAUUGGGUGCCGGUGAACGUCAGAUCGAUGAUGGAUCCGUCCUGGGACGAGCCAGCGACGUCCACCACGACGCGGUUGCGGCGCCCGGACUGGUGCACCGUACGGGGAGCCAGAGAAUGUGACUCCGCCUCGCCGACGUCCACCGCGGCAAGCGCUGCCGCCCCCGCUCCCGCUGUCACGCCAUGAUUGCGUCGGACGACGCCCACGAUGUGUCCAUGGCAUCGGCGCACCAGAGAAGGGGUUGCUCGCCCGUCCACCUCGUUCGGAUGCCAGACGGGCCGCAUCGCCUCCGGUGAGGCAGCGACGGCUGCCCUAGCGCUGGAUCCAUGCGCCAUUUGGGCGGACGCAAUGGAUUUUUGAGAAAGGAGUCCGAGCGCUGCCGUGCACGGGCUUCCUCGAGAGUGGCGGAGUGCAAGCCAGACAACCAUCUCCUCUUCAGCUCUUCAGGGCCGCGUGGGAUGAGCUCAGGGUCAACGGAUCUUGAGGUGAAGGACUCAGAUCCAUUGCCCGCCAUACCAGAGACUGCCGGACGGCGCCGGGGACGAGUUUGGGUGCCGGAGAGGAGUGAGUGAAGUGGUUAUGGUUCGGUCCGGCGAGCAGAUGGGAAGAAAUAUACGUGAGGUCGGUGGUCCAUAGUGGGCCAGGUCCGAGCGCAACCGUAUUUGGGCUGAAUAUGAGGAGUGCCGAUCAAUCCGAGCGUUUGAGGCCCACUUAAGACGUUUGUCUGGGUCAAAAAUUUGUGACCGGAUAGUGACUGAGCGGUCCGUCCAGUCAUACAAGACGGGUUUGAGGCGUCGGGCUAUAGAUGCUCGGACUCUGUAUCUUAAUAAAUUUUAGAGGAUACGCGGUCGCUAGUUGCUACACUGAGCCAAGAGACAAGAAGACGCCCCGACCAACCAAAAAACUGUCUAGGCGGUACCAGCUUGUCCAUUCAUUUCUCAUCCCCGCAGGUUAAUCGGGAGCACUCAUUAACCGGCCCUGGUAUUGCACUCUCUCAAGCCUGAACCUCCAUCCUGCCUUCCACCCCAGAAAGAAAAGAACAUGGCAGCUGCGACUGCAAGGCAGCUGUUGGUCCACAGGAUCACUUCCUCCUGCUCCUCAGGGACGCUUCCCAAGCACAGUUCCAGCAGCCAUGGCCGCUCUGCUUACAGCUCCAUGUGCUUCAACAAGGCCGAGAAGCUCCCCAGUUUCAGAGCGAGGGUGUCCGUGAAGCCGCCGCACGCCGUGCCGGGGAAGGGCGGCAUUGUGCCGGCCGACGACGACGGGGUCAGCCUCGGCACCGUGAAGCUGCCCGCCAACAUCGACGUCGCUCGGUUCGAGGGGUUGCUCUUUCAGGUCAGUACAGUACUAAGCAUUCUUUGAGCCGUGUUGGAGUAUGAUGUCUGCUCUUCUCUCUCUCUCUCUCUCUCUCAGCUUAGAAUUCAAUACACCCAAUUAGAACUGAUGUUUGUGUUGAACCUGUUUGUUUGGCAGUGGGGGAACAGUCUCUGCCAAGGCGCCAUGUUGCCACUGCCAGUGCCUAUCAAGGUAUGGCAACCCGAGAACUGACGAUGUGGUUUCAAACUUUCAAUUGAUACUUCAGAUUUCUUCAGCUGAUACUUCAACUUUCCAUGUGCAAACAGGUGGACAAGGUGGAGGGUGGGAUCAGGCUAGGGUUCAUUGGGAUCGACGACGGCGCGACCUCGCUGCUGGCCUACAUCGACUGCUUGGUGUCUCCGGCGACCGAUGGCUCUGGGUUUGUGUUCCGAGCAAUCAGGAACGGUGCUAUGAAGGACAUGGAGCCGCCUGGGGAGCCCAGGAUCAUGAGGAGCCUCCUCAUGGCGCUUCAGAAGUCCAUUCAGAUUGCGCAAGUUUGACAAGCCUGUUCAGAUUGCGCACAUUUGACAAGUCUGUUAAAUUGUGCAAGUCUGCCAGUGAAGAAGGAACAUGAUGCAGCAGGAGUUUCAUUCUCUGUUGAUACAACUUUGUAAUCCCUAGUUUUCAAAGGUCUCCUUUCAUGUUCUCUUCCAAGAUGAAGAUAUAAAUUCCAUUAGAGGAAGUAAAGCUAAACAACUCCACUGUCUUCUCUUUAUUCAUAAUAUUUCCUGAAGGACUUCAACAGUUAGACUAAUUGGUUGAAAUUUUGAGUUACAGAGUACACACGCACACGGUAAAGAAAAUAUGUCAAUAUAACAACUGGAGCAUUGUCAACCGUCACUUUUAAGUAUACAUGAACCACUGUCAAAUUGGGCUGGAAAAAAUCAGCCUAAAACUCAAAGGGCCAACCACUAUCUCAAACACAGACGGGCAAACACAGUUUUGAUUAUGAACUGGAACACGCCUCUAGCUUUGGGAGGACGCUGCGCCAUGCAUCAGCA